rnacentral:lncRNA from 1 species
UCGUUCAUCAGGAUCAUUUGUGACAAAUGACUUGACAUCUUUGGCAACAUUCUCCCAGUCUUCUAUUGCCCUUUUAAAUUUGAGAAGUCCAGCAACCACGGCAAUAGUUAGUGGUAACCCGUGACAUUUCCUUGCAAUUUUCUUCCCAAUAGUCUCGAACUCAUAUGACAAUGCUUCAUUUGCAUAUGCUACACUUUUAAAAAGGUUCCAACUCUCAUCCGGACCCAUUAUAUCCAUCUGCAAAGAAAGAUUCUCUGUCCCAACAUCGCGAGCUACUUCAGUGUUAUGGAUCGUCAACAAUAUUCUAUUCCCCUUGUUUUCACUUGGAAAACAUAGUCUCACGGCAUCCCAUGCUUCACUUUUCCACAUGUCAUCCAAUACAAUUAAAUAUCUCUUACUCUUUAAACUCUUUUGUAGCAUGUUUGCAAGAUCUGCCUCAUCGUCCAUGUCAAAUGUGACAUCCUUUGUACAACGCAGAAGGCUCAACAAGAUUUCCUUUACAUUGUGCUGUUGCAAAAUAGUAGCCCAGGCACAAACAUCAAAAUGAGAACGGAUGCAUGCAUCAUUGUAAACUUUGUUUGCUAAGGUUGUUUUACCUAUGCCUCCCAUCCCGACAAUCGGGAUGACUUUGGGUUCACCAGAGUAGCUUCUAGUAAGAUCUUCUACCAACCGUUUCCUUUGAUCAUCACGUCCAACCAUACUGUUCUCAACAUUCCGAAUAUUUUUUGAUGAACUUGGAAACUCUUGAACUGUUGAUUCUUUUGAUGCAUGUUUGCCCUUAUCUUGAAUCUUUGUGGACUCUUUCCAGAUACGAUCAGUGUCCUCUGCUACUUGUUGCAGUCUAUCAGAAAGUCUCUCAUGUGCCUUUUCUCUCAGAUUUUUAUCAUUUGCCAAUACAACUUCAGUUACGCUUAGUUGAAUUGUUUGUUCAACAAUAUUUGCAACUUCUUUUACCUGUUCUUCAAAAUCUGUCAUUUCGCCAGAAACAUUAUUUUUCUCAAAGUUCUUGAUAAAUACUUCCAGGGAACUAGUCUUUUCACGAAGAGCGCAAAGUUCUUCUCUGUGAUCACAGAUUAGAGAUUGCAUGGGCGAAUUGGAUGUCAAGAGCGAUUCUAUUGUUCUCAUAAGAGAAGCCACACUUGCAAGAGUCAUAUCUACUAUAUUCACGUAUGCCUUUGCGAUUAUGACCUGAAAGCAGCAAGAUGCAAAAGACGUCAAUGGUAUUAUAGAUAACGUGAUACACAGAUUGGCAAAAAAUGCAGGCAUAAACUAAACGAGAUGAGGCGAUUUAUUAGUUAUGUUACUUCAGAUGAUUUUGCACUUCGAUGGUAUAAUCUCCAACCAUUUGAAUUUGGUUAAAGAUUAGGUAAAUAAUAAUAUUUAACAGCGCCUAGAACAUAUAACUAACAGACACGUAUAAAAAGUGUGGUGAAAAUCUCUUAACUAUUUCAUCCGACAGGCUCAGUCUAUCACAAAAGCACGCGACUGGAAAAGCAGGUGAUGGUCGCUAAAUAUGCAUUGAAACAUAAGUAGGUGAUGAUAUAAUAUACAGGUUUCCAUGUAUAUACAGGUGAUGGUUUAUGAAACUUACAUGAUUCCCUUCUUCUCUUCUCUUUUUAUGUAACUUUACAAAUUCAACUCCGAGUACUAGCAGACCAUGUAGUUGAUUGUGAUCGAGUUUGAUGAUUAUUAUAUACGAUGAGACCACAAGUCAGUUUUGUGGUCUCUCGGAGCCUUGAUGUUAUUGUUCUGAUUCAAUUAUUUUGAGCCACAUCCCAACUUUAACUCUUACUAAAUGCUCUUAUGACUCUGCAGAUGAGCUGACGGUUUAUAGAAACAAUCUCUCUACCCCAUAAAGUUAAGGGUAACGUUUGCGUACACCCGACCCUCCCGAUACCCCGCUUGUAUGAUUUUCUAACUUUGCUAGAAAGUUGAACCAUAAAAUUAAAGGGUCAAACUUCAAAUGUCUUCUUUACUUUCUUUAACUUCGUGUCAAGUCAAAAAGACAAACAAAUCAAAAUGGACCUUGGUUGUCCACUGUAUACUUAGAGGAAAAAGAUACUUCCUUUUGUUUCAAAAAGAUGACCUACGUAAUUUCCUUUUUAAUCCGUUUAAAAAAGAAUGACUUCUUUUUAUUUUGACAAUCCGUUAAUUUCUGUUUUCCACGCUGCAUAUUUAAGACCAUAAGAUUAAAGGACAUUUUAGUAUAUUUGUCAUAACUUUAAUUUAAGACCACAUGAUUCGAAAAUCUUAUUUUCUUAAACUUCGUACUAAGUCAAAAUCGGUCAUUCUUUUUGAAACGAAUCACUUAUUUUUUUUUCUCGGAUGGUCAGCAAUAUGCUUAACAAAAAAUUACAGGGUGGCAGUACAUAUGCUAAGUUUUUGAGGUUGAUAUUCAAAUGGUCACUCAACUACGGUCAUUAACUCAGAAAAAUGAGUAAUUAAGGAAACUAACCUUUUAAUGAUUGUUUGGGAAUACACGAAGAAAGUUGGGAAGAAGCAACUGAUUACUGCAACAAAAUACUAUAACAUAAAAAACACAAAUAUGAGUAUAUGCAAAAAAAGGUGCAAAAUACAAAAGUUAUAAUAGCAAGUAAUCAAGAUUAAAAUCAAGAGAAAAAUGGCAUACCUCUCUAGAGUGACUAAAAUGGCAUAACAAAGAGUUGACUUAUAAUAAAUUGGGAUGAGAAUUUCAAUUAUUGUUGCAUGUGGGGUAAGGGCAUUUAUAUAUUUAAAUGGAAAAACACAUCAAUUGUAGUUUUAAAAUGAAAAGUUAUUAAAAGAUGAUUAGGUAGAUGUAUACCUUUGCUAUAUUUUUUUUUUAAAAAAUUAAAGUUAAAAAUGAUUAUAUUAUUUUUAAAUUGUCAUUAUACUAUUUUUGUUGUCAUGUUCUUUUUCUGAAUGCCAUGUCCUGCUUUCUUUUAUUAGUUGUCAUGCUUUUUCUCAUUAUAGUUUUUUUUUUUUUUUAUAAGUACUCUGAUUUACUGCUUUUGAGCGAGAGUCCUUAAAAAACAACCUCUCUACCUCCAUGAGAUACGGACAAGGUCUGCAGUAACCCUUCCCAGAUGUCACUUAUGGAAUUAUGCAAAGAUUUAUGUCAUUGAUAUAUUAAAAAAAGACCAACCACCAACUUUUUUAUACAUGUUAGCUGCCUGCCACUUAUAUUUUGUGGACUAAUAAGUCAAUAAAGAAAUAAUAAGAUAUGGGUGGAGGAUCAAAACAAAUCUCCAGCUUAGGAGCAAAAUAGUUAUUUUAAAAAAUGAGUUACCAUCCAGAUAAGGUAUGGUUCUAUCCACAGAGAUUCCCUAACUAUUUAAAACUGGAAAGUUCAAACACAUAUGGGAUUAUUUUUGAAAAUUGGAAGAACGAAGUUACUAUUUCAUGAUCUAGCAUGUACAUAAUAGCAUUGGCAUAAAACCGGUGCAGACUGAAGUUGCCUAAUUUCAUAGUUUUCACGUCACUCUUUCUUUUUACAACUUUGUCUAUCGGAAAUAGUCUCUCCACACUGAUCUGUCCCCACCAGACCCCACUUUAUACGAUUCCAUAGUCAUUUUUUGGUUGUUGUUCUUUUAGUAACUUGUCGAAUCAUGUUAUUUUAACACAAUUGUCCUCCUACAACUUGCAGCUUUCAAGUCCUAAUUGCAUUUGGAAGCGGCGGAAUAUAAACAAAAUAGGCAGAUUUUCACUGAAAACAUCCCCUUGCUGUCCAGUAACCAUCUUGGUUUGUCUGGUAUAUCUGAAAUCUCCUAAAGCUCUAUUUUCCGCAACAGUUUUAGCUACUACUAUCAAUUUUCCAGUCAUUUAAAGAUCUUCUAAACAUCAAAAUCCGUCAGUUAUCGGACAGUGUCCCACUUUAUUAAUUGAAUUCUAGAUAGAUUUAGACAUGUAAGCGAUGUUCAUCACGAUCAUCUAUGGCAAAUGACUUGACAUCUUCAGCAACAUCUUUCAAAUCUUCCAAUGUCUUUAGAUUUAGACAAAAUCCCAACAACCGAGAUGACAUUUGUCUAUAGUCUUCUUCCCAAUAGUCUCAAAUUCAGAUGGUAAUGCUUCAUUUACAAAACACUGCCUUUUUAUAUAGGUUCCAACUCUCACAUGGAACAUGUCUGCAGUGAAGUACCUCAUACCAUUUAAACUUUUUGGUAUCAUGUCUGCUAGCUCUGCCGCACGGAACAUCAACAGUAAAAAAGUAUCACGAGAAUCACCAUAUAAAUGCACAUUUCCGUUCAUUAAAUAAAUAACGUUAUCAACUCAAAUGAAUGUGCGAAUGUUUACAUUGUGAGCUCAUGAACUCAAAACUCUAGUAAUGCCCAACUGAGCAAUAUUACUAAAAAGAUUCUAUCAACUCAAAAAUAUAUUACAAUAUGAAAGAUAUCACAACUCCUUGGAAGACACACGUUGCUUGAAACCAAUAAUAUAGUGGUAAUUUGCGACAGAGGAACCGAAAUGAAAUCCCAAGAGUUCAGUCCUUCUGCCCUUGAACUCCUUCGCUUAUAUUCUUUUGAAUCAGAAUCCCCCUGAGAAGAAACAAAAAGGGUCAGUAGAAGUUCGACUAGUCACAUUAUUCAGAUGCAAAUUUAGAGCGUGUUCAACCAAAUUCACAUCUUUCAACUCAACUUCAUGUGAGAACACACAUACACACACUGACAAACACAAGAACACACAUAUGACAAUCAUUUGGAAGUCUGACAAAUAUUCUGACUCUGCUGACUCUAUAUUAUGGAUCAUCCACUAAAGCAUCUUGAGCUAAUCAUACGGGGUUGAUGAGAUGUAAUCGACUUGAGUUCUUCCUCUGACUUGGAAAAAAACUUUUAACAAUCGAGUGAGACACGAUAUUUCAUGCUAACAUGAUAUUUUAUGCAUUCCUCCAAGACUACAAAAUUGAAAAAUGUAAGCUAAAUGUUUCCUAGAUCUUUAAGUUUUUAUUUAAAUUUGGCUUUUUAUAACAUUAUAAUAAAUCAUUUUGUACGAGACCGCAAUGCUUCAAUUUGAAGCCUUCAAACGCAAAAACAUCAGCUACAGAUCAAAAUAAGGCAAACUACUCAAAAUAAGGGAAUUCGCGACCAUUUAAUUUUAGAUUAUUUAUAAUUCAACUAUCAUUCAGUAAUUUUUUUACUAGUUAUUUUUGUCAUUGUAAAAGUAAAACUUUUUAGAACUACAACUUGAUAACUGUUUAUUUACACAAGCAAAACAAGCACUCGGUUGUCCAAAUGUUGUGUGUAUUAAUCAAGAAUAGAAAAGUAUAACCUUAAUUGUGUGAUGUUAAUUCUGGAAUAUAAUAAUAUACAAUUCACUUGGACCAUUCUAUUAAAAUUCUAAUAUCAAAAUAAUAAAUAUAUACUUACAUGGAUUGGAGAUACGAACAUCCACAGGGUUGUUUCCAAGGUCUUCUUGUUCUUGUUGAAUUCGUGCAGCAGAUUCCCCAAGUUCGGGAAGACACCCUGUUAACUCAAUCAGUUGAAGCGAGUUGAUUUCUGCAAACUCAAUGGGUAUCUCUUUCAAACAACGGCAAUGUCUAAGCACAAGGCUCUCAAGGACAGGAAAAUUGUCAUUUGUGGCUUUCCAGUACUUGAGAUUAGUAAAUACAAUUAUCAAAAGUUUCAAUCGAGUAAAUCCCUGAACAUUUGGAUACCAUUCUUCUCCAUGACAUGCAUCAGCCAUCAGCUUCAGCACCUCAAGGUUAGGCAAUUCAGCUAUGAUGUCCAAGCACGACCAACUUAGAAAAGCUCUUUUCAACUUCAACUUCUUGAGCGUUGCUGGAAAAGCUUCUGCACUUGCUGGAAAAAACCUAUUAAACAAAUAUUGUAAACUUAAUGUUUCAAGUUGAUGCAGAUUGUUGAAAAGUCCAGCGUCCCGAAAACAUCCAUAGUCAUUCUCAUCUUGUACGAUUCCUAAUUUUUUGACAUUUUGAAUCCCCAAAAUAACCUCCUUCGUGCAACAACGUGAAGACAAGUAAGCAAUAGUUUGUAAGUUUGAAAAAUCCAAGUGUCUUCCUUUGUCAACAGAUCCACUUGGGCAAUCUGGCAAAUAAAAUCUGGGCAGUUUGAGAUGCCUUAAUUGCAUUAGUCCCCAAAUUUCCUCAGGAAAAGUUAUUUUAACUAUUCGACUAGGACCAUGAACAAUGAAUGUCUGCACCUCUUGAACAAUGAAUGUCUGCAGAUUCCAUAACCUGCAGAUUUCUGGAGGUAUGUCUAAAUUCUCACGGCAUUGCAAUGAUAGGUAGCUCAACCAGAUGAGGCUUAGUAUCUGUAGAGGGAAAUUAUCAAUCUCUAUGUGUCUCAACUCCAAGACUUUGAGUAAUUUGAAAUGAAUAAGCUCUGAUUUGAGAACACGAGAAGAAAAUGAAAGAUGAAGCGAGAAAAUAGAACGGGUUCGUUUCAAAAGAUCGUUGUUGUCAUGAUCUCUCAACAGACGAUGUACAGGUGUAAGAAGAGCCCUAUAAAGACCAUUGGGACAAUAAUCAAUUUCACCACCAGUCACGCGUUUAAAGGGCUGCAUUUUUUGCAUACUGAGAUUUCCACGUUUUGAUACGCCAAGCACAAUGUCGUUCAUGAUAUAAAUGUUCUCCCUUUGAAGUUCUGUCAGGCACAGGUCAUAUAUUAGAUCAUGAACCUUACAGGAUAUAAUUUUCGUUCCAUCUCGGCUUUUCUUGCAGACGAGAACUAGACAUCUAUCGACAAGCUCUUGCAAACACUUCUCAGCCUCUCCUUCCAAAUCAUUUUCCAACUUCAGAAACCCCUCAGCCAUCCAUUUUCUCAUCAAAUUCUUCACUGGAAUAUCACUGUCUUCUGGAAAAAUCCCGAAAUGCAGAAGACAUGCUUUUAGAUCGCUAGUCAAGUGAUCGUAACUCAACCCAAGCACACGUGAACAUCUUUCAUCAGGAUCAUUUGUGACGAAUGACUUGACAUCUUUCGCAACACUUCUCCAGUCUUCUAUUGCCCUUUUAGAUUUGAGAAGUCCAGCAACCACGACAAUAGUUAGUGGUAACCCGUGACAUUCAUCUGCGAUUUGCUUUCCAACAGUCUCAAACUCAUAUGGUAAUGCUUCACUUGAGAAUGCUACACUUUUGAAAAGACUCCAGCUCUCAUCCGGGCCCAUUAAAUCCAUCUGCAAAGAAAGAUUCUUUGUACCAGCAUCGCGAGCUACUUCAGUGUUACGGGUAGUCAAUAAGAUUCCACUUCCCUUGUUUUCACUUGGAAAACAUAGUCUCACGGCCUCCCAUGCUUCAAUUUUCCAUAUGUCAUCCAAUACAAUUAAAUAUCUCUUACAUUUUAAACUCUUUUGUAGCAUAUCUGCCAGCUCUGCCUCACUGCCGGUGAAAACUUUGUCAACCUUUAUUGAACGCAGAAGGCUCAACAAGAUUUCCUUUACAUUUUGUUGUUGAGAAACAGUAGCCCAGGCACAAACAUCAAAAUGAGAACGAAUGCACGCAUCGUUGUAAACUUCAUUCGCUAAGGUUGUUUUGCCUAUGCCACCCAUCCCGACAAUCGGGAUGACUUUGGGUUCACCAGAGUAGCUUCUUGUAAGAUCUUCUACCAACCGUUUCCUUUGAUCAUCACGUCCAACCAUAUUGCUCUUAACAUUCCGAAUAUCUUUUGAUGAGCUUGGAAACUCUUGAACCGUUGACUCCUUUGAUGCUUGUUUGCCUUUAUCUUGAAUCUUUGUUGACUCUUUCCAGAUACGAUCAAUUUCCUCUGCUACUUGUUGCAAUCUAUCAGAAAGCCUCUCAUGUGCCUUUACUCUCAGAUUUUCAUCAUUUGCCAAUACAACUUCAGUUACGCCUAGUUGAAUUGUUUGUUCAACAGUAUUUGCAACUUCUUUUACCUGUACUUCCAAAUCUGUCAGUUCCCCAGAAAUAUUAUUUUUCUCGAAGUUCUUGACAACUACUUCCAGGGAACUAAUCUUUUCAUGAAGAGCAGAAAAGUCUCCUCUGUGAUCGCAGGUUAGAGAUUGCAUUGGUGAAUUGGAUGUCAAGAGCAAUUCUAUUGUUCUCAUAAGACAAGCCACACUUGCAUGAGCCAUAUCUACAGUAUUCUCGUUUUUGUCCUUUGUGACUCUGACCUGAAACCUGCAGGGUUGCAAGAGAUCAAUGGUAUUAUCGAUAACACGAUACGCAGAUUGGCUAAAAAGGAACGCAUAAACUAAACAAGAUCAGGAGAUUUAUUAGUCUCUUUCAUGUUCAGGUCAGUUAUGUUACUACAGAUGAUUUUGCACUUUGAUAGUUUAAUCUAUUUGGCCUCAUUUGUUUGCACUUAAUGGAGGUCUGAAUCUGAAUGGUUCAGACUUCAGACCAUUAAGUGCAUUUAUUUUUUAUUAAGAUUUUAGCUAUUAAUAGGUCUCAAUAGGUUUUAAUCAUUUAGAUCUAGAACCAAGUCUUAAUAGGUCUGAAGAGAUAUUCUGGUGUUGGUUAAUAUUCACUACUCUAUUCAUAUUUCAUAAUCAACAGUCACCACCACUAACCAUCGCUACCAUUGUCAACCACCACCCACCUCCACCAUCACAACCAUCAUCGACAACAAAUAUCGCUACCAACCACUAUUGUCAACCGCUACCACAUCUACUACAUUUAUUAUUCUAAUUAUAUUCACUGCCGCCUUCGCCGUCAGCACCACCACCAUUAUCAACCACUACCGGCCAAUUCCUACUAUCGACCAACUCAUCUAUCACAACUAGCACCACCGCUAACUACUACUAAUACAUCACAACCUCCACACAUUCUUCGGCCGCCACCACCAUUGUCACUACUAACACCACCUCUACGACCACUUCAACCAUUACCAUCGCUAUAGUUUAUUUCUAUUAACAAACCAUCUCCACCAUCACAACAAACAACAUCUCCAACUAUCACCAACACAUCGUCAACACAAUCAACACCUCAAACUACUAACAUCAUGCAACGUUACAUCACAACCACCAACACCACCAUCAAUCACAACAGUCACUACAAUAUCAACCAUCACAACUAUCACCACCAACAUUAUUAAUCAAUAACAUCAAUCAUUGUCACCGCAACCGCCAUUAUAAACCAUCUCCACUAUCACUAACAAACAUAAAUGUUUUUUCUCAAUCAAAUAAUAAUUUUAUUGUAUUAAAUUACGUAUUUGUCUAAUAUACAAUUAAUUUUUUAUUUGAAUUGUAUUUUUUAUUUUAUUAUAUAUAUAAAUAAAAAUAUUUUACACAUUCAGAUGUUGAAAAACAAAUAGUCUUAAUCAUUCAGUUUUCAGAUCUAGAGACAACAUCUUAAUCAUUCAGAUGUACAUUCAGACUCAAACGUCUGAAUCUUAAAAAAAAAAAACAAAUGCAGUCUUAAUCUCUAAAUCUUUGAAUUUGGUUAGAGAUUAGGGAAAUAAUUAAUAUUUAACAGCGCUUAGAACAUAUAAUUACCGGUUACUAAUUGUAAUAACCAGAUUCUUUUUUAAUGAAAAGUAGAUGAGUGAGUGGCCAUAUCACUAAAUAUUAAUAUAAGGGAAGUGGUUAGAGGGCCACACCCACUUCCAAGUGUCGAUUCAUGAUUAAGUGGAUCAAUAAUGAAAGAAGAGUGUUAUAGUAGUGUGUUUGGCUCCAUUUAUUCUGAAAUAACAGAAGGCAACACUUAGAAGCUUUUGAUAAAUUAGCAGUGGCAUAAAGAAAAGGAGAUUAAGGCUUUUACAGUGACCAGGUAGUCAUUUUUCUUGGCUCUUGAACAAAAAGAAAACUACAUGUGUUGUCGUAUUGAAUCAAUUGAAAUGGUUUGAUGGUAAGGUGUUAUACUAUUUGGGUGAGAAAAAUCAUUAGCCAAUGAAUGGAAAUUUUUGAGAAUUGGGAUUUCUUAAGCUACUUUAGGCCAUUAAAGAAUCUGCCAACUUCAGCCCAUUAUUUGCUUUAACUUAGGCUAUUACUGCACAUAACGUUGACUUUAUUUGAGAAUAAAGUGCAUAUAAGUGGACAGAAUUUCCUCUAUUAUGUUUUGACAGUGAUACUACGAUAAUCUUACCCUUUAAUUGAUGGUUUAAGGUGGGGUUAUUAAAGGUUAGCUUCUUUACAGUGGCUUGACCGGAAAUCAGUGAAUGGAAAGUGCAAUAUUAUAAUCUAAUUGACAAUUUCCUAUAUGAAGUUGUAAAAUUCGGAUUAAUCUCUAUCAAAAGUUUAAGUGGAACAUAGUAAUGGUUUGACUUGAAAAUCUGCAUACUAGGAUACAAGUUUGACAGUUGUGUUUUUAAAUAGUAGUACAUAAUUUGAGUAUUGGAUUGAGCGAUAGACUUUGAUAUUUGACUUUCUCUGAAAUUUUACGGGAUGAUCGUUGAUGGGGUAUUGACUAUAUUAAACCCCUUUUUGGUGUAGUUUAAGGUGCUUUGAGUUUUCGAGAACAUAUUUUGAUUUACUAGAAGGUGGAGCUUGAAUUGUGCUUUCGAGGUAAGUGAGACUUUAAACUUUGAUGCUUGCUUUUCAAAUCUGAUUUAUAAAAAUUAUGUUUUUUUACCUAGUCCAUGUGUUGGGACAAGCGUGAACUUGGUAGAAUUUGUGGCUUUUGACUAGCUAUGGAUAUGUAUUUUGAAAAAUGUGUUGAUAAUUGUUUAGAGUGAAACGCGAGGUGAGGGUUGGACAUUGAAUAUAUUUUCUUCACUGCUGUUAUAGUCUCUAGGGGCAUACAUAGCUGCCGUAAUAUGUUAGGGGCAUUACUUAUACUGCCGUAAUAUGUUAGGGGCAUUAUUUAUACUGCCGUAAUAUGUUAGGGGCAUUAUUUAUGCUGCCGUAAUAUGUUUGGGGCAUUACCUAUGCUGCCGUAAUAUGUUAGGGGCUUGUACAUGUUGCCGUACUGGACUUUUUGUGGCAUUAUAUAUGCUGCCGUGGACUUGUCGGGGUUUUAGGCCGAUCACCUUCACUGCCGUUUAUGACAAGUCGUGAGUGUGGAUUGAGUUGUUAUAGGAUGACAUUUUGAACCACUUUGAAAAUCUUAUUGAUAUUAUUUAUGAAAGAUAUUAUGUACAUAUUAUUUGUGUAUCUUUGUUGUGCUUUGUCAAAUAAUUAUAUCAUAUUAUUAUAUCAAAUGAAGAAAACAGAUUCCUUUGUCAAAUAAUUCUUAGUAAGAGUACUUUGUCAGAUGAAGCUUGCAAAGAGAUUUUUUUCUAGAAAAUGAAUGAUUGACUGAUGUUCAAGAAGAAAAAUAUGAUAAAUUAAAAGAUUUAAGAAAAUAAUCCGUAGUAACCUUCUUUAUUUCUUUUUAUUUCUUUAAUUUUUAAUUUGAGAACGGAAACAGAACAGUUGACAUGUUAAUUAAUUUACUCAGUGCAAUUGAUUUGUUGAAACAGGGGCCAUUCUGAAAGUGUAGUACAUGAGAUUGAACAUUGUUUAAUUUUACGGAAAAAGGUACAAAUGUACCCUCGAACUUUGAUAAAUGGAAUAAAUAUACUCUCCGUCAUAUUUUGGGUCUAAAUAUACCCUUGCCGUUAAUAAAAAGGUACAAAUAUACCCUUAUCACUAACAGCGGGACACGUGUCACGAUCGUGUUCUGUUGUUAGCGAUAAGAGUAUAUUUGUACCCAAAAUAUAACGGAUGGUAUAUUUAUAUCAUUUAUCAAAGUUCGAGGGUAGAUUUGUAUCUUUUUCAUUUUUAUAAUUUACUUUCUCCGUUCCAUAUUAAUUGAUCGUUUUAUUAAAAAUAAUUAUUUUAUAUUAAUUAUCCAUUAUACUAAAUCAAGAAAGCAUUGAUUAAAUUUUCAUUAUAUUAUCCUUGUAGUUAAUUCAUUCUGAAAGUCUUCACAUUUGUUUAUAAAGUUUUCAAGAAGUUUUUUAUGGUGUGAAUUCAUAAAAAAAAAAAUAUUUAAUAAAAAAAUAAAUUAUAUAUUUUUAUUUUUAAUAAAUAUAUAUAAUUUUACAAAGAUUAAUUAAUCCGAUAAAUUAAUAAUAGUAAUAACUAACUAUUCAUUAUGACAAUAUUUUCACUUCAAACAUGAGUUAUUUCUGUAAAAUUUAAAAUUAUAGAUUUUUAUUUUUGAAAAAUUUAAGCUUAUGGACCAAUGUUUAUAUUAAAGAAUAGAAAUCAUACCAUGUAAUUUUGUGCUAACAUUAUACAAUAUGAUGAGAUCUUAAGAUUUUGGUAGUCCUCGCAAGGACGCUUUUGAUAUUCUAAUUUUUUCGUGAAAUGAAAUUAUCACCAUGACAAUUAAUAGCGUCUUUUUAUUACAUUUUACGCUUAUUCUUUUUGUUAAAAUUAUUUCAUUUUGAUUUUUAUGAUUGUUUUUUUUCUUGCUGCUUGUUAAAUGAUUAUUUAGUUAAACCUUCCUUCAUUUUAAAUAAACAAUCACUUUAACUCAGAAAAUAUUCAAGCUAACUUUUAAUACAAAAUAAAAAUUUGUACUGAUUUUCUACUACAACCUCAUACAUAGUUCUUUUUGAAAUAUUUACUUCUCAAAAUAUAUAAUUAAAAUGGGACUAAUAGAGUACUCUUGUAAGGGCAUAAGAAAAUAAACAAGAUAAAUUAAUGGAUUGAGUUGAGUAAUCUUUGUGUGAUAUUGUUAUAGGUGUGAAAAAACACGUAUGUUAGAUAGACGUCUCUUGGGUUUUAAAAAAGAUUGGGUGGGGUAGUUGGUUUACUGGGUCGAUUAGUAGGUUUGGGUUGAUUAUUUGAAAAAAAAUUAAAAUAAAAAAAGGGAUAAAUAUACCCUCGAACACUGAUAAAUGGUAUGUAUAUAUCCUUUAUCAUACUUUGGGUACAUAUAUGCCCUUACCGUUAGUGAUAAGGGUAUAUUUGUACCUUUUCAUUAACAACAAGGGUAUAUAUGUACUGAAAGUAUAACGAGGGAUAUAUCCAUGCCAUUUAUUAAAGUUCAGGGAUAUAUUUAUACAUUUUUCCUUUAAUUCUAUACGUUGGAAAACUGAUAUAUUCUUAUCCUUUAAUGCAUAUGAUAAAAUUGAAUUUAUAAAGUUGUUACAAGUCUUUAAUGCUAUUGCUAAGUUUGUUAAUUUUUUCUAAACACUUGAUAGAAAUUGAUAUCUAAUCUUUCGUUCUUGCAUUCUAGCUAGCCUACGUUGCGUGAAUUCCUCACUUUCGAUGUCUCACUUCUAUUGAAUUCUUAAAAAAUACACUACUUUUAAAGAACCUAACAUACACCUACUGACAUUUUAGAAGAGCGCAAACAAAAUGUACAUUCUACCCAAGAUGUUGCAACAUUUUGUGCUAUCAAGAUUGCUCAAAGAAUUAAAAAAAGCAAAAUCCAAAUAUAUUAAAUACUAAUUAAAAUGGAAUCAUGUAAUUCAAAUUUUGAAGAUAAUCACCUUCUCAAUACACACCCACGUUUUCAAAUCCUCAAAUCACCAUCACUUAACUUUUCAUUCUCACUAAAUAAAGUAUGUCGUGAUUUAUUUAUCUAAAAGUUAGAUUCAUGCAAUUAUUUUAUAUAUCUAUUAUAAUAUUUUUAUUUUAAAUAUCAUAAAUUAUCAUUUAUAUUUUUUAAAAGAAAAGGACUGAGUAGUAGUACAGGAAUAAUAUAUAAGUUGUAAAAUAAAAUAAAAAUUUAUGAUUUAAAAAUGCAGAAUAAAAUUUUAAUCAAAAUUAUGAUAUAUGUAUAUUAAUUAAUAAGGGAUAUAUUGAUAUAUAUAUAUAUAUAUAUGUGUGUAUGUACAAUUGAUAGGGAAAUUUUUGACAUGAAAAAUAAUAAUUUCUACUUCUACUUUUAUUCAAAAUAUACAGAAAUUUUCUACCUCUUACCGACAACAAAAAAAACUGUUUCUUCUUUUUUAAAAAAUAGCUUUUACAAGUUAUCCAAACACCCUACUUUAUCAAAAAGAAAUUUGAAAGAAAAAAAAAAACUUUCCAACAACAAUCUCAAACACCCGAAAAUCAAUCCCCCACUCCACUGAACACAAAGCCAGAAACACACAAAUUACUCUAAAAGUAAAUUUUAUUUUGUUAUAGAGCAUAUUAGAUUGAGAAAAAAAAGUACAAUUGAAAUAUAAAAUAUAAUAUAAUUAAAUAUCUUGCAAUAAAUAGUUAAUUUGAUAUCAUAUUUCUAUUAAAUAGUUGAAUCGAUAUUAUAUUUCUUUUUUUUUCUUUAAAAUUUUAAAGAACUCUAUUUAUAAAGAAAGGGUGUUUGAUUCUUGCGAAAGUGUGACUUAAAAUUAGCAUUUAUGACUUCUUCUUUUGUUCAGUUAGUUAAAGUGAAUCAAUAUCAUUAUUUAUUUAGAAUUUACACAUUUUUAUUUUUGUUUAAUAAUUUAAAUAUUUUUUUAUUUUUGUUUAAUAAUUUAAAUAAAAAUUUCCAGUUUCUUUAUAUAAGUCUACAUUUUUUUGCAUUUAUAAACAACUACUAAGCGGCUGUGAAUCGGAUGUUUUAAAUUUCAAAAUCAAUAAAAUAGUAAACAAAUUAUUGUGCAAACUAAUAAAAUAGCAAUAUUUUAAAAAAAAUCUGCCUAACAUUUUUCGCGCAUCACGCGGUGAUAGAUACUAGUAUUCAUACUAAAGACAUUAAUUUUUCUCCUAUCUAAACAAGAGGAAGAAAUAAAUACAAAAAAAUACUUAUAUUCUUAAUUUAUGAUUCACGCUCAAUCAUUUUUAAUUUAUAAUGAGGCGAAAAUUAACUUCAAGUCAAAACAUACUUUAAAAAAAUCCUAAUAUUUCUUUUGAAUUACUCUUAAAAGGGGAUAAGCUGGCAGCUGUUUAACAUACCCGCUUGUGUUGGCUGCUUCAGCUGCUUUAACUGUAAUUUUACUAUUUCAUUCCUAAUUAAUUAUUAGAAGUCAUUUAAGUAUUAAAAAAUUAAUAAUAUUUAAUAAAAAAUAAAUUACUCAUAAUAAUAAAGGGUGAUAAGCAGGCAACUGUUCGACAUAUCUGCUUGCGAUGUUUGCUUCAGAUGCUUCAAUCGUUAUUUUAUCAUUCAUCCCUAAUUAGUUAUUAUAAGUUAUUUAAGUAUUAAAAAUUAAUAACCUUUAAUAAAAAUAUAAAUAAAAUAAUAAAUUAAAACAUGUGGAACAACUUUCUACUCCUGCUGCUUCAAUCAUAAUUGUAUUAUUUCAUUCCUAAUUAAUUAUUAUAAGUUAUUUAAGUAUUAAAAAUUAAUAAUAUUUAAUAAAAAAUAAAAAUAAAAUGAUAAAUUUUUAAAAAACAAAUGAAAAUAAAAUAAUAAAUUAACUCUUGAUUUUUUGUGCUACAUUCUUUAGUUGCUUCAAUCAUAAUUUUACUAUAUCACCCCUAAUUAAUUAUUAUAAGUUAUUUCAGUAUUGAUAAAUUAAUAAUAUUUAAUAAAAAAUAAAUUAGACAUAUAAUGAUAAAUUAACUCUUAUGUUUUUAUUUAUUUGAUGUCUAAUAUGAGACUCAUUUAAAUUUUAUUCACAAGUAUUUUUUAUGAUAAUUUUGUCUUAUCACUUUUAAUUAAUUAUUAUAAGUUAUUUAAGACAUGUUUGCUUUGUUGUUUCAAUUGUAAUUUUAUUAUAUCAGCCUAAUUAAUUUUUAUCGUCAUCUAAGCAUUAAAAAAUUAAUAACAUUUCAUAAAAAGAUAAAAUACACACCAAAUGAUAUAUCAACAUAAAAUAUUUAUUUGACUAUCGAAAUUAUAUUAGUAUCACAUAAAUUAUGAUGGAACAGAGGAACACACAAAGUAACAUAUAUUAUUAAAAAUGAGAAGACACGUAAACUUAAACUGAGACUGACAGAGUAUUAAUAUUUUAUUAAAAAAUUAUGCUAAAAGCAUUAAAAAUCACAUAUUUAACAACUUAAACGUAUAAAAGAUAUAAAAUAUUCAAUUGACACUCGAUUUUAUAUCAGUGUCACUUACAUUGAUGUAAAAAAAAAAAUUUAUUAUAAACUACAAUAAUUAAAAAUUUAAAUUAUUUUAAUGAUUGAUUAUAUAAAUUAUAUUUAUAUCAUAUAAAUUAGGAUAAAAACUAAUAUAUAUUGAGUCUGUGCUGAACACGGUCCUUUAAUGUCUAGUUUUCAGCUAAACCACAAUCCACAAUACAAAGAAAUCUUAGAGUAUUAUCAAACUAAAAUAAUUUUAUAUUUAUCUUAGCUUAUUUGGUUAUAGGUUAAUCAUUAAUCAAAAUCUAAAAAGAAAAAAAAAAUCAAAUUAAUAAUUUAACUUUAAAAAAAUUAUAAAAUUAUUUAAAAAUAAUUAAUAAAGCAAACAAAAAAUAUAUUAUAAUCAUUGAUUAAUUACUUUCUCCGUUUGAAUUUACUUGUUAUCAUUUGACUUGACAUACAAAUAAUGAUUAAUAUAGUAUCUUUAUCAUAAUUUAUUUUUUUUAAUUUGUCAAAAAUGAAGAUAAAAAUGAAAAUUAAAUUAUAAAAUAGUCCAUAAGUGAAUUCGAACGAAGAAAAUAAAUGAUUUUUGAGUACUCCUCAAUCAAGGAUGAUAAGUUGAUAAAUAUAACAGUAUAAUUUUAAACUAAACAUAGAAUAAAUUAAAUUUAAAAUUAAUUUUUUAAAAUAAAUUAUGUGUUCGCCCGCACUAAAUUGGCCCUUAAAAGUAAAAACUAACCUGUUAUGUCCGAAUUCUUGUUUGGCUGCUUGCAGUGUUUUCAAUUAGCAAAAAUUUGCAGUGUUCUUGUAUUAAUUAUCUGAUUUCUGACCAUGGAUUUGUGGUAUCUGAUGUGUUUUCUUGUACUGUAAAAAACACAAAUGUGAGUAUAUAAAAACAAAAAGAUACAUUAGCAAGUAAUUCAAAGAUUAAAAUCAAGAGAAAAAUUGGCAUACCUCUCUGAGGGACUAAAAUGAUAUUAAUUUGUAUAGAUAACAAAGGGUUGCCUGCUGAUAAACUGGUAUAAGAACUUUUGCAUGUGGGGGUAAGGGCAUUAAUCCAUUUAAAUGGAACAACAGAGCAGUUGUAUAUACUUCACCUAUCUCAUUUAUGAAAUUAUUUAGAGAUAUACCUGAUUAAUAUAUUAAAGAAAGAACUUGGCCAAUUUGCUGUACCUAACACAAUUUUUUUUAUUCAUAUACACUGUAGACUAAUCAAUAAAGAACUUCAAUUAUUGUUGCAUGUGGGGUAACGGCAUUUAUCUAUUUAUUUAUAUUUAAAUAGAAGAAUACAUCAGUUGUAGUUUUAACAUAAAAAUUUAUUAAAAGAUGAUUAUGCAGAUACAUGCCUUUAUUGUAUUUUAAAAAUAAAAGAACACUGUUUCUGUUGUCAUAUUGGUUUUCUGAAUUCCAAUAUCCUGUUUUCUUUAUUAGUUGUUGUGUUUUUUUACUAUCAUUUUUCUUUUCUUUUUUUAUAAUUAAUUUGAUUUAUUGUAUUUAAGCGAGAGUCCAUCGAAAAUAACUUCUCUACCUUCUCUGCAUAAUCCUUCCCAGAUGUCACUUCUGCAAUUAUGUAAAGAUAUAUUAAAAAAAAAAAAGACCUAGACCAAUUUAUUGUACCAAUCAACAAUUUUUUAAUACAUAUUAGCCGCCCGCCACUUGUAUUUUGUGAUCUAACAACUCAAUAAAGAAAUAAUAAGAUAAGGGUAGAGCAUCAAAACAAAUCUCCAGCUUUAAGAGCAAAAUUGUUAUUUUAAAAAGCAAAAUAGAUCGGUGGACCCUUAUACUUGUUUGAAUUUGUAAAGUAAUAUCUCUAUCCAGACUUUUGUCAUCUAAACUCCUCAACUCAAUAAAACUCAAUAUUUUAAACCUCACUGACCGUUGACCAAGCUUAUGUGGCACAAAUCCACUGAGUUGGACAAAAUGCAUGAGUGCACACGCAUGAGGUGCGAGUAAGGGUCAUUUUUUUUUGUUUUAAAUUUUUACCGUCUGUCCAUUGACUUCAUUAAGCUCAUGGGAACAACUUCAUUAGUCCACUUUCUUUGCCAGUUUUUUCCCCACUAGCUAAAGAGAAACAUUUGAUUAAAAAAAAACUAGCUAAAGAGAAACACACAUUACAUUUCUUGUAGAAAAGGUAGGCAAUUUAUGUGUCUUGUUUAAGCUGUCAAAGACUAAUCAAAACGAGUAAAAAUUUAAAAGUGGUGAAAGAUUCAGUCUUUCAGUUGAAUGGAAAUGAGUGAAAUGUGAAAUAAGAAAAGUUAUGCUGUUGUGUUGAAGUAUUCAAAAUACUUAUCCAUUUAACUCUUGGCUCAACUUCUCGACUCCCUUAUUCAUAUGAAGAAGAAGAAGCAGCAAAGGAAAGAGCCAUUAGAGCCCCAGCCCCCAACACUUUUCUUUUAUCUUUUUUAAUUUUCAAUUUUCAAUUUUUAUUUUUUUAAUACGUAAUUUCUUAUAUGGCAUUUUAAAAAUGAUGUGAUAUUUUUAAAUAUAUUUUAAAAGAUAUAUUAAAAAAGGUCCUUGCCAAUUUGUUGAAGCAAUCACCAAUUUUUUAAUACAUAUUAGCCGCCACUUAUAUUUUGUGACUUAAUAAGUCAAUAUAGAUAUAAUAAGAUAAGGGUGGCAAAACAAAUUUCCAGUUUUAGGAGCAAAAUUGUUAUUUUAAAAAGUCAAAAUAGAUUGUGAGUUUCUAAAGUGAAAGUCUCUACUACAUUCUAUGUUCUAGUUUCUUUAUUAGCACUAAUGUUUUUUUCAAUUUGUAUACCUAAUUUGAUUUACUGUAUUUAAGUGGCGAUCCUUUAAAAAUGAUCUCUCUAUUUUUAUGAGAUUGCAUAUACUUGACCCUUUUCAGAUCUCAUUUAUGAAAUUAUUUAGAAAUAUACUUAUUGAUAUAUUAAAGAAAGAACUUGACCAAUUUGCUGUACCAAGCACAAAUUUUUUAAUUCAUAUUAGUUGUCCGCAACUAAUACAUUGUGUACUAAUCAAUAAAGAACUUCAAUUAUUGUUGCAUGUGGGGUAAGGGCAUUUAUCUAUUUAUUUAGAUAGAAGAAUACAUCAGUUGUAGUUUUAAGAUAAAAAAUUAUUAAAAGAUGAUUACGGAGAUACAUAACUUUAUUAUAUUUAAAAAUAAAAAUAUAAAAGAACAUUGUUUUGGUUGUCAUGUUUUUUUCUGAAUUAUUAUAUCCUGUUUUCUUUAUUAGUUGUAUUUUUUUUACUAUUAUUUUUCUUUUUUCUUUUUAAUAACUAAUUUGAUUUAUUGCAUUUGAGUGAGGGUCCAAUGAAACCAACUUCUCUACCUUCAUGAGGCACUGACAAAGGUCAGCAUAACCCUUCCAGAUGUCGAUCACUUAUGCAAUUAUGUAAAGAUAUAUUAAAAAGGGCCUUGCCAAUUUGUUGUACCAAUCAACAAUUUUUUAAUACAUUUUAGCCGCCUGCCAUUUGUAUUUUGUUACCUAAUAAGUCAAUAAAGAAAUAAUAUUAGCCACCUGCCACUUGUGUUUUGUGACCUAAUAAGUCAAUAAAGAAAUAAUUAGAUAAGGGUGGAGGAUCAAAACAAAUCUCCAGCUUUAGGAAGAACAUUGUUAUUAUAAUAAGGCAAAUGGACACCAAGUGUGUUUGUCUCCAUUGAGAUUUGAACAUUAGACGUUAGGUUCUCAACCUGGUAGGUUGACCCCUAGGGUGCACCCUUGGGUGCCUUUGUGGUAUAUCAUCUUGUUAUCCCUAAUGCCUUUACAUACAAAAAAGAAGUGAUAUGUUUUCUUGUUUUCUUCGUGGUAUUGACAAAUGACAAACUUGAUAGAUUGCUCUUGUUGUGGUGCAGUUUGUUAUACUCUUUUAACCACUAUCUGCCGUUUGGUUGAAUGACUGUUAACUAAUGACCUCGGGGGUGGUCUGCCACGCAACGCUACCCUUUUAUUUCGGUUUGUUGUUUCAGCUUUAUGUUUAGUAAUGCUUUUCAGUCCAAUGGAGUACGUACUCUUCACUUUCGAUGCGGGCACCCGUGUCGGAUUCUCCAAAAAAAUAUACUAUUUUUGGCGUAUCCGACAUGCACCCAUUGACUUUUUUGAAGAGUCCGAGCAACAUAUUGGAGUCUACACAUGAAAUGAUUAGUUUUCACAUACGGCAAAAACAAGUGAUCUGUACCUUCCAAUUUUCAAGCAAACAUUCUCCACAUAGACGUAUAAAUAAAUGACUUGGUAGAAAAAAGGAAUCUUAGUGCUCUUUCGUUUGAUUGCAGAUGCUGAGUUCAGGAACACAGGAUUAGAAAGGUCAGAGGUCUUAGCAAAGGAUUUGGAAUGGUUUAGGCAGCAAGGUCAUGCCAUCCCGGAACCGUCAACUCCUGACGUCAGCUAUGCUCGUUACUUAGAGGAGCUAUCGGAAAAGGAUCCUCGAGCAUUUAUUUGUCAUUUUUACAACACCUACUUUGCGCAUUCAUCUGGAGGUCGCAUGAUCGGGAGAAAGGUCAGUAAUGUCGUCUUUGAAGUUUUUAGUAUUAUUCUACGUUGUACUUCUGAUACUGUGGUAUGUAAAGCUAGAUUUUCAUCAUAGAAAUAUGCGAAAUUCUAGGUUAUUUUAAGUCAUAAUUUGGAAGGUAUCCGAGGACCCCCAAGGGUGUGGCUUAAUAGUCAAUGUGGUGGAAGGAGAAAUAUGAUGAGGUUCAAAUCCGACCAGUGGCAAAAAGAAAAACACUAGGCGGUUCAUAACGUUUACCUAAGCCUCGCUAGGUUGAGUUACCCCAUACCUGUUCUGGUGAGAAGUAGCAGGUACUCGGUGGAAUAGCCAAAGUGAGCACAAGCUAGACUCCGCACCACCAUCAUAAAUUUUUUUCUUUUUGAAUGGCAUCCUAGGCAAAUUAUGUGGAGAACAUGGUUCAGUAAACUUAAUUAUUACACCAUAAUUUCACACUAAGUUGCUCGAACUCUCCAAAAAUAUUACCGCACCUGUGUCAUAUCCUUUAAAAAUACUGUAAUUUUUAAGGAUCAGACACGCAUCCUGUAACACCCCGCAUUUCGGGCUAGAAUAAAAACCAUGACUCUGAUGCGUUGAUAAUCCCAGAGCCUUAAAUCCUAUGCCAAUUUGGCAUGUUUAUGUAGUCUGUGAAUCCAUUUGAGCAUGAAUUUAGACCAUAGAGGUCCUUCAACUCAAGGACGAGUUGAAACUAUUUCGAUUGAUUAAGUUUUAGUGGACGUUGUAAUUUGUGUCAGUUUUCAUCGACCAUAACUCUCUGUAUAUGUCUAAUUAGAGAGCCUACUAUGUGUCAAAUGAUAGGUCUUCGAGUUAACUUGCCAACGAUACCAACUUUGCUAAAAUUUGACACCCGAGCAAGAAGUUAUGGCCUUUCAAAGUAGUAUGCGUCUCCUAACCAAUCGCACAUGGCCACUGGAAAGCAUAUGCGAUAGCNNNNNNNNNNNNNNNNNNNNNNNNNNNNNNNNNNNNNNNNNNNNNNNNNNNNNNNNNNNNNNNNNNNNNNNNNNNNNNNNNNNNNNNNNNNNNNNNNNNNNNNNNNNNNNNNNNNNNNNNNNNNNNNNNNNNNNNNNNNNNNNNNNNNNNNNNNNNNNNNNNNNNNNNNNNNNNNNNNNNNNNNNNNNNNNNNNNNNNNNNNNNNNNNNNNNNNNNNNNNNNNNNNNNNNNNNNNNNNNNNNNNNNNNNNNNNNNNNNNNNNNNNNNNNNNNNNNNNNNNNNNNNNNNNNNNNNNNNNNNNNNNNNNNNNNNNNNNNNNNNNNNNNNNNNNNNNNNNNNNNNNNNNNNNNNNNNNNNNNNNNNNNNNNNNNNNNNNNNNNNNNNNNNNNNNNNNNNNNNNNNNNNNNNNNNNNNNNNNNNNNNNNNNNNNNNNNNNNNNNNNNNNNNNNNNNNNNNNNNNNNNNNNNNNNNNNNNNNNNNNNNNNUUUAAAUGAAAGAUUUAGCUUAAUGUAUUAUGGCUCAGAAAUCAUGACUUGCAAGUCUUGGUAUGACGAUACCAAUUCAGACCAAUGCCAUAUCAGACUCAGACUAAUAGACAUUUCAGACUAUUAUGAUUUUAGACAUUCAGAAUGUUGCAUGUACAGAAAAGGUUAAAAAUGGGCAUACAGAGAUGUUAGGUGGUUCCCGAGUUCAAGCAACUCAUUGCCUAAAAUCAUGGUUUGCCAACCCGGGUAUAUUAUUAUACACUGACUUAAGUGUCGUGUGACGUAUCAGAUUCAGGAACUCCAACCCUUGCGGCAUACUCGGGUUGGAGGCUUCCCCGCCGAGUCAAUGACGGAUUCCAUAUCGCCGGUGGAAUAUUAGACUUGUAGGGGAUACCACGUAACUCAGAAGUAAUACACAGAUCAGAGUUUGAGAUUUACAGACAUGUUACAUGUUUUCAGAAGGUGCACAUGUAUUUUUUAGAAACUGUUUUAUGCAUAAUGUUUGAUGAACAUUUGCUCUCACGUUAUAUAUAUAUGUGUGUGUGUGUGUGUGUGUGUGUUCAAUUACUCUAUUUUGGAUUGCUUCGCGUGCCAGUACAAUUGUGCUGGACCCUCCCUUCCUCCCAGGUACUGAGGCACAGUCUAGGGGUCUAGAUCCUCAGUAGAGUCUACAGACAAGGUUGUCUCAGAGUUCAGUUGGUGAGACUUCUUUGCUUCAGAAGACCUAGUCAUUUAGGUAUUUAUUUCAAUAUGGUUUUUGGUCUGCUAGGGGCCUUGUCCCAGUUAUUCAGGUAGUAUGUCAGUAGAGAUUUUGCUGUUGCAGAUGUUUAUUAAAUAUUGUUGGGCAUGUUUUCAGGCCUUUAACUGUUUUAAAUUGUUGACCAUGUUUUUGUAUUAUUAUGUCUAUUCCGUAUUACUUUGAUCAUUUGAAUUAUAUGCAUGAUUACCAGAUAGACAGAGGGCGUUCCAGACCUUUGGGUUCGGGAAUACUCGUCACGGCCAGGGCCCCGGUUCGGGUCGUGACACAUCCAUCAGACAUUUUUGAAGAGUCCGAGCAACAUAGGUUUCACAUGGAUGUGAGGGUGGAUAGUUUAGUUCAUACCACAACAAUACACUUCUGUCAUAAACAACUUAGUUCAUAGUUCUUCGAAUUUUCUGAAUUACAUUUUUCUCCUUCUUACCAUAUUGUCGUUCGAUCCCUUUUACUCGUUUGUACUUCCAACUUUGAUGGAUCGUCGAAAUAUUACUAGUUCCUGUCUUUAUCAUCACUUAGUCCUAACAUCAACUUAGUCUGUUGAAAUCAUGAUUACAGUUGCAAACAAACUACACAACAUUGUAAAAAUGAAACUUCCAGUAUUCAUCACUGUUAAAAAUGUCAGGCGGACGAUAAAUUCAGAUCAGAAGAAAUGUAACAUGGAGUAAUCCUAAACUGUCGAGAAAUAGUGUUGUCGUAGAAGUUGUGGUCGUCCUAUUGCAUUGUUUCUUUUCCUUCUUAGACCUAUGAACGUUAAAGGAAAAAAGGUAACCAGUAACUGUCCACAAUCUUGCUUCUUCUUGCUUUAUAGGUAGCUGAAAAGAUACUCAACAAGAAAGAGCUGGAAUUCUACAAAUGGGACGGCGACGUUUCUCAGCUGCUGCAGAACGUUAGGGAUAAGCUGAACAAAGUUGCAGAAGUAUAAUCCUUCAUCCCCUCUUUACAAGUUUUCAACUUUUCAAAACUAUUAACGACUUAACAUGAUCCAUUUUCAUCGAUGCUUUUGCUCAGAACUGGACUAGAGAGCAGAAGAACCAUUGUCUCCGGGGCCAUUCUCCGAUUAAUAUUCUCUUGAUGCACAACUUUUUACGCUUUGUUUCCAGUUAACUUGUACAUUGGAUGGUCGAAACCUGCAAAUUUCUGUAAAUAGUCGUGUUUCUUUUCGCGUUUAAGUCUGUCUAUGGUGUAUAAGAACUUGAUUAUAAUUCAAGUGUUACAUCAUUACUCAAUUCUCAAUGUUGCUGAUACUUGAACUAUGGGCUGUCCAGCCUCAUAGAAACUUAAUUGAAAGUGUUAAAGAUGAAAAUCGACGUUUUCUAUGUUGCUUGUACUCUCCAAAAAAUAUGCCGUACUGUUAGGAUCGAGAAUCCCGGAUAGUGCGUAAUUAAACAAAGUAAUCGUUUGAAGACGAUAGCAAAACGAUAAUAACGAUAAGUUGAGAAAAAUAAAGGAGACACAAAUUUAACGUGGUUCGGUCAACUUGACCUACGUCCACAACCAAAAAAGAAGCAACUUCACUAAACACCAACGGAACAAAAAGAGUACAAAGAUACAAAAGAGAGUAUAAAAUUAGAGUAAUUAAAUACUCUAAUAGCCCAAAUACCCAAAAGAAUAACCUCACUAAGAUCACUCCAAAGAAGAGGUUCACUCAAAGUAUUUCCCAACACAACUCUCUUAAAAAUACUCUCUACAAAGAAGAAAACAAACAAAACUAAAUCUUCUUCAAAUGUUGGUGUUCUUCUCUAAAUGGUGUGUUCUAAAGAGAGGUGGAGAUGCCUCUAUUUAUAGGCACAAAACAAACCUACGUUGAUGUCAUCAAUGACAUCAACACACUACUUUGCCAACCAAAUUUGACAACAAAACAAAUUGCAUGCAAUGUUGAACUAGCCAACCAAAUUUGACAAGAAACAAAUUGCAUGAAAUAUUGGACUAGCCAACCAAAUUUGACAAAGCCAACAAAUGAUCUUGCAAGUGCUUGGUAGCAACUUUGUUUGACCAAGUGUGAAUCCAAGAAACAAACAAAAGGCCACAUUACAAAUCUCCACCUUGGCCUGAGUUUGUUUAAUAUAGUAAAUUUGCUCCACCUUCUUCCCAAAGCCUCAAAGAACUUUCAAAAUUGUAUGAUGUCAGAAUUAGAUGAGUCUCCAUCUGAAAUUGAACCAGUAGCAACACCUGUAAUAGUAGAUCCCAACAGUGUGUACAACGUCCCAGACUUGCGUUCCUUCAUAACCACAAGACCACCUCGAGAGACUUCAAGAACUCCACCUUCACCUGUGUAUUUGCACCCAAAAGAUUCUAGAGUGCCCAAAGAGAUGAAAUUUUUCUUCAACUCAGGAACACAUCUAACAUUUUUGAGAGUUCUUACAAUACCAUCAUGCAUUUUAAUUCGGAUGGUACCUGUUUCAACAAUUUUGCAAGCAACAUUGUUGCGUACCAAGACAACUCCACCUUCAACAGGAUCAUAUAUAGAAAAUAAGUCCUUGUUAGGACACAUAUGAAAUGAACAAGCCGAAUCUAAAAUCCACUCAUUGUUAGAACAAAAAAUAUUUUCGAUUACUAAAAAUAUUGCUCCUUCAAUCUCAUCAGCAGCAACACUUGCUUCAGCGGUGUCGGAAUCCCUGUGCUCAUUUUUCUUUACUUUUCCCUUGUUUUGCAACUUAGGACAAUUAAACUUGAUCUGGCCUUUUUUAUGUCAGUAAUAACACACUAAAUUACUAAAUCUAGACUUUUAAUUAGAGCUACUCCUGACAAAUAAACCGGACGCUUGAUUUCCACUACCUUCCCCGGUAAUAUCUCUAUCUAUCUGAUCUUUAGAUUUCAACAUAGAUUUGAUUUUUCUAUAAGAGAUAGUUUCUUUCCCAUAAAGUAUAGUAUCUCUAAAAUUCUUAAAGGAAUGGGGUAGGGAACAUAUUAGCAAAACAGUUUGAUCUUCUUCCCCAACCUUGACAUCUAUAUUACUUAAAUAAGAAUGAAAUCAAAGGCAUCAAGAUGUGACAGUAUGGAAGUAUUUUCAUCCAUACGAAUUGUAUAAAGCUUUUGCUUCAAGUAGAGUCUAUUCUCUACCGUCCUUUUCAUAUACAGGCUUUUCAACUUUUCCCACAUGCUUUUGGCAAUGGUUUCCUAAGAGACUUCACGUAAUACAUCAUCAGAGAGAUUUAGUAUAAUACUAGAUCUCGCUUUUUUCUCAAGGCUAUCAAACUACUCGUCUGUCAUUUUUUCUGAAAUUUUCUCCUUUCCUUGCAGUGCCAUAUCUGAACCAUCCUGAACUAGGAUAGCUUUCAUUUUCAACUGUCACAUACCAAAGUUUGCACUUCGGUCAAAUUUCUCAACAUAAAUCUUUGUAAUCGUCAUGGUGACUACUAAGACAAAAUCAAGAUUAACCUCGCUCUGAUACCAAUUUGUUAGGAUCGAGAAUCCUGAAUAGUGCAGAAUUAAACAAAGUAAUCAUUUGAAGAUGAUAACAAAACGAUAAUAACGAUAAGCUGAGAAAAAUAAAGGAGACACAAAUUUAACGUGAUUCGGUCAACUUGACCUACAUCCACAACCAAAAGAGAAGCAACUUCACUAAACACCAACGGAACAAAAAGAGUACAAAGAUACAAAAGAGAGUACAAAAUUAGAGUAAUUAAAUACUCUAAUAGCCCAAAUACCCAAAAGAAUAACUCAAGGGUGUCAAGUGGGCCGGCCCGAUCUGGCCCAACCCGAUCCGGCCUGACCCGGCCCUUGUAACUAACCCGGCCUGAUAAGCCCUAGGGCUUUAGGGUUCCGGGUCUUGGGCCGGUUAUUUUUUUAAAAUGGGCCCGGCUAACCCGGCCCGGAUAUCUUUUUAAAAAAAAAAAAAAAAAGGAUUUUGGGCCAAACUAGCCGUUGGCCCAACGGCUAUAUAGCCGUUUUUGGGUCCAAACGGCUAGUUUGGGCCCAUUNNNNNNNNNNNNNNNNNNNNNNNNNNNNNNNNNNNNNNNNNNNNNNNNNNNNNNNNNNNNNNNNNNNNNNNNNNNNNNNNNNNNNNNNNNNNNNNNNNNNNNNNNNNNNNNNNNNNNNNNNNNNNNNNNNNNNNNNNNNNNNNNNNNNNNNNNNNNNNNNNNNNNNNNNNNNNNNNNNNNNNNNNNNNNNNNNNNNNNNNNNNNNNNNNNNNNNNNNNNNNNNNNNNNNNNNNNNNNNNNNNNNNNNNNNNNNNNNNNNNNNNNNNNNNNNNNNNNNNNNNNNNNNNNNNNNNNNNNNNNNNNNNNNNNNNNNNNNNNNNNNNNNNNNNNNNNNNNNNNNNNNNNNNNNNNNNNNNNNNNNNNNNNNNNNNNNNNNNNNNNNNNNNNNNNNNNNNNNNNNNNNNNNNNNNNNNNNNNNNNNNNNNNNNNNNNNNNNNNNNNNNNNNNNNNNNNNNNNNNNNNNNNNNNNNNNNNNNNNNNNNNNNNNNNNNNNNNNNNNNNNNNNNNNNUUGCAUGACAAUUUUUUGAACGUAUAUAAGAUAUUGGGUGCAAUGCAAUAUUUGUCAACAAAUAUAUAAGCAUAGAAGUGGAGAUAAGCAAGGGGGUACGGGUAAGUUAAUGAGACAUAUAGUUGAAGAUCACAAAAGAGAGUUAAAUAUUGCACAAGGUGAUGGGGAUGUUGGUGGGCCAACGUAAACUAGAAUGGAUCCAGCAACCGGUCACAUAGCGAAGAAGUAUAAUAAAUUGAUGGACCGGAAAGAAAUAUAAUAAAUUGAUGGACCGGAAAGAAAUAGCUAAAAUGGUAGUUGUGGUUUGUUUGCCUUUUAGUUUUCCUUCUUCGAUGCCUCUAUUCGUAAUAUACAAGCAAUUUAUAAUCCUAUGUUUAACGGUAUUCCUAGAACUACUUGUCGGUCUAAUAUUUUUAGACUCCAUUCACAAUAUUAUUUUUAUUUAUCAACGUUGUUAAAAAAUAUUCAAUGUAGAUUGUCCCUAACUUCUGAUCUUGAUCGUGCUGUAAAUAAAAAUGAUUAUUUAACCGUUACUUGUCAUUGGAUGGAUAGUAAUUUCGUGAUGCAAAAACGUAUUCUUGUUUUUUUAUACGAUGAAAAUCGUAAACAUAUUGGACAAUUUAUUGUUGAUUCUAUUGUUAAAAUUGCCGGAUAUUAUGGUAUCGAAAAUAAAAUUUUAUGUAUUGCUUUUGAUAAUGCUUCUAACAACAAGACUGCUAUAACAAAAAUAAAAUCUACGCUAUCUCCGCCCUUGCCUGAAAUUUUUCAUAUUAAGUGUGCAUGUCAUAUAUAUAAUUUAAUUGUAAAAGAUGGUCUUGAGUUUUUUGAGCUUUAUAUUGAAAAAAUUCGUCUUGCCAUUGGUUUUAUUCAAGGAAAUAAUCGUAGAUCGAGAAUUAGAGAAUUUAAAGUUAAAUGUCAAGAAAAUGAACUUACANNNNNNNNNNNNNNNNNNNNNNNNNNNNNNNNNNNNNNNNNNNNNNNNNNNNNNNNNNNNNNNNNNNNNNNNNNNNNNNNNNNNNNNNNNNNNNNNNNNNNNNNNNNNNNNNNNNNNNNNNNNNNNNNNNNNNNNNNNNNNNNNNNNNNNNNNNNNNNNNNNNNNNNNNNNNNNNNNNNNNNNNNNNNNNNNNNNNNNNNNNNNNNNNNNNNNNNNNNNNNNNNNNNNNNNNNNNNNNNNNNNNNNNNNNNNNNNNNNNNNNNNNNNNNNNNNNNNNNNNNNNNNNNNNNNNNNNNNNNNNNNNNNNNNNNNNNNNNNNNNNNNNNNNNNNNNNNNNNNNNNNNNNNNNNNNNNNNNNNNNNNNNNNNNNNNNNNNNNNNNNNNNNNNNNNNNNNNNNNNNNNNNNNNNNNNNNNNNNNNNNNNNNNNNNNNNNNNNNNNNNNNNNNNNNNNNNNNNNNNNNNNNNNNNNNNNNNNNNNNNNNNNNNNNNNNNNNNNNNNNNNNNNNNNNNNNNNNNNNNNNNNNNNNNNNNNNNNNNNNNNNNNNNNNNNNNNNNNNNNNNNNNNNNNNNNNNNNNNNNNNNNNNNNNNNNNNNNNNNNNNNNNNNNNNNNNNNNNNNNNNNNNNNNNNNNNNNNNNNNNNNNNNNNNNNNNNNNNNNNNNNNNNNNNNNNNNNNNNNNNNNNNNNNNNNNNNNNNNNNNNNNNNNNNNNNNNNNNNNNNNNNNNNNNNNNNNNNNNNNNNNNNNNNNNNNNNNNNNNNNNNNNNNNNNNNNNNNNNNNNNNNNNNNNNNNNNNNNNNNNNNNNNNNNNNNNNNNNNNNNNNNNNNNNNNNNNNNNNNNNNNNNNNNNNNNNNNNNNNNNNNNNNNNNNNNNNNNNNNNNNNNNNNNNNNNNNNNNNNNNNNNNNNNNNNNNNNNNNNNNNNNNNNNNNNNNNNNNNNNNNNNNNNNNNNNNNNNNNNNNNNNNNNNNNNNNNNNNNNNNNNNNNNNNNNNNNNNNNNNNNNNNNNNNNNNNNNNNNNNNNNNNNNNNNNNNNNNNNNNNNNNNNNNNNNNNNNNNNNNNNNNNNNNNNNNNNNNNNNNNNNNNNNNNNNNNNNNNNNNNNNNNNNNNNNNNNNNNNNNNNNNNNNNNNNNNNNNNNNNNNNNNNNNNNNNNNNNNNNNNNNNNNNNNNNNNNNNNNNNNNNNNNNNNNNNNNNNNNNNNNNNNNNNNNNNNNNNNNNNNNNNNNNNNNNNNNNNNNNNNNNNNNNNNNNNNNNNNNNNNNNNNNNNNNNNNNNNNNNNNNNNNNNNNNNNNNNNNNNNNNNNNNNNNNNNNNNNNNNNNNNNNNNNNNNNNNNNNNNNNNNNNNNNNNNNNNNNNNNNNNNNNNNNNNNNNNNNNNNNNNNNNNNNNNNNNNNNNNNNNNNNNNNNNNNNNNNNNNNNNNNNNNNNNNNNNNNNNNNNNNNNNNNNNNNNNNNNNNNNNNNNNNNNNNNNNNNNNNNNNNNNNNNNNNNNNNNNNNNNNNNNNNNNNNNNNNNNNNNNNNNNNNNNNNNNNNNNNNNNNNNNNNNNNNNNNNNNNNNNNNNNNNNNNNNNNNNNNNNNNNNNNNNNNNNNNNNNNNNNNNNNNNNNNNNNNNNNNNNNNNNNNNNNNNNNNNNNNNNNNNNNNNNNNNNNNNNNNNNNNNNNNNNNNNNNNNNNNNNNNNNNNNNNNNNNNNNNNNNNNNNNNNNNNNNNNNNNNNNNNNNNNNNNNNNNNNNNNNNNNNNNNNNNNNNNNNNNNNNNNNNNNNNNNNNNNNNNNNNNNNNNNNNNNNNNNNNNNNNNNNNNNNNNNNNNNNNNNNNNNNNNNNNNNNNNNNNNNNNNNNNNNNNNNNNNNNNNNNNNNNNNNNNNNNNNNNNNNNNNNNNNNNNNNNNNNNNNNNNNNNNNNNNNNNNNNNNNNNNNNNNNNNNNNNNNNNNNNNNNNNNNNNNNNNNNNNNNNNNNNNNNNNNNNNNNNNNNNNNNNNNNNNNNNNNNNNNNNNNNNNNNNNNNNNNNNNNNNNNNNNNNNNNNNNNNNNNNNNNNNNNNNNNUUUUAUGAAUUAGUAUAUAAGUAUAUCUAUAUAUAUUGUAAUGUAUAUAUAUUGUAGUAUAUUUUAUAAGUAGUAGUAUAUAUACAUUGAAUGGUGCGUAUAUAUGAGUAAUUGACUAAUUGUGUAUAUGUGUAUAUAUUUUUAAAAUUCUAAUGUAGUAUAUACUAUAUAUAUAGUGUAUAUAUAUUAUUUAACGUAUUUAUAAUGUAUAUAGGUGGGUAUAUGUAAUGUAUAUUGAAAUAAAGUUUUUUUAAAAAUAUUUUUGACCGUGUUUGACCAAUUUUUUAACUGGGUUUGACCGGAUUUUGGUGGGUUUGACCGGGUUGGAUUAAGUGGGCCGGGUUAGGGUGGAUUUUAAUUUUUUUACUGUUGGGCCCAGACUGGCCCGGCCCACUUAGACCCCAACCCGGCCCGGCCUGGCCCUCAACCCGGUUAAAUAACACGGGCCGGUUCCGAGUUGGCCCGGCCCGUCCAACUUGACAGCCAUAGAGUAACCUCACUAAGAUCACUCCAAAGAAGAGGUUUACUCAAAGUAUUUCCCAACACAACUCUCUUACAAAUACUCUUUACAAAGAAGAAAACAAACAUAACUAAAUCUUCUUCAAAUGUUGGUGUUCUUCUCUAAAUGAUGUGUUCUAAAGAGAGGUGGAGAUGCCUCUAUUUAUAGGCACAAAACAAACCUACGUUGAUGUCAUCAAUGACAUCAACACACUACUUUGCCAACCAAAUUUGACAACAAAACAAAUUGCAUGCAAUGUUGAACUAGCCAAAUUUGACAAGAAACAAAUUGCAUGAAAUGUUGGACUAGCCAACCAAAUUUGACAAAGCCAACAAAUGAUCUUGCAAGUGCUUGGUAGCAACUUUGUUUGACCAAGUGUGAAUCCAAGAAACAAAGAAAAGGCCACAUUACCCAUGUCAAAUCCUUCAAAAAUGAAUCACUUUUGAAAGAUCCGACACACACCCAUUGAAAUUUUUGAAGAGCAACAUCGCCAGUUUGAACUAGUCACUUCCACUUUGUUCACAUUUAGCUGUAGAAAACACACAAAGGCUUAGCUAUGAGUUUCAUAAUCCACUUAACCAAAAGAACUAUUUAAUACUCAAUACGAACUCAAAUAGUAACCGAUUUUUAAUACCACUAAAUUUCAAUUACACAUUUAGAAAGUAAAAUCAACAACUCGUAAGGUAAGACCUCAAACGAAAAUAUAGAAAUAUUGAAAGUACAAACAAGGAUAGAGUCGGAGAAAGCAAGAUGAGAGACAGAGACUUUGCGUAAGCAUGAUCAACCUGGAUCCCAAUUAAAUCUCUUAUUUGGCUAGCUAAUUCUUAGGCCUCUUCGUUGUUUAGACCCUCGCCCACUAGCUUGGCCGCCCAAUGCCCAUAGGUUUACAACAGGAAGUCCUGUGUACCUCACUAAUAGUGUUUACCUUGAUCAUUGUAAGAACGAACAUCUAUAGCUUUGCUUCCCAGUGAUUCUUGCUCUUCUUGAAUUCGUUCAGCAGAAGCCGCGAGCUUUGCACUACAGUUCUGCGAUUCGAUUAGUUGUAGUGAGUAAAUAUCUGCAAACUCAAUAGGGAUCUCCUCCAAAUGAAGGCAAUGUCUGAUCACUAGAUGCUCAAGAGCAGAAAAAUGAUCAUUUGUAGCUUUCCAACAUUUCAGAUUUGUACCUUCAAUUAGCAAAAGAAUAUGAUUUUUGACUUAUUUUUAUUUUUUGGCUUAAAAAUACUUGUUCCUUCAAUUUUUAUCCGUCACAUUACCCUUCUCGAGAGUCAAAUGACAUGAAAUUUGACCAAUUUAUUAUUUCAUUAUGUUAAUAUAAGAAGGACUACAAUGUAUAGCAUUUUUCGUAUGCUUUUCAAACAUAUAAAUUUAAAAUAUUACAUUAAUCUACUUCAAUUUAUUUUUGAAGUUUAGUAAAUUUGACUUUUAUAAAAAAAAAAAAUUGUCAGUUAAAAAUGAAUGAAAGGAGUAAAUAUCUAAAUAUAUACAUAUUUUAUUUUGUACCAACAUUUAAAAAAUGUUUACAAGCACUUAAAACAAAGAAAUGCAACAAAGUACAUAAAUCGGGCUUCCCAUCAAUGCGAUUUACGUAUUAUAUCAAUCCCUUUAUAUUUCAAGGGUAUUUCCGUUAAUAUUCAUUGUUUUAGGGGCAAAAUGAUAUUAUAUCUCUCUUUUUCAUGUAUAAAAUUCCUCUUAUUUAAUAAUUUUUAGCGCCAUUUUUGUUCUCAAAUUUCAAAAUAUUAACAAUUCCCUCUUCCACUGUACUUCAAAGUGAGUAAUUUUUUUUCUCGAUAUGUUUUUAUUUUUUUUGGUUUCUCAUUCGGUGUUCGUUAUUAGUAUUGGAACUCGACUAAUUUAAAUUCACGUGCCUGACUUUUGCUAAUUUGUGUAGCAAAAAUCUUAUGGCUUUUUGGUCAAUUCCUAAAUAAAGGCAGUCAUUUUUAGAUAUUAUUUGUGUUUUUUAGUUAAUUGUUGUAAUUAUUCUGAAAUAAGAUAGGUUUGAAAUGUUAUUAAAAAAUUUUGGGUUUUUGAUUUCUGCAAGUUGUUGAGUGAGUGUUUUUUGUUUUUUGUUUCCAUCCGAUGUUCGGUACCAGUAGUGGAUGAACUUAGAGGAUCCGACAAAUAAAAGAUUCGGAGUUUCAGGUGUCUCAGUUGCUUUAUUUCCCAAGUUAGUUCUGGAAACUUUAUAAAUGAGUGAACUGAUCCUUGAACAAUGCAAGUUUGUAGAUUCAAUAAUUUGCGAAUUCCUCGAGGUAUGCCAAAAGAUAUGUGAGUCGAAAAAGAUAAGUACCUCAACAAAGAGAGAGAAAGUGUCUGCAGCGGAAAAUCUGAGAAGUACAUUGAACUCAAGUCGAAGACUCUGAUUAAAUUCAAAUGACCAAGCUCAAAAUUGGAAUUAGUACUGAGAGAAGGUGCAGCAAACAGGAAAAUUGAACAAAUUCUUCUCAACGGACUGUCAUCAUCAUUGGUAUGUGUAAGUGACGUUACAAAAUUCUCAUCGUGAAAACAAACACCAGUUUGUCGCCUUUUCUGUAUGCUGAUCAAUCGACAGCCCACAAGAGGAACGGUUUCUGUUUUUAUCAUUUCUGAUAAACAAAAGGUUUUCGCGUUGUGCUUCUCUCAAGCAUAACUCAUUGACCAGAACAUGAACCCUACAUGUCUUGAUUUUUCUUCCGUCUGCGCUUUUUUGGCUAGCUAAGGUUAGACAAGUAUCGACAAGAUCCUGCAAACGGUUUUCAGCCGCUUCUUCUAGGUCACCCUCCAGUUUCAAGAACCCCUCAGCGAUCCAUAAUCUCACCAAUCUCUUCACUGAAAUUUCACUGUCUUCUGGAAAUAUUCCGAGAUAGAGAAGGCAUGCUUUUAAGUCAUUAGGCAAGUAGUUGUAACUCAAUGCGACCACGCGUAGACAUUGUUCAGCAAAAAAAAAAACGACUUGAUAUUCUCAGCAACGUUCUUCCAUUCUUCUUUUGUGCUCUUAGAUUUGGAUAGAAGCCCAGCAACCACGACAAUUGUUAGCGGUAAUCCGUGACAUCUUUUUGAAAUUUCCUUCCCUGUAGCCUUUAAUUCAGACGGGAAUCUUUCAUUCGCAUACGCCUUACUUUUAAAAAGGUACCAACUCUCAUCCGAAUUCAUGAGAUUCAUCUUUAAAAGAAGAUUACUUGAGCUCGCGUAAAGAGCUACCUCAGUAUGACGGGUAGUCAACAAUAUUCGACUCCCAUUAUUGAUGAUUGGAAAACAUUGUCUCGUUUCAUCCCACGCUUUAUAGUUCCAUAUGUCGUCCUUGACAAUAAGAUACCUCUUACGCUUCAAAUAUUUCUGUAGAAGGUCCGCUAGCUCUGCCUCACUUCUGCAGUAGACUUUGUCAUUGAUUUUGAUUAUAGAUUGAAGAAGACUGAGCAGGAUUUCUUUCACAUUGUAUUCUUUAGAUAUAGUAGCCCAAGCGCGAAUGUCAAAAUGGGACUGAAUCGAAGGAUGGUUAAAAACUUGUUUUGCUAAAGCUGUCUUGCCAAUGCCUCCCAUCCCGACAAUUGGGAAAAUUUUUUGUUCGUCGGAAGAGCCUCCUCUGAUUUCUUCAAGCACCCUUUUCUUUUGCUUGCCACUUCCCACCAUAUUGUUCGAAGCUUCCAGAUUAGGUAGUUUUUCUGAACUCAUAUAUCGUGCCAAGGACCGCGUUGAUACUUGUCUACCUUUAUGAUCUUGAAUCGUUUUCGACUCUUCUUGCACACGGUCAAUGUCCUUUGCUACUUGUCGCAAGCUCUCACGAAGUUCCUCAUGUGCUUUUCCUCUCUGCGUUUCAUCUUCUGCUAUCAUUGCUUCUCGUAGUCCGAAUUCAAUUUUGUCUUCCGCAGCAUUCGCAAAACCUUUUAUCCGCACUUCCAAAUCUGUCAUUGCCCCAUAACUACUGAUUUGUUUCUCAGAGUUCUUGAGAAAUGCUUCUAUAGAACUCACUUUCUUAUGUAGAGCUACAAUUUCUUCUCUGUGGCAAAAAGCAAGGGAUAGCAUUGGCAAAUCAGACAUCAACAGCAGUUCCAUUGUUCUUACAAGAGAUGCUAUACUCGCGUACGCCAUAUCUGUUCUCCUGCUUUCAAAAUGCAAUUACGACUUGAAAACUGCAAGUUGCAGGAGCCCGAUAGUAUUAACAAAAACAGCGAGGUAAAAAUUAAGAAAUCAGGCUCCUUCAGUCUGCACUCUUCACUAUCUCAAUUUCUUAAUCGUAUUUGUAACAGACUUUAUGUCUACUUCAUAUUCAUGUCAGCAUCACCUACUUUACUACACUUCACCGGUCUAAGAAAACAUUGCACAGAUGGUGGAAGAGGAGCUGUAUGAUGUUCAUAGAUUUCUAUCAGCUAGUUGCGAGGGCCAAUACGACAAGGACUUGGUUGAACGAUAGCUGGCCAAAGAAAGAGGAACAGAAGUGGACAAAGUUGCGGAGAACUACUGGCGUUCUAUGAGUGGAUAGAUCGCAUAAGCUGGAUUUUUUGUACCUAUUCAUAUGCUUUGCCAGCCCUACUGUCCAGGCUUGCUUGCACGCACCUCGACUAGUUCCACUAAGUACCUGCAACCUCCCACCAACACAGGUACCGGAUAACUCUGUCCCCAAAGGCUUUGACAUAUCGGAAGAAAUUGCCUAGUGUUUUUUUGCUUCUCACUGUGACUUAAAACUAGACCUCAUGGUUCUCGCCUCACUUCAUUGACCACCAGGCCACACCCUCGAGUGGGUGCCAAUGUUACUUCGAUGAACUUAGACGGAUGUGAGAGACCAGGAUGUUAUAUUUGGAACUGUUGACAUUAAUAGGUACUGCAUAUUUUUAAAGGAUCCAAGCAACAUAGGUUAUAAAAGAAGUGAAUCGAUAAAUACCAACCAGUACCACUAUAAAUACUUUCAAGGGGAAAAAUAUACUAAAGACACAUGAAUAUGAGUUUCAAGCAACAAAUUAAUGAAGCAUAAAAGAAAAUUGCAUUACCUCUAAUGGAGAUUGAAAGGUGAAACUGUGUCUGCUAUCAAGUUACACAAAAUAAGUUCUGUAUAUGAAAAAAAAAAAGAGUUGACUUUAAAGAAAAGGGAUGACAACUCCAAUAAGUUGACCUUGGGAUUUAUGUCCAUCAAGGAAAAUAUAAUAUUAUGGCCAAGGUCUUUCUCUAAAAUAUCAGUGAGGUAUAUUUCUACUUAAUUUCAUAAGUGAGAUCUGGGAAGGGUCAGUGGCGGAAGAAGAAUUUUCACUAAGAAGGUUCAGCAAUAACAUGCGAACAAAUGGCGUUCACCAUUUACUAUAUAUGCAUAAAAAAUAAUUUUAAUCAUGUAUAAAUUGUAUAAUUUUCUAUCGAAGGGGGUUCGGAUGAACACCUCAUCAAAGGGUAGCUCCAACUCUGGUCAAGUGUAUGCAGACCUUAUCCUUAUCUCGUGAAAGUAGAGAGAAUGUUUUCGAAGGACCCUGGCUCAAAUGCAAUAAAUCAAAUUAGUUAUAAAAAAAAGAAAAAGAAAAAGGAAAAACGAUAGCGAAGAAAACUAACUAAAAAAAAUAGCACAUAGCAUUCAAAAAAAGGACAUGACAACAAAAAUAGUAUGAUGACAAUUGAAACAUAAUAUAACAAUCUUUAUCUUUAUUUCUUAAAAAUAUAGCUACAUAAUCAUCGUUUAAUAACUUUUUAUCUUAAAACUACAUAAUGCACUUUCCCCACAUGCAACAAUAGUUGAAGUUCUCAUCCCAAUUUAUCAGAAGGCAACUCUUUGUUAUCUAAAAAUAAUUAAUAUAUCUUGAUUAUUCACUCAGAGAGGUAUGCCAUUUUUCUCUUGAUUUUAAUCUGGAUUACUUGCUACUAUAUCUGUUUUUGUUUUACACCUUUUUUUAUAUACUCAAUUUGUGUUUUUUAUGUUCUUUUCACAUAGUAUAUUGUUGCAGUGAUCCGUUGCUUCUUCUCAACUUUAUACCCUUGAAAGGUUAGUUUCCUUUAAUUACUCAUUUUUCUGAGUUAAUAAAUUGUCAGUUGAGGGACCAUCUGCAAAAUCAACCUCAACAACUUAGCAUAUGUACUGCCACCCAGUAAUUUUUGUUAAGAAUACUGCUAAUCAUCUCGGAUAAAAAGAAUUGCUCUCUUCAUUUAAAAAAGAAUGAUCUAUUUUGACUUAGCACGAAGUUUAAGUAAAUAAUGAAGAUUUUUGAAUCAUGUAGUCUUAAAUUGAAGUUAUAUCAAAUAUACCAAAAUGUCCUUUAAUCUUAUGGUCUAAAUACGUCGCGUGGAUAGUUGAAAUUAAUGUAUUAUCAAAAAAGAAAAAAAGUCACUCUUUUUUAAACAGAUUAAAAAGGAAAGUAGGUCAUUUUUUUCUUAGAGAAAAUACCCAAUUACCCCCCUGAACUAUAUCCAAAAAGGCUAUGACACACCUCAACUUAAAGGGGGUCCUAUUACUCCCCUGAACUAAUUAAAAGUGUAAUUUUGACGUCCUUAGUUCAUACAUGGCACAUACGUGGCACACACGUGUGCCUACGUGGAUACUUCAGUGUGUUGUACCACGUAUGUGCCACGUAGGCUCUAACGGUGUCAAAAUUACACUUUUAAUUAUUUCAGGGGUAAUAGGACCCAUUUAAGUUGAGGUGUGUCAUAACCUUUUUGGGUAUAGUUCAGGGAGGUAAUUGGGUAUUAUCUCUUUUUUAUUUUUAAACAAAGGAAAUAUCUUUUUCCUCCAAGUAUACAGUGGAAAACCAAGGUCCAUUUCAGUUUGUUUGUCCGAAUUUGACUUGACAGAGAGCUGAAGAAAGUAAAGAAAAUUUUUGAAUCUUGUGAUCUUAUUCUAAAAUGUCCUUUAAUUUAUCGCCCGACUUUCUAGUAAAGAGGUUAUUUCUGAUCAUAAACCCUCGGUACAAGAGAACCGUUUUUCAUGAAAUGAUAUGCAAGUAGUACUUGUUAAAGAUUACCAACGCAUAUGGAUGAAGUGAAAGCAGCUGAUACUAGCACUAUGGUUACUGUUUUAUUGCUUAAGUCUGUUGCAUUGUCCAAAUAGUGUAGUAGUUAAUUAGUCGCGAGGAGUAGUUAGUUAGUUAUAACUAAUUGUCAGCUAGGACACUACAAGUUGAGAAGAUUCUAGGUACUUUGUACAAACUCUAUAAAUAAAACACUAAGUCAGCUAGGGAGGAACUGUAACUUCCAAUUCUCACUAUUACAUCAAUAAACACUUUGAUCUUCUUCCUCUUUCUCUUGUGAGCUAUUCCAGCUAUGAAGUAGUGUGAGUAUACACGUUAUGUAGCAAUAAAAUAACCUAAUCUGAUUUAGUUUACGCUUGCCUUUUUUGCCAAUCUGUGUGUCACAUUAUCUAUAAAACCAUUGACCUCUUGCAACCUGCAGCUUUCAGGUCAUAAUCGCCAAGGCAUACGUGAAUAUAGUAGAUAUGGAACAUGGAAGUGUGGCAUCUCUUACGGGAACAAUAGAAUCUCUCUUGACAUCCAAUUCACCGAUGCAAUCUCUAUCUUGUGACUACAGAGAAGAAAUUUGCGAUCUUCAUAAAAAGAUUAGUUCCCUGGAAAUAUUUCUCAAGAACUUCGAGAAAAACAAUGUUUAUGGGCAAAUUACUGAUUUGGAAGUAGAGUUAAAAGAAGUUGCAAAUAUUGCUGAACAAACAAUUCAACUAAGAGUUACUGAAGUUGUAUUGGUAAAUGAUGAAAAGACACAUGAGAGGCUAUCUGAUACCCUGCAACUAGUAGCAGAGGACAUAGAUCGUAUCUGGAAAGUGUCGACAAAGAUUAAAGAUAAAGGAAAACAAGUAUCAGAGGGAUCAUUGGUUCAAGAUUUUUCAAGUUCAAUAAACAAUAUUCUGAAUGUUAACAGCAAUACGGUUGGACGUGAUGAUCAAAAGGAGCGCUUGUUAGAACAUCUUACUACAAGCAAAGUCAUCCCGAUUGUCGGGAUGGGAGGCAUAGGUAAAACAACCUUAGCGAAAGAAGUUUACAGUUAUGAAUCAAUUCUAGGCCGAUUUGAUGUUCGUGCCUGGGCUAUUGUAUCUCAACAGCACAACAUAAAGGAAAUUUUGCUGAGCCUUCUGCAAUCGACGAUCAAAAUGGAUGACACGGUUAAGAUGAAAGGUCAAGCAGAGCUAAAAAGUUUAAAGAGAAAGAGGUACUUAAUUGUCUUGGAUGAUAUCUGGAGUUGUGAAGUGUGGGAUAGCGUGAGAUGAUGCUUUCCAACUGAAGACAAUGCAGGGAGUCGAAUACUGUUGACUACCCGUAAUGAUGAAGUAGCUUGUUAUGCUGGUAUAGAGAAUAUUUCUUUGCGGAUGAGCUUCAUGGAUCAAGAUGAGAGUUGGAAUCUUUUCAAAAGUGCAGCAUUUUCAAGUGAAGCAUUACCAUAUGAGUUCGAGACUGUUGGAAAGCAAAUUGCAUAUGAAUGUCACGGGUUACCACUAACUAUUGUAGUGGUUGCUGGACUUCUCAAAUCUAAAAGGGCAAUAAAAGAUUGGGAAAGUGUUGCGAAAGAUGUCAAGUCAUUUUUCACAAAUGAUCCUGAUGAACGAUGUUCACGUGUGCUUGGGUUGAGUUACAAUCACUUGACUAGCGAUCUAAAGACUUGUCUACUGCAUUUCGGAAUUUUUCGAGAAGACAGUGAGAUUCCAGCGAAGAAAUUGAUGAGAUCAUGGAUGGCUGAGGGUUCCUGAAGUUAGAAAAUGAUUUGUAAGGAGAGGCCGAGAAGUGUUUGCAAGACCUUGUCGAUAGAUGUCUAGUCCUCGUCUGCAAGAGAAGUCUAGAUGGAACAAAAAUUAGAUCAUGUAAGGUUCAUGAUCUAAUAUAUGACCUGUGCUUGAGAGAAAUUCAAAGGGAGAACAUUUUUAUCAUGAAAGACAUUGUGGUUUGCGUAUCUAUUUCAGAAUGUCAAUCUCUCAGAAUCCAUAAAAUGCAGCCGUUUAAGUGCGUGACUGAUGAUGAAAUUGAUUAUUGUCGCUAUGGUCUUUAUAGGGCUCUUCUUACCCCUGUACAUCGUCAAUUGAGAGAUCAUGACAACAACGAUCUUUUGAAACGAACCCAUUCUAUUUUUCCUUUGGGUCUUAAUGAUUUAUUUUUUAUGCUCAAAUCAGAGCUUAUUCAUUUCAAAUUACUCAAAGUCUUGGACUUGAGUCACGUGAGGAUUGAUAGUUUCCCUCUACAGAUACUAAACCUCAUCUGGUUGAGGUACCUAGCAUUGCUCAUCUAUGUGAAUUUAAAAAUACCUCGAGAAAUUUGCAGGUUAUGGAAUCUGUGGACAUUCAUUGUAAAGGGAAUGCGUCUAUCAGUUAUAACUUUUCCUAAGGAAAUUUGGGGACUAAUGCAAUUAAGGCAUCUUAAACUGUCCAGAUUUUAUUUGCCAGAUUGCCCAAGCGGAUCUGUUGACAAAGGAAGGCACUUGGAUUUUUCAAACAUACAAACUAUUUCUUACUUGUCUCAACGUUGUUGCACGAAGGAGGUUAUUAUGGGGAUUCAGAAUGUCAAAGAAUUAGGAAUCAGUGGUGGAGAUGAGAUUGACUCUAAUGGGCCUCUCAACAAUCUUGUCCAUCUUCAGCAACUUGAAACAUUGAGUUUUAUAUUUUGCUUGAAGAUUUUGCCAGCAAGUGCAAAACUUUUCCAGCAACGAUCAAGAACCUGAAGUUGGAAAGAACUUUGACAAGUUGGUCGUACUUGGACAUCAUAGCUGAAUUUCCUAACCUUGAGGUGCUGAAGCUGAUGGAUCACGCUUGUCUUGGGGAUGAAUGGCAUCCAAUUGUCAGGGGAUUUACUCGAUUGAAGCUUUUGCUAAUUGAAAAAGAUAAUUUUCUCAAGCACUGGAAUUUUCCUGUCCUUGAGCGCCUUGUUCUUAAAAAAUGCCAUAAUUUGAAAGAGAUACCCAUUGAGUUUGCAGAAAUCCACACACUACAACUGAUUGAGUUAACAAGGUGUCUUCCCAAACUUGGGGACUCUGUUUCUCAUUUCCACAAGUCAAGUCGUACACAAAAGUUCCUUUGUCACGACCCGACCCAAGGCCCUGGCCGCGACGGGCAUCCCGAACCACACAGGCCCAAGAUACCCCUUCUCACGUCUCAACCCACUAGUGAUAUUGUCUGCUCUAGGCCCAAGCUCGCACGGCUUUAAAACGGGUCACUAGGGAGUAAGGAUUUCUCACUUAUAUACCCAGCAUCCCUCCUGUGUUUUGCCGAUGUGGGACUCCUUGCUAAGUUGGGGUGUCACACCCUUGCCCCAAAAAUAACUUUGACAAAAUUUGGUUAAAAUCCUACUUAAAAUAUAAGAGAAAUUAACAAGAAUAUCCCUGAGGGUAGUUCAAAAUAUCCCCUUAAAUAUAUUUUUGAGCGGUUUUGGUACUUUAGUUUAAGCUUGCUAAAUGUGAGCACUUUUGGUCUAAUUGUUACUCAUAAAGUGGCAAAUGGGAUGUUUGGGCCGAAGUUGGGCAGGUUAAGAUGGGUUGAACAAACAAAUGAGCUAAUGUCUCACGUGAUGAUGAUUGAUGAUCAAGAAAGAUUUAGAUGCUGAUGUUGCAGAAGAUGAUGAUAACGAAGAUUUUGAUGAUGCCGCGGAAUGUGAUGAUAAUUAAGAUCUUUGGUUGUGAUAUGUUCAGAAUAACCUGUAAUGAGAAUGGAAACUAUAGAUUAACAAUUUGAUACUGUUAUAGACUGCUGAUGCUAGUUCAUCACACUAUGUUUGUCACGACCCGACCCGAGGUCCUGGCCGCGACGGGUAUCCCGAACCACACAGGCCCGAGAUACCCCUAUAUCUCACUUAUAUACCCAGCAUCCCUCCUGUGUUUUGCCGAUAUGGGACUCCUUCCUAAGUUGGGGUGUUACAAUGUUUUUCAUAAAUGUAAAUGUAUUACAACUAAACUAUCGGUUUCAAGCAUCUUGUGGCUUCCAAGGAGAUGUGAUCUUUUUUGUAUUGUAACAUAUUUUUUGCGUUGAUAGAAUUUUUUCUAAUUUUACUCAGUUGUUCAUUACUGAAGUUCUGAAUUUAUGAGCCCACAAUGGUUAACACGAUCACACACUCAUUUUAUUUAGUAACGUUAUUUAUUAAAUGAACGGAAAUGUGCAUUUAUAUGGUGAUUCUCUUGUGUUACUAUUUAAUGUUGAUGCUCCGUUAGAGGCACUUUUUACUGUUUGUAAUUGAAGCGUUACCAUCGGAAUUUGAGACUAUCGUGAAGCAGAUUAUAGACAAAUGUAAUCUCAGUUGUUGGGAUUUUGUCAAAAGCAAAUUACAUUACUAUGUUUUAGCAUUAUUUCGGGCUUCCAAGGAGAUGUAAUUUCUUUAUAUUUUAAAUAAGAAGGCAUCUACUUCUCGACUGCUUUGAACUGUUUUUCUUUAGCCAAGGGUCUAUUGGAAACAUCCUCUCUACCUCUAAGAUAGCGGUAAGGUUUGCAUACACUCUACCCUCUUCAGAUCCCGCUACAGUCAUUACUACUAUGACUUUUGUUUUGAUUAAUCUUUUAUCAUCAAUAAAUGAGUUCUCUUUAUUCGAUAUGCAAUAGUUUUAGAUCAUAUUCUAUAAGAAAGAUGUUUUGAAAUUUUAUGUCUUUCACCAAUUAAUCUUUUUUCUAGAUUUAAAAAUGUUGAGAUUUGACUUGAGAAGCGAUAUCUACAAGAUAGGUUUGCAUUUAAUGUGUUCGAGACAAAACAUAGUACUUAUGUCAUUUGAAUAUAGAUUAAUUUUAGGGACUUGAAUUUCUAAGAUUCAGUAAAUUGUAUGGGGUGUAAAAGCACAUGAGAAACUUUGUGAGAGCUUGCAACAAGUAGCGAAGGACAUUGACUGUGUCCAAGAUCAUAAUGGGACAGUGUCCAAGAAGAGUCGAAAAAGAUUCAAGAUCAUAAUGGUAGACAAGAAUCCAAAUGGUCCUUGGCACGAGAUAAGAGUUCAGAAAAAUUGCUUAAUUUGGAAGUUUCGAACAAUAUGGUGGGACGCGGCAAGGAAAAGAAAAGGAUUCUUCAAGAAAUGAGAGGAGGUUCCUCCGAUGAAAUAAAAGUCAUCCCAAUUGUCAGGAUGGGAGGCAUUGGCAAGACAACUUUAGCAAAACAAGUUUUCAAUGUGAAAGAAAUCCUGCUAAGUCUUCUUCAAUCUAUAAUCCAAAUCGAUGACAAAGUCUACAGCAGAGAUGAGGCAGAGCUAGCGGACCUUCUACAGAAAAGUUUGAAGCGUAAGAGGUAUCUUAUUGUCAUGGACGACAUAUGGAGCUAUAAAGCAUGGGAUGACAUGAGACAAUGUUUUCCAAUCGACAAUAACAGGAGUUGAAUACUGUUGACCACCCACCAUACUGAGGUAGCGCUUUAUGCGAGCUCAAAUAAUCUUCUUUUAAAGAUGAAUCUCAUGAAUUCAGAUGAGAGUUGGAACCUAUUUAAGAGCAAGGCGUUUGUAAAUGAAAGAUUCCCGCGUGACAAAUGUCACUUUGCUGAUUGCAAACAAAUGUCAAGGAUUACCGCUAACAAUUGUCGUGGUUGCUGGGCUUCUAUCCAAAUCUAAGAGCACAAAAGAAGAAUGGAAGAAUGUUGCUGAGAAUAUCAAGUCGUUUCUAAUGAAAGACCCUGCUGCACAAUGUCUAUGCGUUGUCGCAUUGAGUUACAACUACUUGCCUAAUGACUUAAAAGCAUGCCUUCUCUAUCUCGGAAUAUUUCCAGAAGACAGUGAAAUUUCAGUGAAGAGGUUGGUGAGAUUAUGGAUCGCUGAGGGGUUCUUGAAACUGGAGGGUGACCUAGAAGAAGCGGCUGAAAACCGUUUGCAGGAUCUUGUCGAUAGAUGUCUAGUCUUAGUUAGCCAAAAAAGCGCAGACGGAAGAAAAAUCAAGACAUGCAGGGUUCAUGAUCUGGUAAAUGAGUUGUGCUUGAGAGAAGCACAACGCGAAAACUUUUUGUUUAUCAGAAAUGAUGACACAGGAACCGUUCCUCUUGUGGGCUGUCGAUUGAUUAGCAUACAGAAAAGGCGACAAGCUGGUGUUGAUUUUAAGGAUGAGAAUUUUUUAAGGUCUCUUACUCAUACCAAUGAUGAUAAUAGUCCGUCGAGAAGAAUUAGUUCAAUUUUCCUGUUUGCUGCACCUUCUCUCAGUACUAAUCCCAAUUUCGAGCUUGGUCAUUUGAACUUAAUCAGAGUCUUGGACUUAAGUUCUAUGUACUUCUCACUUUUUCCGCUGCAGAUACUCUCUCUCUUUUUGUUGAGGUACCUAUCUUUUUCGACUCACACAUCUUUUGGCAUACCUCGAGGAAUUCGCAAAUUAUUGAAUCUACAAACUUUCAUUGUUCAAGGAUCAGUUCACUCAUUUAUAAAGUUUCCAGAACUGACUUGGGAAAUAAAGCAACUGAGACAUCUGAAACUCCGAAGCUUUUAUUUGCCGGAUACUCCAAGUUCAUCCAUUGACGGAGAGAGGAACUUGGUUUGGUCAAACAUACGAACUGUUUCGGGCUUGCUUCCUUAUUGCUGCACUAAGAAAGUCCUUUCCAGGAUUCAAAACAUUAAGAAAUUAUGUAUUCGGGGGCACGUAUAUGACUAUGGCAUGCGUGAAGAAGUUAUGGACUUCAGUGAAAUCGUUGAUCUGCAUCAGCUAGAAACGUUGAGUAUUAAAGUUGAUCGUUAUCAUGUAAGUCACUGGAGUUCAAGAUUCCAUAAAUCAACAGUUUGUGUACCUAAUGCAACAUAUUUUCCGACAAAGCUCAAGAAGUUAACUGGUUGGAACUCGUCUAACAUGGGAGGACUUGAACAUCAUAGGUCAAUGGCCUAAUCUCGAGGUGCUGAAGCUGAAAGCAAAUAUUUGUCAUGGCCUAGAAUGGCGGCCAAUUGGAGGGAGGUUUCGUCUGUUAAAACUUUUGCUAAUCGAAGGUACAAAUCUCAAGUACUGGAAAGCCACGGAUGAUCAUUUCCCCACCCUUGAUUAUCUAGUGAUCAGACAUUCCCUUCAUUUGGAGGAGAUCCCUAUUGAGUUUGCGGAUAUUUACUCACUACAGCUAAUCGAGUUACAGAACUGUAGUGCAAAACUUGUGGCUUCUGCCGGAUGAAUUCAAGAAGAGCAAGAAUCUCUGGGAAGCAAAGGUGUAAACAUUCGUUCUUACAACGAUCCAGGUGAGUACAAUAAUUUCCUUUGAAAUUUCAAACAAUUUUGAAGUUUAUAGUUGACAAGUUAUGUUCUUUUUGCUACAGCUGAAUGUGAACAUAGUCGAAGUGAUUCUGAUUCAGAUUGAUGUUUACUAAGGAUUGAAGACUUCCAAUGUUACGAACCCUGUCAUGGGAUUUGCCGACAACACAAGUAAUGACAUAGUAAAUGAUGGACUUGGGCCUGAGGCAAGGUGAAGUUACAACCGAACAAUAGGGUGGAUUUCCUCUGGGAUCCAGGUUAAGCAAGCACGUUAAAAGGACGCAUUCGCCUAUUGAAGGGGUUAUACAAUUCCGUUGAAGAUUUGGCUUAGUCCGUCAAACUCUCAUCUCCUUUCUAUGUUCAAGUAUCUCAUCUCCUUCGCUGUAUUAUUCACUAUUAUCUUGUAUUCUCCUUUAGAGUUGUGUUGAGAAAUUUGAGUUGUUACAACAGACUUUCGAUUUGUAGACUUUUGUAGUUGUUUGUCAAUCAUCAGAACUAAUUUCAGCUUCACUCAUAUGAAUGGAAUACAACAGUUUUCUCAAAAACAUAACUUGUUUAUCAAGGAUUUAGACAUGUACAAAUUUUCCAGUCUUUUCCAAAUACUUUCGGAAACAGCCUCUUUACCUGCACGAGGUAGUGAUAAGGUCUGCGUACACUCUACCCUCUCAAGACAUCAGUUGUGGGAUUUCACUGGGUAUGUUGCUGUUGUUGUUGCUCCAAAUACCAUGGUAGAAGUUCUGAGUUCAAAUCAUAGGCACUAUAUUAUUAUUCUCCGACCCUCUAAGUGAAAAUUCUAGAUCUGCCUCUACCGUCAGCCCAUUUUUAUAAAGUUUUAACUCUUUUAUGUUUUCUUUCUUUUUUCCUUUGUAUAGAACUUAUACUAGGUAACUUGAUUCCUUUCAGAGAAGAAGUAGGAUAUGGUAAAUAUUUUUUUUAAGAGACUCAAAAUUGAGGCUAAAGGAAUAGUAACUCGUUGACAAAUUGGCAGCUCGGUGCACUAAAGCUCCCGCUAUGUGCAAGGUCCGAGGAAGGACCAAACGACUAUGGCUUAUCGUACGCAGCUUUACCUUGCAUUUCUGCAAGAGGUUGUUUUCACAGCUUGAACCCGUUUACUCCAGAAAUCCCUUUCGAAUUGUACCUCAUAAUCACUGAUUUGUUUCUCAAGAACACUGAGAAACAAAUCAGUGAUUAUGGGGAAAUGAGAGAUUUGGAAGCGCAGACAAAAUUGAAUUUUGGACUACGAGAAGCUAUGAUAGCAGAAGAUGAAAUGCAGACAGGAAAAUAACAUGACCGUGUCCAAGAAGAGUCGAAAAAGAUUCAAGAUUAUAAAGGUAGACAAGCAUCGACAUGGUCCUUGGCACCAGAUACGAGUUCAGAAAAAUUACCUAAUCUGGAAGUUUCGAACAAUAUGGUGGGAUGUGAAAAGGAACAGAAAAGGAUGCUUGAAGAACUCACAAGAGGCUCCUCCGAUGAACUAAAAGUCAUCCCAAUUGUCGAGAUGGGAGGCAUAGGUAUCUCAACCAAAUCAGGCACAGUAUUUGUGGAGGGAAAUCAUCAAGCAUUAUCGGACCCAAGUCCGAGAUUCUGAGUAACUUGAAAUGUUUAAGCUCCGAUUUGAGAGUACAGACUGAAGAAUAAAUACAAAAAGAGAAAAUGGAUAGAGUUCGUUUCAAGAGUUGUAGACAUUUUCUGCAACAACUUCCCCAUCUUCUAUUAUCGUUUUAGAUUUGCGCAGAAGGCCAGCAACCACGGCAAUAGUUACAUUUGUCCGCGAUUUGCUUCCCAUUAGUCUUGAAUUCAGAUGGUAAUGUUUCAUUUGCAAAUGCUGCACUUUAAAAAAGGUUCCAACUCUCACCUUGAUCUAUGAAACUUAUCUGCAACGAAAGAUUCUCUAAUAACAAGCCACUUUGUUGUUACGGGUAGUCAGCAGUAUUCUACUCUUGUUGUUCUGGAUCGGAAAGCAUUGUCUCACAUCAUCCCAUGCUUUACUACUCCAUAUGUCAUCCAUGACAAUUAAGUACCUCUUUCACUUUAAACUUUUCGGUAGCAUGUCUGCUAGCUCUGCCUCGUCUUUCAUCUUAUCUCCGUCAUCCAAUUUGAUUGUAGAUCGCAGAAGACUCAGCAAGAUUUCCUUUACAUCAUGUUGUUGAGAUACGGUAGCCCAAGCACGGACAUCAAAAGGCUGUAGAACGGAUAUGUCAUUGUAAAUUUCCUUUACUCUCGUGUUCCUUGUGCAGUUUUUAUAGACACAACACACUUGAUAGACUCUAUAAAACCAAAGAACGUAAUACAUUUACAUUUAUGAGAAACAUAGUGUGAUGAACUAGCAUCAACAGUCUAUAACAUUAUCAAAUUGUUUCCCUUCUCAUUACAGGUUAGAGUAAAGCAUCUAGUACCCUCCUAAACUAUGACCAAAUUUGUUACGACACACUCCCACUUCACGGGGUCCCUAUUACCCCCAAACAAAAUUUUAGCAUAUUUUUACCAACCUUUUUAGCUGACGUGGAUCAUUUGACGUGGGCAUCAUUUUUAUGUAAUAAAGGUGUCACGUCAACAUAAAAGGGUGACAAAAAUACGUUAAAAUUGACUCCAAGGGUAAUAGGACCCUGUGAAGUUGGAGUGUGUCGUAGCAACUUUGACCAUAAUUCGGGGGAUGAUACUGGAUGCUUAUCUCUUCAAGUUAUUCUGAACAAAUAACAACCAAAGAUCUUAAUUAUAAUCAUGUUCUGCAGCAUCAACAUCAGAAUCUUCAUUAUCAUCAUCUUCUACAACAUCAACAUCUGAAUUUUCUUCAUCGUCAUCGUCAUCAUCAUCAUCAUCAAAUUCAUCAUCACCAUCAUAUGAUCGUACAUCUGGUGGUCGUACAUCUGUAUGACAUGACUUGUGGAAAUAAGAAACGUGUAACCUUGAUAAAUAUGUACUUACCUUGAUAAAAUUAAUACAAAGUAUUUCACUUCUUGAUAUUUCUAUUAUUAUAUAAAAUAGUUGAAUUCAAGUAAACCUCAUUUUACUAGAAUUUAUACAAUCGAUACCUAAAAAUUCGUAUGCAAUGACAACAAAGAGAGCAACGACUACUCUUCAUUUUUCAUUUCAUUUUUAUUGUAAUUUAAUGGCAGAGUUGGACAUUAGCCUAUUUGUUUGUUCAACCCAUCUUAACCUACCCAACUUCAGCCCAAACAACCCAUUUGCCCUUUUCAAGUCUUCUUUUUAAUUGAAUAGACUACAUGCUUUUUUUUUUUUUUUUGGAAAAUGACCCAAUUUUGAGACAAAUCUAUUAUCUAUCUGAUUGAUAUAUAAAAAAAUCGAUUAUCAAUCUGACAGAUCGAUUAUUGAUCCAAUCUAUAUAUGGAUAGAUCGAUUAUAUAUCUGAUAAAUCGAUUAUCGAUCCGACCUAUAUAUGGACAAAUCGAUGAGAAAAUAGAAGUAGGCCAUUUUGCAAAUUUGAAACUUGAAGAGGAUUAAUACUCAAAUUUUCUCAGUAGGCCAUUUUGCUAAUUGGAAACUUGAAGAGGCUUAAUAGCUAAAUUUUCUCAAACAAAAGUAGGCUUAAAAUACAAUUUUUCUCAAACUAAAUUACCAAAACUGCUCAAAAAUAUAUUUAAGGGGCCAUUUUGGACUACCCUCAAAUAUAAGGGAUAUUCUUGUUAAUUUCUCUUAUAUUUUAAGUAGGAUUUUAACCAAAUUUUGUCAAAGUUAUUUUUGUGAAAGAAUAUGGGGCAAAGCUAAGUAACUUUUGUGUACUAUUUACAUGGAUCGGAGAUACGAACAUCCACGGGGUUGUUUUCGAGGUCUUCUUGUUCUUUUUGAAUUCGUGCUGCAGAUUCCUCAAGUUCGGGAAGACACCUUGAUAACUUAAUCAGUUGUAGUGUGUAGAUUUCUGCAAACUCAAUGGGUAUCUCUUUCAAAUUAUGACAAUCGUUAAGCACAAGGCGCUCGAGGAUGGGAAAAUUGUGAUAUGUGGCUUUCCGGUACUUGAGAAAACAAUCAUUAACUAACAAAAUCUUCAAUCGAUUAAAUCCCCUGACAUUUGGAUACCAUUUAUCGGCAAUACAAGCACAAUCCACCAGCUUCAGCACCUCAAGGUUAGGCAACUCAGCUAUGAUGUCCAAGUACGACCAACUUAAUGGAGUAAGUCUUAACUUCAGCUUCUUGAGCGUUGCUGGAUAAGCUUUUGCACUUGCUGGCAAAAUUCUACUAUAACAAUAUGUAAAACUCAAUGUUUCAAGUUGCUGCAGAUUGACAAGAUUGUUGAGAAGCCUAGUGUCCCGAAUACUAUUAGAGUCAGUCUUAUAUCCGCAGAUUCCUAAUUCUUUGACAUUCUGAAUCCCCAUAAUAACCUCCUUCGUGCAACAACGUGGAGACAAGUAAGAAAUAGUUCGUAUGUUUGAAAAACCCAUGUGACUCCCUUUCUCAACAGAUACGCUUGGGUGAUUUGGCAGAUAAAAUUCGGGAAGUUUGAGAUGCCUUAAUUGCAUUAGUCCCCAAAUUUCCUCCGGACAAGUUAUUUUCACGAAUUGACUAAGACCUUGAACAAUGAAUGUCUGCAGAUUCCAUAAUCUGCAAAUUUCUGGAGGUAUGUCUAAAUUCUCUCGGCAGUACAAUGAUAGGUACCUCAACCAGAUGAGGCUUAAUAUCUGUACAGGGAACUAGCGAUCACUAUGUCACUCAAGUCCAACACUUUUGAGUAAUUUGAAAUGAAUAAGCUCUAAUUUGGGACCAUAAAUUGAAUCCUUAGGAUAAAAAGUGAAAAUAGAACGGGUUCGUUUCAAAAGACCGUUGUUGUCAUGAUCUCUCAACUGACGAUGUACAGGGGUAAGAAGAGCCCUAUAAAGACCAUAGGGACAAUAAUUAAUUUCAUCACCAGUCACGCAUUUAAAGGGCUGCAUUUUUUGCAUACUGAGAUUUCCACGUUCUGAUACGCCAAGCACAAUGUCGUUCAUGAUUAAAAUGUUCUCCCUUUGAAGUUCUGUCACACACAGGUCAUAUAUUAGAUCAUGAACCUUACAUGAUCUAAAUUUUGUUCCAUCUCGACUUUUCUUGCAGAUGAGGACUAGACAUCUAUCGACAAGCUCUUGCAAACACUUCCCAGCCUCUCCUUCCGAAUCAUUUUCCAACUUCAGGAACCCCUCAGCCAUCCAUGAUCUCACCUAUCUCUUCACUGGAAUCUCACUGUCUUCUAGAAAAAUUCCGAAAUGCAGUAGACAAGUCUUUAGAUCGCUAGUCAAGUGAUUGUAACUCAACCUAAGCACACGUGAACAUCGUUCAUCAGGAUCUUUUGUGACAAAUGACUUGACAUCUUUAGCAACAUUCUCCCAGUCUUCUAUUGCCCUUUUAGAUUUGAGAAGCCCAGCAAGCACGGCAAUAGUUAGUGGUAACCCGUGACAUUUCUCUGCAAUUUGCUUCCCAAUAGUCUCGAACUCAGAUGGUAAUGCUACAUUUGCAAAUGCAACACUUUUAAAAAGGUUCCAACUCUCAUCUUGAUCCAUGAAGUUUAUCUGCAUAGAAAGAUUCUCUGUACCAGCAUAACAGGCUACUUCUUUGUUACGUGUAGUCAACAGUAUUCGACUCCCUGCAUUGUCUUCAGUUGGAAAGCAUUGUCUCACGCCAUCCCACACUUCACAACUCCAGAUAUCAUCCAAGACAAUUAAGUACCUCUUUCUCUUUAAACUUUUCUGCAGUAGGUCUGCUAGCUCUGCUUCACCUUUCGUCUUAACCAUGUCAUCCAUUUUGAUGGUCGAUUGCAGAAGGCUCAGCAAAAUUUCCUUUAUGUUGUGCUGCUGAGAUACAGUAGCCCAGGCACGAACAUCAAAACGGCGUAGCAUUGAUCCAUGAUUGUAAACUUCUUUUGCUAAGGUUGUUUUACCUAUGCCUCCCAUCCCGACAAUCGGGAUGACUUUGGGUUCACCGGAGUAGCUUCCAGUCAGAUCUUCUAACAAGUGUUCCUUUUGAUCAUCACGUCCAACCAUAUCGUUGUUAACAUUCAGAAUAUCGUUUGUUGAACUAGAAAAAUCUUGAACCAAUGAUCCCUCUGAUACUUGUUUGCCUUUAUCUUGAAUCUUUGUUGACUCUUUCCAGACACAAUCAAUGUCCUUUGCUAAUUGUUGAAGGCUUUUACGGAACUUUCGGCGUGUCCAUAUAUUCGAGAUUCCCUUGAAAAAUUUUGAGCCAGUGAUUCCUAUGAUGCUUUUAUUUUUUUCCGUUAUAGUUUCUGUUAGUCUCAGUUGAAUUGUGUAUUCAACAGCACUUGCAACUUCUUUUACCUCUACUUCAAAAUCCGUCAUUUCCCCAGAAACAUUGUUUUUCUCAAAGUUCUUGAGAAAUACUUCCAGGGAACUAACUUUUUCAUGAAGAGCAGAAAAGUCUUCACUGUGAUCACAGGUUAUAGAUUGCAUUGGUGAAUUGGAUGUCAAUAGCGAUUCUAUUGUUUUUGAAAGAGAAGCCACACUUGCAUGAGCCAUAUCUACUAUAUUCACGUAUGCCUUUGCGAUUAUGACCUGAAAGCAGCAAGAUGCAAGAGGUCAAUGGUAUUAUAGAUAACAUGAUACCCAUUCUUUGUAUGGGAACAUCUUUGUGAAUGAAUUGAGGUUAAAGAAAUCUCCUAGCUCAAAGUUCAGUUGAAAAUUUUCCUACCGAUUGACUUUUAGUCGACGUUCUUACUUGAGUCAAAUUCCAAAGAUCAUUAAUCCUAGAAUAUAAUGAGUUAGGUGUCCCACUACCUAUUAAAUUAAAGGUUUUUGAGUCUUCUUUCCAAGAAAAAAGAUAUGGACAUUUUAGUGAGGCAUCAUCCCAGCUGCGCAUUGGGCAGCGCAAGGUGGAGCUCAAGCCAGGAGAUCACUAGUUUGCCUCCAUGUUGGGCUGUGCAGCGCGGAGCGUACCUCUCCGAUGUAAAAGUCCAUUUUUUUCUAAUUAAAUCGGGGGCAAACUUGUCCUUUCACCCCAUGUAACUUUCUCAACCCGUUGUAUAACUCUAAAGUCAUCCUAAACUAGCAGAAAUCUUCAAAAUCCCUCAUUUUCUUCUUCCCAAAAAUUCUUAGAAGCAAGAACACAUAGAGUUCAAGAUUCAAGGCUCAAAUUCCAUACUUGAAACUAUUUAUACAAGGUAUUUAUUUCAAGUUAUUCUUAUAUUCUAAAUGGAUUGGGACUAGAGUUGAAGAUUGAUUUUUCUAAACUUAUGUCAUCGCUCAACUAAUAGUUAUUAAAUUAUAAAUAUGAGUAAUUAAGGCAAACUAACCUUCCAAUGGUAGAAAUUUAGGAAGAAGCAACUGGUCACUGCAGUAAUAUAUACUAUGAGAAAAAAACAUAAAAAACAUAUUAUAUGAAAAGAAAAUAUAGUAAUAAGUAAUCAAGACUAAAAUCAAUAGAAAUAUGUCAUACCUCUCUGAGUGACUAAAAUGGUAUUAAAUUUUAAAGAUAACAAAGUGUUGGCUUCUGAUAAAUUGGGAUGAUAACUUCAAUUAUUGUUGCAUGUGGGGAAAGUGCAUUUAUCUAUUUAAAUGGAACAACACAUCAAUUAUAUUUUUGAGAUAGAAAGUUAUUAAAAGAUGAUUAUAUUGUGUUUCAAUUGUUACCAUACUAUUUUUGUUGUCAUGUACUUUUUCUGAAUGCUAUAUUUUGCUUUCUUUAUUAGUUGUCAUAGUUAUUUCUAUUUUUUUCUAACUAAUUUGGUUUACUGCAUUUCAGCGAGGGUCCUUCGAAAUGCUCAACUUUAUUACUAAAAACUCAUUGUUUUUUCAACUUUCUCCUUUUUAAAGCUAGUAUUUCAUUUUUAAAUGUUCGGGCUAAUUACUAUAACCGGCCAGCUAUUGAAUAACAUGAAAGACUAAUGUAUAAUAUCGAUCGCAUCAAUAAUCGAUCUGUCAAUAUAACAAUAAGGGUCGAUAAUGAAUCUGUCUAUACCUAUCGGAUCGAUAAUCGAUCUGUCCAUAUAUUGAUCGAAUCAAUAAUCGAUCUUUCCACAUAUCAGUCGAAUCGAUGAUCGAUCUUAUCUUUAUCUAUCGGAUCGAUAAUCGAUCUGUCCAUGUGAAUUGGGUUUUUGAUUAAUUUGUAAUUUUUAAAAGAUUUUGGUGGGAGGGUUUUUUAAAAAUAAAUUCUGUCAAUUCUUGGGAUCUUUUGUUAAAUGUUCUUUUCAAGUCUUUCCUUUUAAUUAAAUAGACUACAAGUUUUCUUUUUCAGGGAAAUGACCCAUUUUUUAGACAAAUCUAUUAUCUAUCCGACCAAUAUAUAGACAGAUCGAUUAUUGAUCCGACAAAUCGAUUUUCGAUCCGAAAAAUCAAUUAUCGAUCCGAUGGACAAAUCGAUUAUCAAUCCGACAUAUGAAAAAAUAGAAGUAGGUCAUUUUGAUAAUUGAAAACGUGAAGAGGCUUAAUAGCCAUAUUUUCUCUCAAUUCUUGAUAGUUGGUGACUUGUGGAAUGAUUUAUCACUUUUAAUACUUGUAAUUAAAUUUUAAAUCACAAAUAAACUAAAAUACUCAAAAGUGGAUCAUUUCUCCCAAAAAAAAAAGACUUUUUAAAAAGUAGAAUUGAAAAGUCUGUUUAACAAGAAUCCCAGUCCCUUGUACAAGGAUGAUAUAUACAAACAUUUCAGUAAUAAAAUGACAAGAAGGUCAACUAACCUCUUAGUGGCAGAUAAAGGUUAAAUGUACUGCAAACUAAAUGUUUGUACUGCUGAAAAUACAAUGACAAGAUGAUAGAAGAAAUCAAACACAAAUAUGAAUAACAAUCAACAAAUGAAUGAAGCAAGAAAAAUAUAUUUAUAUAGUAUAGUAACCAAGAAAAAGGAUCUGAGAAGAGACAGAAAAAUGACAUACCAAUAAAGCGCUGCACGCAAUAAUGUAUAGGCAAUCAGAGUUACCAAGUAAAUUCUAUAUAAACAAGAAAAUAGUUGACUUCAUAAAAUGGGUAUUAUAAUAUUUAUUUACAACAUGGGUGUUUCCAAGAAGAAAUGACUGUACAAUGCACUAGUGGGGUUUGUAGUUUCAGCCAGAGGCUGUUUUUACAACUUGAAUUCGUAAUCUCCUGAUCACAUGGCAAUAACUUUGCCAGUUACUCCAAGGCUCUAAAAAGUGAAAAAAGAAUUAAUUCAAUACAUAGAAAGAAAGAGUUGACUUCAUAAAAUGGAGAAGGGUCGGACCAUAAGGUCUAUUGUACGCAGUAUUACCUUGCUUUUCUUCUAGAGUUUGUUUUUAUGACAUGAACUCGUGAUCCACUGAUCACGUGGCAACAACUUUACCAGUUACUCCAAGGCUCUAAAAAGAGAAAAAAGAUUAUUUCAAUACAUGGAAAGAAAUAGUUGACUUCAUAAAAUGGAGAAGGGUUGGACCAUAAGGUCUACUGUACGCAGUAUUGUCUUGUAUUUUUAUCAGAGACUGUUUCCACGACCUAAACUUAUGGCCUGCUGAUUACAUGACAACAACUUUAUCGGUUAUUCUAAUACUCAAAAUACAAGGAAAGAAAGAGUUGACUUCAUAGAAAAAUGUGUCAAUCUAGGGAAGAACAUUAAUCUUUUUUCAUUGGAGUGCUGUACAAUAUAAUAUAAGAAACCAUGUCAGGUGGAAACCACUGAAUUAUUUAUGCCAAUACAGAUUAUUUAUUCAAAUACACCUUCUAAAAAAUCCGAAAUACAGAAGACAUGCUUUUAGAUUACCGGUCGAGUGAUUAUGACUCAACCCGAGCACAUGUGAACAUUGUUCAUCUGGAUCAUUUGUGACCGGUGACUUGACAUCUUUGGCGAAAUUUUUCAAAUCUUUUAUUGUCCUUUUAGAUUUGACAAUCCCAGCAACCACGACAAUAGUUAGUGGUGACGCGUGACAUUUGUCUGCAAUUUGCUUUGCAGUAGUCUCGAACUCAGAAGGUAAUUCUUCAUUUGCAAAACCCCCACUUCUGAAGAGAUUACAACUCUCAACUGGACUCAUGAGACCCAUCUGCAAACAAAGAUUCUCUGCGGCAUCAUAACGAGCUACUUCAUUGUUACGGCUAGUCCACUGUUUUCAAGUGGAAAGCAUACUCUCACGUCAUCCAUGCUUCACUCUUACACAUGUAAUCUAAUACAAUAAAAUAUCUCUUACCCUUUAAACUCUUUUGUAGCACGUCUGCUAGCUUUGCAUCGUCGUCCAUGCCUCAUCUCCCCGGUUGACUUUGUCAUUGAUUUUGAUUAUAGAUUGAAGAAGACUUAGCAGGAUUUCCCUCACAUUAUAUUCUUUAGAUAUAGUAGCUCAGGCACGAACAUCAAAGCGGGACUGAAUCGAAGGAUGGUUAAAAACUUGUUUUGCUGAAGUUGUCUUGCCAAUGCCUCCCAACCUAACAAUUUGGAUGACUUGUUCGAAACUUCCAGAUUAGGUAAUUUUUUUGAACUCGUAUCUCGUGCCAAGGACCGUGUUGAUGCUUGUCUACCUCUAUGAUCUUGAAUCUUUUUCGACUCUUCUUGAACAAGGUCAAUGUCCUUCACUAUUUGUUGCAAGCUCUCACAAAGUUCCUCAUGUGCUUUUCCUCUCUGCGUUUCAUCUUCUGCUAUCAUUGCUUCUCGUAGUCCAAAUUCAAUUUUGUCUUCCAUAGCAUUCGCAAAACCUUUUAUCCGCGCUUCCAAAUCUGUCAUAGUCCCAUAACUACUGAUUUGUUUCUCGGAGUUCUUGAGAAAUGCUUCUAUAUAACUCACUUUCUUAUGAAGAGCUACAAUUUCUUGUCACGACCUAACUUUUCAGGUCAUGAUGGCUCCUACCAUAACCCACCAGUAGGCAAGUCAACCUGUAGUACGGAACGGCUAGUAACACACUACUUAAUAACAUAAGAAAAAGAAUGCGGAAUAUAUGAGAUAAAGAUCAAUACAUAGGUGAAUCCCAAAACCUGGUGAUAUCAGUGCAAGAGCUUCUAAACAUAAUAAGAGUACAAAAGUGAUAUAUCAAGGAGAAAUACACUGAUUCAACUUACCUCUGAAUAUAACUUAGAGGCUAGUCUAAUACAUAGGAGAGAGAUAAGUAAUACUCCGAACGUUAGGAUCUCAUUCUAAGUCUCCGAAUCAGGGCUACUCUACACGAUGCACACAUCAACGGCGAUAACUCGUACUAUGAUCUGCAGGCUGCAGAGGUGUAGUAUGAGUACCAAACGAAUGGUACUCAGUAGGCAACUGCCAACUGAGCUCCAAAGAUAAAGUAGAUAUAUACAACAUAUAAACAGAAUGGAAACUACAACCAAGAGUCCAUAAAUCAUGUAAUAAGUCAAUGAGAAUAACAAAGGACAACUAUCCUAUUCAUGUCCAAGAGUCUAACAUAUUAAGACUAAGAAGUAUCACGGUGUACUAUCUUAUUCCAGUUACAUUCAAUAUAUGCCAAAGCUAUACCGUAUAUCCUAGGUCAAUAUACAAAUAAAGAGAGAAAUAAAGAUAUAUUGUAAUAUACAAGGCGAAGGAACGACUAUACAAUAUGAUCAACGAAGAAAGGGAUAUCCGAUAGUACCAUGACUUCAAAUAGCUAUAUAUAUAUAUAUAUAUAAAUAGGAGGUCAUCUCAACAUAACCUACAUCGUCAUGUUCUCAUUUUAAGACCUCAUUAUAAUACUAUUAGGAUUCAAUACCAACAUACUGAGGAUUUCUAAUUCAUAUGGCUAGACAUAGAAUAAUCGUGCAUAGUAAUGUAAUCAUAAGAUAGAAAAGGUUGAAGACAUAUCUCAAUCCCAAUACCGGAUCCAUGACCAAUUUAUCAUAAGCUAGCCAUAAUAAUGAUCAUAACCAUGAUAAUAACAAUAUCAAUAACAUUGUAAAUAACCGGCUACUCCAGACAACCAAAUACCUAGCCGAGCCUAUGCGUACUCCCACCGCCCCAUACUCAGAAGGUUCAAUCAACAAACAAUAACACAAGACAUAUUCUUCACCCAUAAUUAUGCAACCAUCCCAUACCGGCUGAUAGACAUAGGUGCAUACUGGUGAUAUGCGAUGCACAUGCAGGAAUGAAUGCAAAAUAUACCAUCAAUAUCACAAUGCAUCAUAACUGUCCUCAUUAGGACCAUCAUCAUCGUAAUCAACCUCCGGCCUCACCGGGUAUCAAUAUCAUCUCAAUAGUAUCCUCCAGACUCAAACCGGGUAUCAAUAUCAUCAUAAUAUCCUUCGGCCUUGCCGGGUAUCAAUAUCAUCUCAAUAGUAUCCUCCGGACUCGAACCGGGUAUCAAUAUCAUCAUAAUAUCCUCCGUCCUUGCCGUGUAUCAAUAUCAUCUAAAUAGUAUCCUCCAGACUCGAACAGGGUAUCAAUAUCAUCAUAAUAUCCUCCGUCCUUGUCGUGUAUCAAUAUCAUCUCAAUAGUAUCUUCCGGACUCGAACCGGGUAUCAAUAUCAUCAUAAUAUCCUCCGGCCUUGCCGGGUAUCAAUGUAUCAUCAUAACUCUUGACACAUAAAUAUAGGCAUAUAAUAGGUGCACAGACGCAAGCCGAUAUACUCAUAACCGUAAAGAUAUCUAUCUUAUCAAUACAUCCCAAUUACUCGUUAUUAGCUAACCAACAUUUAUUACUAUUAAACCACUAGUUCGCUAGUCAUCACAUAGCCUCUAGUUAUUAGCCUAAACAUUAUUCUCCACCUAAUCCUUUUUCAUGGGAUAACAACUAACCACUAUUCAUUUAAUAGUCAACAUCUAACAUCUAGUCUAGGUUCAUCAUUAGACCAAAACCUUCAUUUAUCCACCAUUCAUUAUUAUCAACUAUUCAUCCUAUUUUUGUUAAUCGUUACUAGACAAUACAUUACUACUUGUCGUCUAACCAUCUUUUAUUAAAUGACAUCAUUCAUUAACUGACCAUCAUUAGCUACCAUGUUCCAACUAAGCAAGAUUCAUUAACUAAGACAUUAGCUUUCUAGCCAUCAAGUGCAAUAGUUAGCUAAUAGACAACUUGUUACCACAUAGCUUAACCAUCUAACAAGAAGAAAAACCAUAAGAUAAUAUUUCGGCUAUAAUCACAUUUUUAUAAUGGUAAAUAAUCAUGAACGUACCAAACCUAUGCAUGCCAUCGCCAGUAUUCAAUCAAUGGAAUAAUAAGCAUUAUACCGCAUCUUCCUUUGUCCCAUACCGGAGAGAUGUGUAUACAAACAUAUACAUAUUUAUAUUCAUAAAUUGCAAUAACAUCAUUCACAAUGAUAAACACUUCUUGGAUAUUUAAUCAGUACCAUAACACGGCCCUUGGCCCAUUAAUUUAUCCAGAAUAAUCACAACAUCAUAAUCAUGGCCUUAGGCCCAUAUACAUAUCCGGAACUCAUAUCAAUAAUCAUAUUUAUAAAUUGUAGCAUAUCUAUAAUCAUCUCACAUAUAGGAGGCAUCUCACAUCUAGGAGGCAUAAUAUCAACAAGCAUAUCGCCUCUAUUAGACAUCUCAUAUCUAUAGGUUUUGCAUCAUGACCAAGAGGAAAAUCAUUUCUAUAAGCUCAAUAACCAUAAUAAAGAGGAAAAUCAUCUCUAUGGGCCAAAUAUCGUAACUAAGAGGAAAAUACAUCUCUAUAGGCAAAAUAUCAUAAUUAAGAGGAAAAUGCAUCUCUAUGGGUCACUAAUCAUAAUCCGGAGAAAAAUGCAUCUCUAUGGGUCACUAAUCAUAAUCCGACAAAAAUCUUCACAAUUUAUCAAUUCACCAAGUAAUUCUCAUAAAUAAGGCUCAUUAGUCUCAACUAGGUCUACUAUCCGCAACUAAGCCCACAAGGGCUAACACAAAUCUUGGCCUAAGUGGGCUGGAUGAUGCCACUUCUAAUCCAUAAUUUCCAUAAUUAGGCAUACUAUGCUCCAAAUUAGGCUAAGGUAUCUAGUUCAUCCUCUAGAUGUCAAGCAAGCCAUAUUAAUGCCUAAGAUAGUAACUUCGACUAGAAACAAGGGUACUCAAGUCAACUCUACCAAACUUAUGGUUCCAACACUAUCACACUAGACCAAUAAGGUUAAAUAUACAAAUCAUGCUUCAAAUGCUAAAACCAUAUUCCGAGCAUAGCAUUAUAUCAUAUCCAUACUACAAAUUUAUCCAAACUAGGGAGAAUGCAAUAGAAUUCUACAAGGGUAUUAAGUAAUUCAACCUACGGGUCCAAAAUCCUAUCUGAUCUCCAAACUUAAAUGUAUAUUCAAUACUAAGUCAUUCUAUCCAAUAUCAAUCUUAACAUUUACAUUCACACACAAUAUAUAUCAUGCAUCAUCCAUGAAGAAGAAUAGACAGAAGCCUACCUCAAGGCUAAACCGCAAAAUCACACUUCAAGCACCACAUGCUCCUCUUCACUUCACAAUCCCCAAAAUGCCAUCACACUAUCAAAAAUAUAAUCUACUCAUCAAUACGAGUCUAACGAUACCUAUAUUACACUAUUGUACUUCGGGUCCAAAAAUGACACCAAAAAGCCCAAGUAGGUCCCACAUACGGAAAUCGCAUUUUCGAGGUCAACCCAAUGCUCAUCUAUCACGAAGGAAGCAUAACCCUCAAUUGAUGGGUGCAAACAAAUGAAAUUUUGGGCUAAAUCAAGCCCUAGGCUAAAUUGAGAUUUUGGGUCAAGAACAAUGAAAUUCAUCAAUAAAGUGAUGAAAUCUUACCUUAAUCCGGAUGAUAAUCAUGAUAAAAGAUGUUUACCAAGCUCCCUAGACACCCACAAGACUAAAUCUCAAGUUAUCAUACCCAUUUAGGGUUUUAGGCUCUCAAAUGUGAAAGAAAAAUCCUCAAAUUCGUGACCUUGGGUCUAUUUAUAGACCCCUUCGGCGAACAGACGCGGUACCCUGUGACAGCAAAGUCAAAAACUUGUUUUUGACCCUCGGAACUCUUCCGGGACCCAAAAUAUAUGAUCCAAUAGUGAAAUUUGAGUGUAAACCACAAUUCAAAUCCAUUGGAAUCAUCAAAACUUACAUAAAAGGUCAUUUCGGCAAAAAGUGGGGCCCACAUAUAUAGUUUCGAUUUUAUGACUUUCCGACUAAUAGGUUGAAAUGAGCUCGGGUGCAUUGGGACCCGAACCAAAGGUCUACCUAGAAUAAAAUGGAUAUUUCGGAUAUGCUGGCACAGUUGAAAUUUUCAUCCGAGAUCGUUUCGCUGAAGUUUUUGAUUGGUGGCCAUUUGGAACCAACGAAGAAUUCUAAAUAGAAAAUUUACUCUAAAAACCAAAUGAACUGCUCGGUAACCGAAUCCUUAGUCCCAGCAAGUCAUAAAUGACUUGGGUAAGCUAUGGAGAAGCUCAAACGGUGAAGAUAAGCGUAAAUAUGGAAAAUGACUUACAUUUCCUCUCUAUGAUAAAAAGCAACGGAUAACAUUGGUGAAUCAAACGUUAACAGCAGUUCCAUUGUUCUUAUUAGAGAUACAAUACUCGCAUAGGCCUUCUAUUCUCCCGCUUCCAAAAUGCAAUAACGACUUGAAAGCUGCAAGUUGCAGGAGCCCGAUAGUGUUAAAAUAACACGAUUCACAAAGUUCCAAAAACAGUGAGGUAAGAAAUUAAGAAAUCAGGCAACUUCAGUCUGCACUCUUCAGUAUUGUAUCUGUUACAGACUUUAUGUCUACUUCAUAUUCGUGUCAGUAUCACCUAAUUCACUACACUUGAUUUGACACUUCAGAAAUAUGAAGAAUCAACUUCAUCGGUCCAAAAAAACGUUGCACCGAUAGUGGAAGAGGAGCUGUAUGAUGUUUAUAGGUUUCUAUUAGCUAGUUGUGAGGGCCAAUACGACAAGGACUUGGUUGAACGAUAGCUGGCCAAAAAAAGAGGCACAGAAGUGGACAAAGUUUCGGAGAACUCCCGGCGUUCUAUGAGUUGAUAGAUCGCAUAAGCUGGAUUUUUGUACCUAUUCAUACGCUUUGACAGCCCUAGUGUCCAGGUUAGCUUGCACACACCUCGACUAGUUCCACUAAGUACCUGCUACCUCCCACCAACACAGGUACCGGAUAACUUUUCCCCCAAAGGCUUUGACAUAUAGGAAGAAAUCGCCUUAUCCUUUUUUUCCUUACAAUGGGAUUUAAAACUAGACCUCAUGGUUCUCGACUCACUUCAUAGACCACUGGGCCACACCCUUGAGUGGGUGCCAAUGUUACUGCAUAUUUUUACAGGAUCCGAGCAACAUAGGUCAUAAAAGAAGUGAAUCGAUAAAUACCAACCGGUACUACGAUAAAUACUUUCAAGGAUAAAAAUAUACUAAAGACACAUGAAUAUGAGUUUCAAGCAACAAAUUGAUGAAGCGUAAAAGAAAAUUGCAUUACCUUUAAUGGAGAUUGAAAAGUGAAAUUGUGUCUCCUAUCAAGUUGCACAAAAUAAGUUGUAUAUAUGAAAAAAAGAGUUCGAGUUUAAAGAAAUGGGAUGACAACUCCAAUAAAUUGACCUUGAGAUUUGUGUCUAUCAAGGAAAAUAUAAUAUUAUAGCACAUCUAUUUAACCUCAUCCCUUUUAAUUAUUUUUCAUGUAUAUAUACUUCGAUUAGUUUAUGUGUUUAUAACGUACUCAUAUUUUGAACCCCUAAGUAUAAUCCUGGCUCUGUCACUGCAUUUCCGUUAUUCUAAGAAAUAAUUUUACCAAUUAAAGUAAGUGUGCAAUCAUGUUAACCAUUGUGAUCUAUAAUUGAGGGUCAUAUACUAUGUGUAAUAAUUAAGCUUUUCUACUAUCCCAUGGAUAUCUAUGUACAUGCAAAUUAGUAUUGCCCAAAUGAGUAAUAUUACUAACAAUUCUAUUAAUGCAAAAAUAUGUUACAAUACAAAUCCAGCCACAUUAUUACAAUUUAGAGAAAUAACAGGUAAAGUUGUUGUUGUGUGACCCGGAGUUCACUACCUUAAGACGUGGAAACAGCCUCUUGCAAGAAUGCAGGGUAGGACCACGUCCAAUAGAUCCUUUGGUCUGAGCCUUCCUCGAAUCCUCGAACACAGAGGAAGCUUUAGAGCACGGGGCUUCCCUGAAAAUGAAAGAUAAAAAAAUCUAGCUACAUAUUAUUUACUCAUGUCCUUCUGAAUCAAAAUCACUCCCCCCUUGAAAGAAACAUAAAGGAUCAGUAGAAGUUCGACGAGUCACAUUAGUCGGAUGCAGAUUUAGAGCGUGUUCAACCAAACUUACAUCUUUCAACUAAUAAAGGAUAAAAUCAACUCCUAUUUUUUAAAUUUCAAAUUUCGUAGUUCCUUCUCUUUAGGACUCUUGUAUAUAGAUAAGUAUUAUCCUUUUCUUAGUUUAUCUCUUUGUUGUAUUGUAUUUAUAGAUACUAAGUCUACAAUCAAUGAGAAGUAUCGUUCCUUUCAUUCUAUUAACAGUCUUAUACUUCAUAUGGUAUCCAGAGCCAAUUAACUCUCACGAGUAUAAUUCUUUUGAUCCCUCCCACUCUUCCCAUCAAAAUGGCCACAAACAUAACUAUAACAAAUUCAGAUGCCAACACCACAAUUGUCCAGUUCAAUUCUGUCACCCAGUUACCAAUCAAGCUAACUGGAAGCCACAAUUUUUCCCUAUGGAAAGCACAAGUGUCCAUGCUUAUGUGUGGUCACAACAUUUAUCGCCAUCUCGACGGUUCUUGCCCUGCCCCUACUCGAACAAUCGCUCAAAAUAAUCAGGAAGUCGAAAAUCCUGAAUUUGUUUCAUUGUAUUGCCAAGAUCAGCUUAUUCAAAAUGCCAUCUUGGCGUCAGUUAAUCCUACACUUGCUGCUACAGUUGCCGCUGAAUCCACCACCAAGGCUGCUUGAGAUGCUUUCCACACUGCCUAUGCCAACAACUUGCAAACAAGAAUCUUUAGUUUGUGUGAUCGUCUUGCUCGUCUCUCGAAAGAAGCCCUUCCCGUCGCUGAUUAUCUACACCAAGUUCGAUCUCUCUGUGAUGAACUCGCUACUUCUGGAGCUCCUGUGUCUGAUGAGGAACUGAUUGUAAAAAUCCUCGCUGGACUUGGCCUAGAAUUUCGUGAAAUAUCUGCUGCGAUCCGUGCAAGAGACUCUACUAUCUCUUAUCCCGAACUUUAUGAAAAGUUGCUUGAUCAUCAACUUUUUAUAAAACAUGAAGAAUCAAAGAAGCCAUUAUCAUCACCAAUUACUGCUGCUAUUGCACAGAAAACAAACACGUAUCUUCGCCAAGGAAACAACUCAAACAUGCAUCCUCGCCAAGGAAACAACAACUCCAACAGGCGUCCCAGUGCAAAUUUCCCCAACACCAACCAGCCAUGGCAUAGUGGAAAAAAUAACCAACAACAACGAUAUGACAACACUCUGAAGUUCCAGUUGUGUGACCGUCCUGUUCAUUCUGCGGAAAUCUGCAGAUCCCGAUCACACAAUCACCUACAAGCCCGAGCAAACUAUGCUGCUCGACUUUCAACUCAAGAGGCUUCUUGGAUUGUUGAUACUGACGCCACUCAUCAUAUGGCCGCAGAUGUUCAAAACUUCACUGAUGUGCAAAAAUACCAUGGUCCAGAGGAAAUAGCAAUGGGAGCUGGUAGCAGCAUUCCAAUAUCUCAUACUGGUAACACCUACAUAAGUGCAUCAAAUAAGCAAUUUAAGCUUCUCAAUACCUUAUGCUCUCAUGAUAUAAAAAAUAACCUUAUUUUUGUUUCUAAAUUUUGUUGUUAUAAUCACACAUCCAUUGAAUUUUUUCCUUUUUCUUAUCUUUUGAAGGAUCUGAGUACGGGGGCGCCUCUAUUUCGCGGGCAGAAUAGAGAUGGGUUGUAUGAAUGGCCGUCGGGCAGUGAGCAUCAUUCACCACAAUGCAAUGUUGUCAUUCCUCUACACCUAUGGCAUUGGAGUUUAGGUCAUCCUAGUCAUCGUAUUUUAAAUAGGAUUUUGCAUCAGUUCUCUCUUCCAGUUUCACAUUCUAGAACCAAUUCAGUUUGUAAUUCGUAUUAUUCUAAUAAAAUGCACAGGUUACCUUUUUCUAAAAGUUCAUUGCAAAGUAAACGACCAUUGCAAAUUAUUUAUAGCUAUUUAUGGGGACCCUCUCCUGUUUUUUCAAUCGAUAACAAGUGAUAUUAUGUCUUAUUUGUUGACCAUUACUCGAAAUACAUGUUGUUUUUCACUAUAAAAUCAAAAAAGGAAGUUCUUGAUGUCUUUCAAGCUUUACAUCCCUUACUUGAGCGACGGUUUCAAACUAAAAUUUUGUCUCUCUAUAUAGGCGGUGGUGGUGAAUUUCAAGGUUUAUCAUCAUAUCUCAAAAGUCAUGGUAUUGAACACUUAGUGACCCCUCCCUACACACCCCAAAGAGUCGCACUAGUUGAACGCCGUCACAGGUAUGUUAUUGAGACGGCCAAAACCUUGCUGCACCAAGCCUUAUUGCCCCCGAUUUUUUGGAGUUUUGUCUGUCACCAAGCAGUUUACCUUAUAAAUUGUCUAACAACUCCAAAUUUACAAAAUAAAUGUCCCUAUGAAAUUCUAUUUCAAGAGUCUCCAAAGUAUGAAUCCCUUAAAGUUUUUGGUUGUUUAUGCUACCCAUGGCUCAAACCAUAUGGCAAAAAUAAAUUAGAGCCAAGAUCUAAUCCUUGUGUGUAUUUAGGAUUUUCUAAUAAACAUUAUUGCCACCUAUGUUUUGAUCCCGUCAAGAAUAAAUUAUACUUACCAAGGGAUGUUCUGUUUUUGGAAGUUACCUAUACUUUUCAGAAUAUAUUUUCCGAUUUAAAACUCAAACAGAGCGAUAAUAUUGCCUGGAAAAUUUGUUCUGAUGUUCAACUUUUGAAUCAUAAACCGUCAAGUUCAGACUCUUGUCAUCCACUCCGAGAUGCUCUGCCUGUGCAGUCUCCACUACCCAGCUCAACGUUUGCCACACCAGAAGGCGUCUCCGCUGCAUCAGGUAAUCCUCAAAAUUUAUAUUCUCCUUUGUUGCCACCUGCAAUUCCACCCCCACCUGAUAAUACUCAACCACCACCAUCAUCCAAACCAUUAAUCACCUAUCAACUCAAAAAUCGUCCACAACCAAACACCUCAUUGAUGCCACUUCUUUCCACUGUCCAGUCCCCUAGCCCGCCUUCUCAAUCACCCAAUGGCAACCCUUCCCAGAGCACACUUUCUUUGAUUCCGUCCACUCCUUCACCUGUGGUGACCACUUCAACUCAUCCCAUGGUCACACGCUCCAAAACAAAUAACCUCAAACCCAAUCAGUUUAGUGUUAGCGUCCAACUUUCCUUGCCAUUUGUUCCUCGUACAUAUAAACAAGCAUGUCCUCACCCUCAUUGGAGAGAAGCCAUGAAAGCUGAAUUUGAUGCCCUUGUUAGGAAUCAUACAUAGGAUUUGGUUCCAGCUGCUCCUUCGAUGAAUGUGGUUGACUGCAAGUGGUUGUUUCGUAUAAAACAUAAAUCUGAUGGUUCCAUUGACAAGUACAAAGCUCGGCUCGUUGCAAAGGGAUUUACCCAGCGUUCUACGAUUCGACUUUUAGCCCGGUAGUCAAACCAGUAACUGUUCGGUUGGUGCUUACUAUUGCGACACAAUACAACUGGCCUAUCCAUCAGAUUGAUGUAAAUAAUGCCUUCCUACAAGUACGUAUUGAGGAAGAAGUGUUUAUGAGGAAGCCACCAGUCUUAUACUUCAUAUCAGCUCUUAACUUCACGUGAACAGAUACAGACAUAUGAAAAUCAUAUGAAAGUGUGAUAAACAUUCUGAAUCCACUAAUUCUAAAUUAUGGAUGGUCUCUAAUAAAGCAUCUCGAGAGAAUCAUACAGGGAUAUAUGGGAUGCAAACAUACACAACAAAUAUUAAACCAAUUAAACUGUUCCAACAAUAUAAAUUGCUCCAUGAAGGAGAAAAAGUACACCACAAUAAGAAUUAACAAGCUAGAAGACAUUACAACAUAAAUUUAUCGAAUCAAACUCCUGUUAUAGAAUAGAAACAGAUUGGAUGGUCUUGUUGCUCGUCUUCUCCUUGUCUUCUUUUUUCCAAAAGCUUCUCGAAGAAUCCAUGAUACUUAGGACAAGCUCAAGCCUUCUGACUCUUGCGUCUUACUAUAACAAAGCAAUACAAAUUAGAAAUAUAAAAUCUCUCAUUUAGAAUCAAAUCAUGCCAAUUAAAGUAUAGAAAUAUCAAGAGGAAUUGUUUAAGUAUACAUUUUUACAUUAGUGAUAUAUAUGUUAGAGGACUUGUUAUAAAGAAAUCAAUGUUAUGCAGUGAAACAAGCUACACCGAAUUAUGCAAUAAACUAGAAAAUAAAAAUGCAAAGAAAACACCUUGAAAUGUGAGUUCAUAUUAAAUUUUCUUUUUCAAAAUACUGUAAAAUUUACUCCACUAUAUCAAAAAUAAAUGUCAAUAAUACUUUUCCAUUUUGAAACCAAUGGAUGACUUACCCAUUUUACCCUUAGCAUUAAAUACGAUUCAUUAUCCAAUGUGUCUUCCAAAUCAUUAGAUUUAUUAGAUUCAAAUGGUAUCAUUUACUAUUUCUUAACUUAUGUGCCAAGUUAAUAGUGGACAACUAUUGAUAGACGGAGGUAGUAACAAUUAGACCAAAUGUGCUCACAUUUAGCAAGCUUAAGGGUACAUUUUGAACUACCCUCAAAUAUAAAAGAAAUUAUCAAUCUCUCUUGUCUCAACUCCAAGACUUUGAGUAAUUUGAAAUGAAUAAGCUUUGAUUUGAGAACAGGAGAAAAAAUUGAACCCUCAAGAUGAAAACAGAAAAUAGAAUGGGUUCGUUUCAAAAGAUCGUUGUUGUCAUGAUCUCUCAACUGACAAUGUACAGGGGUAAGAAGAGCCCUAUAAAGACCAUAGGGACAAUAAUCAAUUUUAUCACGAUUCACACGUUUAAAGGGCUGCAUUUUUUGCAUACUGAGAGAUCGACGUUUUGAGCCUGAGUAAUCAAGCACAAUGUCAUUCAUGAUAAAAAUGUUCUCCCCUUGAAUUUCUCUCACUCACUGGUCAUAUAUUAGGUCAUGAACCUUACAUGAUCUAUUUUUUGUUCCAUCUAGACUUUUCUUGCAGACGAGAUUGUUAUGAUGCUAACUAAUGGGUGGUGGAUUUCUUUCUUUAAAAUAGUCUUAGAAGUAGUUGUGCUCUUUCUUUGAAAUAGUCUUAGAAGUAGUUGUGCGGAAAUAAAGGAGAUAAUGGGGAUGCCCACGUUUCCAUUUACGGUUAUUAGGCCACGUUUCAUUAGUGUGUUGCUGGGAGGAGAAAAUUGCCCCAAUCUCUCUUGCUACUUCUUCUUCAUCUCUUUUCUAAAUUUCUUUGGCCAGAGGGUCAGCCGUAGACCACCUAUCAGUGGUAUCAGAGACAGGUUGAUCCAAUGGAAACACGCAAGCAGUCUCUCGAACAAUUCCAGCAACUCACUAAUGAAACGUGGCCUAAUAACCGUAAAUGGAAACGUGGGCAUCCCCAUUAUCUCCUUUAUUUCCGCACAACUACUUCUAAGACUAUUUCAAAGAAAGAGNNNNNNNNNNNNNNNNNNNNNNNNNNNNNNNNNNNNNNNNNNNNNNNNNNNNNNNNNGGUAAUGUAGGGAACCCCUACGUGAAACUCCAUGUUCCUCGGUUUAGUGGUGAUGAUCCUACGGGGUGGAUAUUUCAGGCUGAACAAUACUUUGAAUUUCAGAACGUCGUUGAUACAGAUCGGGUCAAUCUUGCCUCUUUUCAUCUUGACGGUAUUGCCUUACAGUGGCACCGGUGGUUUGCCAAAUCACGAGGUCCGAUGACAUGGAGGGAAUUUACCGCGGCUUUGCUGAGUCGUUUUGGGCCGACUGAUUAUGAUGACCCUUCAGAAUCCCUUCAUCGACUCAAACAGAUCACCACAGUUGCAGUUUAUAUUGAAGCUUUCGAACGAUUGUCACACCGUAUUGAUAACCUACCGGAGUCUUUCUUACUUGGCUGUUUUGUAGGUGGGCUGAAGGAAGAUAUACGGUUGGAGGUGAAACUCAAGAAGCCACGCACCAUGACAGAUGCAAUGGGGUUGUCCAGGUUGGUUGAGGAGAAAUUGAACUUGCAACGGCGGGUUACUCCGUCUCCUCGGGUUACCAGUUUUAAUUCCCUACCUAAAGGCCCACACUCUGCUGGAAUUUUAGGCCCAGCACCAUCUCAACGCCUAGCUUUACCUGCCCCAAGUCCAGUUCGCCGUUUAUCAGGAGCAGAGGCUAAAGAACGUCGGGAAAAGGGGUUGUGUUACUACUGUGAUGAACGCUACAUUCCGGGUCAUAAGUGCACCAAGCCCCAAUUAUUCAUGAUCAGUGAAGUCGAUGACGUUGAAGAGACCAGCAGCCAUAAGGAUGAAGCCAAUGAGAACCCUCCUGAUGAGGUUUCCGCUGAGAUUUCUUUCCACGCAAUUACCGGCACCAUCCUUCCCCAAACCUUAAGGUUGCCUGGAAAAAUUCAUAACAAAGAUUUGGUGGUCUUAAUUGAUGGUGGUAGUACCCACAAUUUCAUCGAGCAAUCGUUAGUGGAGCGGUUCGGAUUGACGGUGGAUAAUGGGGUCAAAUUGGAAGUGGUCGUCGCAAACCGUGACAAGUUAGCUUGUGUGGGACGAGUGCGAGGACUUACAAUCAUUAUUCAAGGUUACACUAUAACCACCGAUUUUUUUGUUCUGCCAAUCGCAGCUUGUCCUAUUGUCUUAGGCGUUCAGUGGUUGAAGACUUUGGGGCCUAUUGAAAUCGACUUCCAGAAUCUCACUCUUGGAUUCCAUCAGGCUGGUUCAACACAUAAGUUACAAGGGUUGCGGGGGUCGGAUUUGACUGCUUUAAAGGCUAACGAGUUGAUGGGAAUACAGGGUAUUGCCUUACUUCUCCAGGUUAAUCGGGUCGAAUCGGAGCUUUCUUCUACCUCAAGUCCUUGUCCAGCCGUUCAACAUGUUUUAACUGAAUAUGAGCAGGUCUUUCAAGAGCCAAAAGAAUUGCCCCCAAGGCGUUUCCAUGACCAUGACAUACCCUUAAUUCCCGGAGCCAAACCAGUGAGCUCUCGGCCAUAUCGCCAACCUUAUUUGCAAAAGACGGAAAUUGAAAAACAAGUUAGGGGGUUACUGCGUGAUGGGUUAAUUCGCCCCAGCCAUAGCCCGUUCUCAUCGCCGGUCUUGUUAGUGAAGAAAUCUGACAGCACUUGGCGUUUUUGCGUGGACUAUAGGGCUCUCAAUGACAUCACUGUGAAGGACAAGUACCCAAUUCCAGUAAUAGACGAGCUACUCGAUGAACUAUAUGGUGCUACGAUCUUUUCUAAGCUUGACCUUCGUGCUGGUUAUCACCAAAUACGGGUUCGGGAAACUGAUAUUCCAAAGACAGCAUUCCGAACGCAUGACGGACAUUAUGAGUUCGUUGUUAUGCCUUUUGGCCUCACCAAUGCUCCAGCCACCUUUCAAUGCUUAAUGAAUGACAUUUUCAGGCCAUACCUGCGUAAGUUUAUAUUGGUAUUCUUUGAUGAUAUUCUUAUUUAUUCAAAGACCUUGAAUGAUCAUCUUGGGCAUUUACGUACUGCUUUGGGAUUAUUAAAUACUAAUCAACUUUUUGCCAAGCUCUCAAAAUGUUGUUUUGGAGUUUCUCAAGUUAAUUAUUUGGGGCAUGUCAUAUCAUCGGGAGGUGUGGCGGUUGAAGAAAAUAAAGUUAAGGCUGUACUUUCAUGGCCUACUCCAACUAACGCAAAAGGGGUACGCGGUUUCUUGGGGUUGGCGGGUUAUUAUCGAAAGUUUAUCAAGGGAUUUGGAAGUAUUGCUGCCCCCUUGCAUAAACUAGUUGGCAAAGGCCCUUUUAUUUGGAAUGAAAAGGCAGAAGUGGCUUUCCAGGAGUUGAAGAUUGCCCUGACAACCCCUCCUACUUUGGCUUUGCCCGAUUGGUCUCACCCAUUUACUGUGGAGUGUGAUGCGAGUGGGGUGGGUAUAGGAGCUAUUCUCACUCAACGUGGAAGACCCUUGGCUUAUUUCAGUGCUCCUUUAAAGGGAAUCAUGUUAUCUUGGUCUACAUAUGAGAAGGAGAUAUUAGCUAUUGUAAAGGCGGUUCGGAAAUGGCGACACUAUUUACUGGGGCGACCUUUUGUGGUGAAAACAGACCAUGUCAGUCUCAAGUAUUUAAUGGAGCAACGAAUCACUACCCCAGUUCAGUCCAGAUGGCUACCCAAGCUUUUGGGAUUUGACUACAAAAUUGAAUAUAAGAAGGGAAGUUUGAACCAAGGCGCAGAUGCCCUCUCUCGUACGCCCGAGUUUCAUUAUCUAAAUGUUUCACAUCCUUGUUCCACCAUUUGGACCACCAUUCAAGAAGAGGUACACACAGACCCUUUUUAUUUGAAUUUACCUUCAUCCUUGCCUAUUAAAUUUAAAGGUAACCUUGUGAAGCAUGAUGGAGUUUGGUUUAGAAAUGAUGCUAUAUUGUUAAGCUCCAAUUCUCCUCUUCUAUCCACUGUGCUGGUUAUGUGUCACUCCUCUCCCGAAGGAGGCCAUUUUGGUUUUCAUAAAACUCUUGCUAAGGUGAAGCACAAUUUUUGGUGGUUGGGUAUGAAAGAUUUUGUGAAAAGAUAUAUCCGGGAAUGUCAUGAGUGUCAACGAGCCAAGACGGACACCAUGCAGCCUGCUGGGUUGUUGCAGCCACUUCCGGUUCCAGACAGAAUUUGGGAGGACAUUAGCAUGGAUUUCGUGGAAGGAUUACCUGCGUCUAACGGGUUUACAGUGAUAAUGGUGAUUGUAGAUCGACUCUCAAAAUAUGCCCACUUUGUUCCUAUGCGGCACCCAUUUACUGCUUCAAGUGUAGCUCGGGAUUUUGUAGCCAACGUUGUCCGCUUGCAUGGUAUCCCUUCAACCAUUGUAAGUGAUCGUGAUAAAAUUUUCAUAAGUUCCUUUUGGCAAGCUCUAUUCAAGCUGCAAGGGUCGGUUUUAUGCAUGAGUUCUAGCUAUCAUCCGCAGACGGAUGGACAAACAGAAGUUGUCAAUCGGAUUCUGGAACAAUACUUGCGUUGUUUUGUUUGUGACAAGCCAAAAAAAUGGGUGGAUUGGCUACCGUGGGCGGAAUAUAGCUAUAAUACUUCAGUUCACACUUCCACCAAGCUGAUUCCUUUUCAGGUUGUUUAUGGACGGCUGCCUCCAAAAAUCUUGCCGUAUGUUCCAGGAACGACUAAGGUUCAAGCUGUCGAAGACUACCUUCAAGACCGUGAUCGGAUGCUGAAAACCUUACGAGCCAACCUCUUCAAAGCUCAAGACCGUAUGAAGCAUUUUGCGGACCAACGCCGUCGUGAAUUGGAAUUUGAGGUAGGGGAUCAUGUUUAUGUUAAACUACAGCCAUAUAGACAGUCAAGUGUGGUCUCCCGAACAUCAGCUAAGUUAAGUCCGCGUUUUUUUGGCCCUUACAAAAUUCUUGCUAAGGUAGGAAAGGUUGCAUAUCGGAUUGAAUUACCUCCUGGUUCCUUAAUUCACGAUGUGUUUCAUGUGAGUUUGUUACGGAAAAGAGAAGGCCCUGUCCCGGAACCGAUCCCACCUCCUGUCAACGAACCUGUCCAGUUACAGGUGGCACCUCAACCAGAGGGUAUCUUGGAAGAACGAGUCGUGCAGAAAGGGAAAUAUCGGCCAAAAACAGAGAUUUUGGUUAAAUGGGUUGGUCAAUCAAGGGAAGAUGCAACAUGGGAAGAUAAAUGGCGUUUUUCCCGUACUUACCCUCAGUUUCACCUUGAGGACAAGGUGAUUUCAAGUGGGGUGGAUUGUUAUGAUGCUAACUAAUGGGUGGUGGAUUUCUUUCUUUGAAAUAGUCUUAGAAGUAGUUGUGCGGAAAUAAAGGAGAUAAUGGGGAUGCCCACGUUUCCAUUUACGGUUAUUAGGCCACGUUUCAUUUGCAGUUAUUUUAUUAGAAGUAGUUUACAUUUUUUCUUUAAAUUGUAAUGUUAGCUUUCAGAAAAGGAGGAGAAAAUUGCCCCAAUCUCUCUUGCUACUUCUUCUUCAUCUCUUUUCUAAAUUUCUUUGGCCAGAGGGUCAGCCGUAGACCACCUAUCAGAGGACUAGACAUCUAUCGACAAGCUCUUGCAAACACUUCUCAGCCUCUCCUUCCAAAUCAUUUUCCAACUUCAGGAACCCCUCAGCCAUCUAUGAUCUCAUGAAACCCUUUGUUGGUAUCUCACUGUCUUCUCGAAAAAUCCCGAAAUGCAAAAGACAUGCUUUUAGAUCGCUAGUCAAGUGAUUGUAACGCAACCCAAGCACACGUGAACAUAGUUCAUCAGGAUCAUUUGUGACAAGUGACUUCACAUCUUUCGCAACACUUUUCCCAACACUUUUCCAAUCUUCUAUUUCCCCUUUAGAUUUGAGAAGUUCAGCAACCACGACAAUAGUUAGUGGUACCCCGUGGCAUUUCUCUGCGAUUUUCUUUCCAACAGUCUCGAACUCAUAUGGUAAUGAUUCACUUGAUAAUUCUGCACUUUUGAAAAGAAUCCAACUCUCAUCUUGAUCCAUGAAGCCCAUCUGCAAAGAAAGAUUCUUUGUACCAGCUUCGUAAGCCACUUCAGUGUUACGGGUCAUCAACAGUAUUGUACUCCCCUUCAAUUCACGUGGAAAACACUGUCUCACGGCAUCCCAUGCUUCAGUUUCCCACAUGUCAUCCAAUAAAAUUAAAUAUCUCUUACCUGUUAAACUCUUUGGUAGCAUGUCUUCCAGCUCUGCCUCACUGCCCGUGAAAACUUUGUCAACCUUUGUAGAACGCAGAAGGCUCAACAAGAUUUACUUUACAUUGUGUUGUUGCAAAAUAGUAGCCCAGGCACAAACAUCAAAAUGAGAACGAAUGGACGCAUCGUUGUAAACUAUGUUCGCUAAGGUUGUUUUACCUAUGCCUCCCAUCCCGACAAUCGGGAUGACUUUGGGUUCACCAGAUCUAUCAACCGUUUCCUUUGAUCAUCACGUCCAACCAUAUUGUUCUCAACAUUAUCUUUUGAUGAGCUUGGAAACUCUUGAACCAUUGAUUCCUUUGAGGCUUGUUUGCCCUUAUCUUGAAUCUUUGUUGACUCUUUCCAGAUACGAUCAAUGUCCUCUGCCCUUCAGUUACUCUUAGUUGAAUUGUUUGUUCAGCAUCACUUGCAACUUCUUUUAUCUGUACUUCCAAAUCUGUCAUUUCCCCAGAAACAUUGUUUUCCUCAAAGUUCUUGACAACAACUUCCAGGGAACUAAUCUUUUCAUGAAGAGCAGAAAAGUCUUCACUGUGAUCGCAGGUUAGAGAUUGCAUUGGUGAAUUGGAUGUCAAGAGCGAUUCUACUGUUCUCAUAAGAGACGCCACAUUUGCAUGAGCCAUAUCUGCAGGUUACAAGAGGUCAAUGGUAUUAUCCUUAACGCGAUACGCAGAUUGGCAAAAAAUGCAGGCAUAAACUAAACAAGAUCAGGCGAUUUAUUCGUCUGUUUCAUGUUCAGGUCAGUUAUGUUACUACAGAUGAUUUUGCACUUUGAUAGUAUCAUCCAUUAAUCUCUAACUUUUUGAAUUUGGUAAAAGAUUAGGGAAAUAGUAAUUACCAGCUACUAAUAGACACAUAUAAAAAGUUUUGUGAAAAUCUCUUAACUAUUUCAUCCGAUACUCAGACAGGCUCAGUCAAUAACAAAAGUACUCGACUGGAAUAGCAGUACUAGCAGAUUGACCACGUGGUUGAUUGUGAUCGAGUUUGAUGAUUAUUUUAUACAAUGAGAAAACCACUUAGCUUUGUAGCGUCCAGGAGUCUUUAUGUUUUUGUUCUGAUUCCAUUAUUUCGAGCCACGUCUCAACUUUAACUCUUAUUAAAUGCUCUUAUGACUCUGGCGAUGUUCUUGAUUAUGGUUUCAGUUAUUGAUUUGGUUAAUACUUUGAUCAUAAAAGUGAAUAAUUGGCAUUACUGAUCGGAUGCUGUUCACCGAUCCUUACAAUUUUGGAUCGUGACAAAUAGUUACUUAGUUAUAGAAACUAAAUCUCACCUUUCAUGAAAAACAGUUUUCUUAUACCGAUGGUUUAUCCAAAGCAACCUCUCUAGCCCCGCAAUUGCAAAGGUAGGGUAAGGUCUGUGUAUACCACACUUGUUGGAUUCAAAAGUCAGACGAUAAACUUAAAGGACAUUUUAGUCUAAGAUCACAAGAUUCAAAAAUAAUCUUUACUUUCUUCAGCUUCGUGUCAUGUCAAAUUCAUUUUUUUUACUCCAUUUCAAAAAGAAUGACUUCUUUCCUUUUUUUGGUAAUACUUUAAUUUCAACUUUCCACGUGACAUAUUUAAGACCAUAAGAUUAAAGAACUUUUUGGUAUAUUUGACACAACUUUAAUUCAAAACCACAUGAUUCAAAAGUCUUCUUUAUUUUUCCUUAAACUUCAUGCUAAGUCAAAGUAGGUCAUUCUUUUUUAAACGGAUGGCUUAUUUUUUUUCUCCGGGAUGAUCAACAAUAUGCUUAACAGAAAAGUACAGGGUGGCUGUACAUAUGCUAAGUUGUUGAUAUUCAAAUGGUCACUCAACUAACAGUUAUUAACUCAGAAAGAUGAGUAAUUAAGGGAAACUAACCUUUUAAUGAUUGCUUGGGAAUACAGGAAGAAAGUUGGGAAGAAGCAACUUAUUACUGCAACAAAAUACAAUAAUAAAAGAACAUUGUUCGUCAAGAUCAUUUGUGAGAAAUGACUUGACAUCUUUAGCUACACUUUCCCAAUCUUCUAUUGCCCUUUUAGAUUUGAGAAGUCCAGCAACCACGACAAUAGUUAGUGGUAACCCGUGACAUUCAUCUGCUAUUUGCUUCCCAACAGUCUCGAACUCAUAUGGUAAUGCUUCACUUUUGAAAAGACUCCAACUCUCAUCUUGAUCCAUAAAGCUCAUCCACAAAGAAAGAUUCUCUGUAUCAGCAUAACAAGCUACUUCAUUGUUACGGGUAGUCAACAGUAUUCGACUCCAUGCAUUGUCUUCAGUUGGAAAGCAUCGUCUCACGCCAUCCCACGCUUUACAACUCCAGAUAUCAUCCAAGACAAUUAAGUACCUCUUUCUCUUUAAACAUUUCUGCAGCAUGUCUGCUAGCUCUGCUUCACCUCUCGUCUUAACCGUGUCAUCCAUUUUGAUCGUCGAUUGCAGAAGGCUCAGCAAAAUUUCUUUUAUGUUGUGCUGUUGAGAUACAGUAGCCCAGGCACGAACAUCAAAACGGCGUAGAACUGAUUCAUGAUUGUAAACUUCGUUCGCUAAGGCUGUUUUACCUAUGCCUCCCAUAUCGACAAUCGGGAUGACUUUGGAUUCACCAGAGUAGCAUGUAGUCAGAUCUUCUAACAACCGUUUCAUUUGAUCAUCACAUCCAACCAUAUUAUUGUUAACAUUCAGAAUAUCGUCUGUUGAACUUGAAAAAUCAUGAAACAAUGAUUCCUUUGAUACUUGUUUGCCUUUAUCUUGGAUCUUUUCGGCUCUUUCCAGAUACGAUCAAUGUCCUCUGCUACUUGUUACAGACUUCGACGAAACCUUCGGCGUGCCUUUUUUUUCUGACUUUCAUUUUUUCCCCGCACUGUUUCUGCUAGUUUCAGUUGAAUUUUGUAUUCAACAGCAUUUGCAACUUCUUUAACCUCUACUUCAAAAUCCGUCAUUUCCCCAGCAACAUUAUUUUUCUCAAAGUUCUUGAGAAAUACUUCCAUGAAGCGCGCAAAAUUCUUCUUUGUGAUCACAGGUUAGAGAUCGCAUUGGUGAAUUGAAUGUCAAGAGAGAUUCUAUUGUUUUUGAAAGAGAAGCCACACUUGCAUGAGCCAUAUCUACUAUAUUCACGUAUGCCUUUGCGAUUAUGACCUGAAAGCUGCAAGAUGCAAGAGGUCAAUGGUAUUAUCGAUAACGCGAUACGCAGAUUGGCAAAAAAGACACGCAUAAACUAAACAAGAUCAGGCGAUUUAUUAGUCUGUUUCAUGUUCAGGUCAGUUAUGUUAGUAUAGAUGAUUUUGCACUUCAAUAGUAUAAUCUAUUAAUCUCUAACUCUUUGAAUUUGGUUAAAGAUUAGGUUAAUAAUAAUAUUUAACAGAGCCUAGGACAUAUAAUUACCGGUUACUAAUAGACAUGCAAAAAAGUUUCUGUGAAAAUCUCUUAACUAUUUCAUCCGACCCUCAGAUAGACUCAGUCAAUGACAAAAGUAAAAUGGUUUUCAGUAAUCACAUGAUUUUUUGACCCUCCACGAGUUAACCUAUUUUUCAAUAUUGAAUAUUUAUAUUUAAUCCGAUAUUAUUUUGAUUCUUAUUUUAUUUUUAAUAAAUAUUUAGUUAAAAAAUAAAUAACUAAAUAAAGUUAAUUUUAAAAUAUUUUAUUUUAAGUUUUUAUUUUAAUUUUAAAAAUAAUACUAAAAAAAAAAUUUUAAAUUUUAAAUAAAUAAGUACUUUUAAUACUAUCUUAAUUAUAUUUAUUUUUGGCAAUUUUGUAAUCUUUUAUUGUAUUUUCUUAACUAUAAAAAUUAAUUAGUUAUUAUUAUAUUAUUUUUAUUAUUAUUUAUUUAUUAUUAUUAUUAUUAUUAUUAUUAUUAUUAUUACUAUUAUUUUGUUAUUAUUAAUUAUCUUCUUAAAAAAAUUCAAAAUUUAAAUCCUAUCUUAUCAGAUAGUAACUACUCCCCCCAAUCCCCCCACAAAUCCUUAUACUUAAAGACUCUUCACCCCCAAAAAAUAGAGAUUGAACUACUAUUCUACACAGACUCAGACACAGACAGAAAUAAAAAAUAGAGAGUGAAAACCAAAAACAUCAGAAAGAGAGACAAACAGAAAAGAAAACAAAGAAAAGAAAGAGUUCUGAAUCGAGUUUUGAAUUUCCGUUCGAGUUUCUGGUGAUAACGUUCUUGCUUUGAUAUUCAUUUAAUUCAUUACACAGGUUCUUAUCCCAUUUUGUACUGUUAUUUCAUAAGUUUUAUUGUUAUGGAUCGAAGUAUGAAAUUAAAUUAGUUCAAUGGCUUCAUACAUUAUCGAAUAUGCAAAAAAUUUCAAAAAUUAAAGAUGAAGGACUUGUUCUGUUUUGGGUUUCGUUUAUACCCUUGUUGUUUUGUAAAAAUUAUUAUUAAUGUUGCAUAAUAUUGCGUAUAUUGCUUCUGUGAUUAUUGCUAUUUGUUUUUCUAUUAGUGAAAACUGGUAGGAAAGAAUAAGAGGGACUAAAAUGAUAGUAGGUUGGAAAAAAAAAUACACUGCUAGUACAUAAUAAAAGUUUUAGUAUGAACAGUAAGAGAAUGCUUUUGGGCUAUUUCUAUUUUUUUUUAUUUUGUAAUUUAUUUUAAUAUUUGUUUUAUUUGUUGAUUAACUUUUGAUUUGUGGGGUUUGUUUGCAUGUAAGGCUUUGAAUUUUUGUUAUGCAAAUAUGAGAAUAACAAGAGUAUUAUAAGGAUUCAUAAAGAAACAAAGUCAAAAGACAUGUAAAAAAAAUUAGGAAAUAUGGAUAAUAGUUUUCGUUUCUUUAAAAAAAAUAUUUGUUAGGUAAUUAUUAUCAUUAAAUUAUUAUUAUUAUUAUUAUUAUUAUUAUUAUUAUUAUUAUUAUUAUUAUUAUUAUUAUUAUUAUUAUUAUUAUUAUUAUUAUUUGAUUGUUUUGAUCAUUUUCGAAUGGAUUUUUAAUAUUUUAAUAUUUUAUCAACUUAUUCAAUAAUCAAGAUUCAUCUUAUAAUCGAGAAAAGAAAGGAGUGAAAAUAAGUAGACAAGUUAAAAUUGUCUCGAGUUUAUAAGUGACAAAAUCAAUGUCUUUAACGCUAAGUAAAUUUUGGACUUGUUAUAAAUCUUUGUUUCAAUUAAGAAUGCGACAUACACAUCUUUCUAAGACAUUUUAAAAUUCAAGGAUGUAAUAAUGCACUUUGACAAAUAUUUUUAUAAAAUCAACUUUCACCGAUUUAACACAAGAGUAAUAGACAAAUUUUAGAAAUUAAAAAUGAGCGAACCUAGACCUCAACAUAAUUUAUCAAAAUAGUUUAAGUUAAGAUAAGUCAAUAAAAGCAACCGUGCUAGAACCACGGGACUCGAGGGGUGCCUCACACCUUCCCCUCGGUCAACAGAAUUCCUUACCUGGUCUUUUAUUUUCACAGACCAACAGAGAGUCAUUUUCUUUUAAUCCAUCCAUCUAUCCAUCUAUCCAUCCAUCCGUCCGUCAAUCCGUCCGUCCGCCCAUCCUUCCAUCCAUCCAUCCAUCCAUCUAUCUAUCCAUCUAUCCACCCAUCCAUCCACCCAUCUAUCUAUCUAUUCACCCAUCCAUCCACCUAGUAGUGAAUGAAUAUUCAGAUAUCUUUCUCGAAGAUCUUUUAGGAAUUCCUCUCGAAAGGGAAAUAAACUUUGGGAUAGACCUUCUUCCAGAUACUCAGCCCAUAUUUAUUCUACCAUACAGAAUGACACCAGCAGAACUCAGAGAAUUGAAAGAUCAGUUGAAGGAUCUCCUAGAUAAGGGUUUCAUCAGACCCUGUGUGUUCUCAUGGGGCACACCAGUCUUAUUCAUGUGCAAGAAAGACGGUUCUCUCAAAAUUUAUAUAGACUACUGUCAGCUCAAUAAAGUCACGGUCAAGAAAAAGUGUCUACUUCCCAUAAUCGAUGACUUGUUUGAUCAACUUCAGGGUGCCAGCUAUUUUUCUAAGAUAGACCUUAGAUCAGGCUAUCAUUAGCUCAGGGUCAAAGAAUAUGAUAUUCUGAAAAUAACAUUUCGUACUCGAUAUGGUCACUUUGAAUACUUAGUUAUGUCCUUUGGUCUUACCAAUGCCCUAGCAGCUUUCAUGGAGUUGAUGAAUUAUUUGUUCAAGCAGUACUUGGACAUGUUCGUCAUAGUCUUCAUAGAUGAAAUCUUUGUUUACUCCCGCAGUGAGCAUGAUCAUGUAGACCAUCUUAGAAUAAUAUUAUAAACUCACAAAAAUCAUCAGUUGUUCACCAAAUUUAGUAAUUGCGAAUUUCGGCCAAGGUUAGUAGAAUUCCUUAGUCAUAUCAUUUUCAGUGAUAGCAUUAGAGUUGAUCCUCAGAAGAUCAAAGUAGUAAGAAACUGGCCUCGCCCUGUAUCUCCGUCAGAUAUCAGGAGUUUCUUGGGUUUGGCUGGCUAUUACAGAUGGUUUGUUGAUGGAUUUUCUUCUAUUCCAUCCCCUAUGUCCAGAUUGACUAAGAAAAAAGUUAAGUUUUAGUGGUCAAAUCAUUGCGAGAAGAGUGUUCAGGAGUUGAAGACUCGACUCACCUCANNNNNNNNNNNNNNNNNNNNNNNNNNNNNNNNNNNNNNNNNNNNNNNNNNNNNNNNNNNNNNNNNNNNNNNNNNNNNNNNNNNNNNNNNNNNNNNNNNNNNNNNNNNNNNNNNNNNNNNNNNNNNNNNNNNNNNNNNNNNNNNNNNNNNNNNNNNNNNNNNNNNNNNNNNNNNNNNNNNNNNNNNNNNNNNNNNNNNNNNNNNNNNNNNNNNNNNNNNNNNNNNNNNNNNNNNNNNNNNNNNNNNNNNNNNNNNNNNNNNNNNNNNNNNNNNNNNNNNUUAUUAUUAUUUAUUUAUUAUUAUUAUUAUUAUUAUUAUUAUUAUUAUUACUAUUAUUUUGUUAUUAUUAAUUAUCUUCUUAAAAAAAUUCAAAAUUUAAAUCCUAUCUUAUCAGAUAGUAACUACUCCCCCCAAUCCCCCCACAAAUCCUUAUACUUAAAGACUCUUCACCCCCAAAAAAUAGAGAUUGAACUACUAUUCUACACAGACUCAGACACAGACAGAAAUAAAAAAUAGAGAGUGAAAACCAAAAACAUCAGAAAGAGAGACAAACAGAAAAGCAAAAAAGAAAAAAAAAAAAAGAGUUCUGAAUCGAGUUUCGGAUUUCCGUUCGAGUUUCUGGUGAUAACAUUCUUGCUUUGAUAUUCGUUUAAUUCAUCACACAGGUUUUUAUCCCAUUUUGUACUGUUAUUUCAUAAGUUUUAUUGUUAUGAAUCGAAGUAUGAAAUCAAAUUAGUCCAAUGGCUUCAUACAUUAUCCAAUAUGCAAAAAAUUUCAAAAAUUAAAGAUGAAGGACUUGUUCUGUUUUGGGUUUCGUUUAUACCCCUGUUGUUUUGUAAAAAUUAUUAUUAAUGUUGCAUAAUAUUGCGUAUAUUGCUUCUGUGAUUAUUGCUAUUUGUUUUCCUAUUAGUGAAAAUUUAGUAUGUGUUUGUUUUUUGCCGUAAUAAGGGGCAAAAUGAUGAGCUUGGCAUUGUGGAAUUGUUUCAAUAUAAAACUGUAUUUGAAUUUAACAGUUUUUUGUGGAUAGUUUAUGGAAGUUGAUAAAAUUUAAAAAAAAAUACAUCCGUUUAGUUAUUCUUUCAAAAUUAACUGUUUCAAUUUAAAAAAAAAUUAAAACUAAAAUAACUAAAAGGGUUAUUGUUUCAAAAUGUAGUUUAUGGAAGUUGAUAAAAUUUAAAAAAAAAUACAUCCGUUUAGUUAUUCUUUCAAAAUUAACUGUUUCAAUUUUAAAAAAAAUUAAAGUUAAAAUAAUUAAAAGGGAUAUUUUAAUUUAUGCCACUUGGACGAAUUAAAUUAUGCCAUUUGGGUGAAUGAGAGGCUGCAUCCUCUUAUUUAUAUAGAAUUUACUUGGCAACUCAGAUUGCCUAUACAUUAUUGGUUGCAGCCCUUUAUUGGUAUGCCAUUUUUCUGCCUCUUCUUAGAUCCUUUUUCUUAGUUACUAUAUAUAUAUAUAUAUAUAAACCUAUACAGACAAGAAACAAAUCAUUGACAAACCUACUACUACCAAAACUACUGCCAAAAAGAGAAAAAAAGUAUGGUAUAUAUAUAUAUAUCUUGCUUCAUUCAUUUGUUGAUUGUUAUUCAUAUUUGUGUUUAAUUUCUCUAUUAUCUUGUCAUUAUAUUUGCAGCAGUACAAGCAUUUAGUUUGCAGUCCAUUUAACCUUUAUCUGCCACUGAGAGGUUAGUUGACCUUCUUGUCAUUUUAUUACUGAAAUGUUUGUAUAUAUCAUCCUUGUACAAGGGAUUGGAAUUCUUUGUUAAACAGACCUUUUCAAGUCUGCUUUUUAAUAAGUCCUUUUUGAGAGAGAGAGAAAUGACCCACUUUUGAGUAUUUUAAUUUAUUUGUGAUUUAAAAUUUUGCUAUAAGUGGUAAAAGUCAUAAAUCAUUCCACAAAUCACCAACUGUCAAGAAUUGCGAGAAAAUUUGGCUAUUAAGCCUUUUCAAAUUUUCAAUGGCCUACUAAGAAAAUUUGGCUAUUAAUUAGCAAAAUGGCCUAAUUCUAUUUUCUCAUAUGUCGGAUUGAUAAUCGAUCUGUCCAUAUAUAGGUCGGAUUGAUAAUCGAUUUGUCGGAUCGAUAAUUGAUAUGUCUAUAUAUCGGUCGGAUAGAUAAUAGAUUUGUAUAAAAAAAUGGGUCAUUUCUCUAAAAAAAAAAAAAAAACCUUGUAGUCUCUUUAAUUAAAAAGAAAGACUUGAAAAGACCAUUUAACAAAAGAUCCCAAGAAUUGACAGAACUUAUUUUUAAAGAACCCUCCCACCAAAAUCUUUUAAAAAUUACAAAUUAAUCAAAAACCUGAUUCACAUGGACAAAUCUAUUAUUGAUCCGAUCAAUAUAGAUAAGAUGUUCCCAUACUAAAGAAUGGGUAUCACGUUAUUUGUAAUACCAUUGACAUCUUGCAACCCGCAGCUUUCGGGUCAUAACCGCAAAGGAAAGAAACGAGAAUACAGUAGAUAUGGCUCAUGCAAGUGUGACUUCUCUUAUGAGAACAAUAGAAUCGCUCUUGACAUCCAAUUCGCCCAUGCAAUCUCUAAUAUGUGAUCACAGAGAAGAACUUUGCGCUCUUCGUGAAAAAGUUAGUUCCCAGUAUUUGUCAAGAACUUUGAGAAAAACAAUGUUUUUGGAGAAAUGACGGAUUUUGAAGAUGAGGUAAAAGAAGUUGCAAAUAUUGCUGAACACACAAUUCAACUAAGAGUAACUGAAACUGUACUGGGAGAAAAGAAAAGCACCAUAGGAAUCAUUGGCUCAAGAUUUUUCAAAGGAAUCUCGAAUAUAUGGACACGCCGAAAGUUUCGUAAAAUCCUUCAACAAUUAGCAAAGGACAUUGAUCAUGUUUGGAAAGAGUCGACAAAGAUCCAAGAUAAAGGCAAACAAGUAUCAAAGGAAUCAUUGGUUCAUGAUUUUUCAAGUUCAACAAACGAUAUUCUGAAUUUUAACAACAAUAUGGUUGGACGUGAUGAUCAAAAGGAACGCUUGUUAGAAAAUCUGACUAUAACCUACCCUGAUGAACACAAAGUCAUCCCGAUUGUCGGGAUGGGAGGCAUAGGUAAAACAACUUUAGCGAAAGAAGUUUACAAUAAUGAAUCAGUUCUACGCCGUUUUGAUGUUUGUGCCUGGGCUACUGUAUCUCAACAGCACAACAGAAAGGAAAUUUUGCUGGGCCUUCUGCGAUCAACGAUCAAAACGGAUGACACGGUUAAGACGAGAGGUGAAGCAGAGCUAGUAGACAUGCUGCAGAAAAGUUUAAAGAGAAAGAGGUACUUAAUUGUCUUGGAUGAUAUCUGGAGUUGUAAAGCGUGGGAUGGCGUGAGACGGUGCUUUCCAACUGAAGACAAUGCGGGGAGUCGAAUAUUGUUGACUACCCGUAACGAUGAAGUAGCUCAUGAUGCUGGUACAGAGAAUCUUUCUAUGUAGAUGGGCGUCAUGGAUCAAGAUGAGAGUUGGAACCUUUUUAAAAGUGCAGCAUUUUCAAAUGAAGCAUUGUCAUCUGAGUUUGAGUCUAUUGGGAAGAAAAUCGUAGAGAAAUGUCACGGGUUACCACUAACUAUUGUCGUGGUUGCUGGACUUCUCAAAUCUAAAAGGGCAAUAGAGGAUUGGGGAAGUGUUGCCAAAGAUUUCACGUCAUUUAUCACAAAUGAUCCUGAUGAACAAUGUUCACAUGUGCUUGGGUUGAGUUACAAUCACUUGACUAGCAAUCUAAAAGCAUGUCUUCUGCAUUUUGGGCUUUUUCGAGAAGACAGUGAGAUACCAGCAAAGAAAUUGAUGAGAACAUGGAUGGCUGAGGGGUUCCUAAAGUUGGAAAAUGAUUUGGAAGGAGAGGCUGAGAAGUGUUUGCAAGACCUUGUCGAUAGAUGUCUAGUUAUUGUCAGCAAGAAAAGUAUAGAUGGAACAAAAAUUAGAUCAUGUAAGGUUCAUGAUCUAAUAUACGACCUGUGCUUGAAUUUCAAAGGGAAAACGUUCGUUCAAAAUUCUUCUCUAUUUCAACUUUAAUUCACCAAUCAAAGCCUUUUCAUUUCAAAUUACUCAAUUUUUUGAGUUGAGACACGAAGAGAUUGAUAAUUUCUCUGUACAGAUACUGAGCCUCAUCUGGUUGAGGUACCUAUCAUUGCAGUGCGAUACCUCCAGAAAUUUCCAGGGUAUGGAAUCUGCAGACAUUCAUUGUUCAAGGGUCUCCUCCUGUAACUUGUCCAGAGGAGAUUUGGGGACUAAUGCAAUUAAGCCAUCUCAAACUGCCCAAAUUUUACCUGCCAAAUCCCCCAAGCAUAUCUGCUGACAAAGGGAGUCACAUGGGUUUUUCAAACAUACAAACUAUUUCUUACUUGUCUUUGGAUUGUUGCACCAACGAGGUUAUUAUGGGGAUUCAGAAUGUCAAAGAAUUAGGAACAGUGCAUAUGAGAUUGACUCUGAUGGCCUUCUGAACAAUCUUGUCCAUCUGCAGCAACUUGAAACAUUGAGUCUUACAUAUUGUUUUAAUGGACUUUUGCCAGCAAGUGCAAAAUCUUUUCCAGCAACGCUCAAGAAGUUGAAGUUGGAAGCAACUUAUCUUCAUUGGUCGUACUUGGACAUCAUAGCUGAAUUGCCUAACCUUGAGGUGCUGAAGCUGAUGGUUGAUGCUUGUUGUGGAGAAAAAUGGUAUCCAAAUGUCUGGGGAUUUACUCGAUUGAAGGAUUUGCUAAUUGAAUAUAAUGAUGUCAAGUACUGGAAAGCCACAAAUGACAAUUUUCCUGUCCUUAAGCGCCUCGUGCUUAAAGAAUGCACAAAUUUGAAAGAGAUACCCAUUGAGUUUGCAGAUAUCCAGACACUACAGCUGAUUGAGUUAACAAUGUUUCUUCCCAAACUUGGGGAAUCUGCUGCACGAAUUCAAAAAGAACAAGAAGAACUUGGAAACGACCCCGUGAAUGUUCGUAUCUCCGAUCCAUGUAAGUAUAUAGUAUUUAUCAAGGUCACACGCUAUUUCUCAUUUCCACAAGUCAAGUCAUACACAAAAGUUAUUUAGCUUUGCCCCAUAUUCUUUCACAAAAAUAACUUUGAGAAAAUUCGGUUAAAAUCCUACUUAAAAUAUAAGAGAAAUUAACAAGAAUUUCCCUUAUAUUCGAGGGUAGUUCAAAAUGGCCCCUUAAAUAUAUUUUUGAGCAGUUAUGUUACUUUAGUUUAAGCUUGCUAAAUGUGAGCAAGUUGGGCCGAUGUUGGGCGGGUUAAGAUGGGUUGAAUGAACAAACGAGCUAAUGUCAAAUCAUGCCAUUAAAUUACAAUAAAAAUAAAAUGAAAAAUGAAGAGUAGAUGUUUUCUCUCUUUGUUGUCAUUACAAACGAAUUUUAAGGUAUCGAGUGUAUAAAUUCUAGUAAAAUGAGGUUUACUUGGAUUCAUCUCUUUUAUAAAAUAAUUGAAAUAUCAAGAAGUGAAAUACUUUGUAUUAAUUUUGUCAAGGUAAAUCUAUAUUUAUCAAGGUUACACACAGUUUCUCAUUUCCACAAGUCACAUCAUACAGAUGUACGACGCUAUGAUGAUGAUGAUGAAUUUGAUGAUGAUGAUGAUGAUGAGUAAUUUGAUGAUGCUGAUGAUGACGAUGAUGAUGAUAAUGAAGAUUCUGAUGUUGAUGCUGCAGAACGUGAUGAUAAUUAAGAUCUUUGGUUGUUAUCUGUUCAGAAUAACUUGUAGAGAUAAGCAUCCAGUAUCAUCCCCUCCCCUUCCCUCCCCCUUGAAUUAUGAUCAAAGUUGCGACAUCAUCCUCAAACUUCAAAGGAGUCCUAUUACUUCCCUGGAGUCAAUUUUAGCGUAUUUUUACCAAUCUUUUUGUGAUGACGUGACACUUAUAUUACAUAAAAAUGAUGCCCACAUCUAAUGUGCCACGUCAGCUAAAAAGGUUGGUAGAAAUAUGCAAAAAUUUUGUUUGAGGGUAAUAGGGACCUUGUGAAAUGGGAGUGUGUCGCAGCAAAUUUGAUCAUAGUUUAGGAGGGUACUAGAUACUUUACUCUAACCUGUAAUGAGAAAGGAAACAAUGGAUUAACAAACAAUUUGGUAAAGUUAUAGGCUGCUGAUGCUAGUUCAUCAAACUAUGUUUCUCAUAAAUGUAAAUGUAUUACGUACUUUGCUUUUAUAGAGUCUAUGAAGCGUGUUGCGUCUAUAUCCCAUAUAGAAAUUAAUUAGUAUUUUUUUUAAAAAAAGACACAUAUUAUAUUGUCAAAAAGAUAUAAAAAAUUUAUUUGAACAAUCAUCUUUUUGAUAUAUUAUCAAGGUAAGUGAGAUAAAUAACGAUUCGAUUAUAAAGUCUAUGAGAUUAUACAUCGAUAUUUGCAACUCAUAUCUUGAAUUUGAAAAUUAUUGUUAGUUGAGAUGUAAUAUAAGCAUUUUAGCUCUCCAGAAAAUAUAGUUCCAACAAUGAUGGAUUUCGAUAUUUAAAAGAGCCUUAAAUGACUGGAAAAUUGAUACAAGGGCCUUUCUCUAACUUUCUGUAAAUUUUGCAUUCCUAUUUUAUUAUUAAUUACAUAUUGUCACAACCCGAAUCAGGGCCUUGGCCGUGACGAGCAUUCCGAAUCAUGAAGACCCGAAACACCCCUAUCUAUCCGGUAAUCAUGCACAUAAUUCAUAUGAUAAUUAGAAAUGCGGAAGAUACGCAAUAUUAUGGAAACAUGGUCAUAAAUCAAAUGAAAAAUCAAUAAAGGGGAAAUUAAUGUCCCACAACAUCUAUCAACAUCUGAACAACCGUCUGUGAAAUCUCUACUACAUGACUGAAACAAAUUAUUGUCUGAAAACUGGGACAAGGCCCCCAGUAGACUCAAAACCACUAAAUGAUAAAUGAACUGACAGACAUCAGGCCUUCCGAAAUAUAGAAGGUUCACCACUUAAUUCUGCAAAUCUGUUGGAAGAGAUGUACUGGUUAUCUGGACCCCUGGACUAUGCCUCCGAACCUGGGAGGGAAGGGGUCAAUACAAAAGUACUGGUACGCAAAGAAAUCAAAACAAAAAUAUAACAUUUUUACAAAAUAUAGGUGAGAUCCAUUAUAAAGCAGUUUCAUAUCAAAUCAUUUGAAAAGCACAUGGGCAUAAUGCAAUAGGUUUUCAACAUCAAUGCAAUGCAGCUGAGCUAGGUGGAAUACCCUACAUAAUUUACACCAACUGUCAAACCUCGAUUGCCGCCGAGAUUAGAGUAUAAGUGAGGGGAAGACACACAAGAUCACAUAGAAGGGUGUCCCGAUCCAAUAAAGUAUAGUAGUUCCCAAGAUCACUUAGCCUGAACUCCUAACCAUAGUCCCAAUUUGGGAAUGACAUAAAGUCAAGUACACAAGAUCACUUAGCCUGGUACCAAAUUCCCAUGUCGGCAAACACGGUUUCCAGCAAUGAGCCCUUACACUCAAACGCCUUUUUCGGGCAUCCACCUAAUGCAUUGAUUUUAUACGAGAUAGGUGAAUGCCCGAAGAAGGCGUUUGAGUGUAAUGGCUCAUCGCUGGAAAUCGUGUUUACCGACAUGGGAAUUUGGUACCAGGACAAGUGAUCUUGUGAACUUGACUUUAUGUCAUUUCCAAAUUGGGACUAUGGUUAGGAGCCCAGACUAAGUGAUCUUGGGCACUACUAUACUUUAUUGGGUCAGGACACCCUGCUGUGUGAUCUUGUGUGUCUUCCUCUCACUUAUACUCUAAUAUCGGCGGCAACCGAGGUUUGACAGUUGGUGUAAAUUAUGUAGGGUAUUCCACCUAGCUCAGCUGCAUUGCAUUGAUGUUGAAAAACUAUUGCAUUAUGCCCAUGUGCUUUUCAAAUGAUUUGAUAUGAAACUGCUUUAUAAUGGCUCUCACCUAUAUUUUGUAAAAAUUUUAUAUUUUUGUUUUGAUUUCUCUACGUACCAGUACUUUUGUAUUGACCCCUUCCCUCCCAGGUUCGGAGGCACAGUCCAGGGGUCUAGAUAACGAGUAGAUCUCUUCCGACAGAUUUGCAGAAUCAAGUGGUGAGCCUUCUAUAUUUCGAAAGGCCUGAUGUCUGUCAGUUCAUUUAUCAUUUAGUAGUUUUGGGUCUACUGGGGGCCUUGUCCCAGUUUUCAGACAGUAAUUUGUUUCAGUCAUGUAGUAGAGAUUUCGCAGACGGUUGUUCAGAUGUCGAUAUAUGUUGUGGGACAUUAAUUUUCCCUUUAUUGAUUUUUUAUUUGAUUUAUGACCAUGUUUCCAUAAUAUUGCCUAUCUUCCGCAUUUCUUAUUAUCAUAUGAAUUAUGUGCAUGAUUACUAGAUAGAUAGGAGUGUUUUGGGCCUUCAUGGUUCGGAAUGCUCAUCACAGCCAGGGCCCCAGUUCGGGUCGUGACAAAAUUGGUAUCAGAUCACGGUUCAUGGUCCCAGGAUGUCUGCGAAAUCGCUUCGGGUAGAGUCUUUUUUAUGGGUGUGUAACGCACCACACUUAUAAGCAAGAGGCUAUAAGGCAUUUAGGAAUGUCUCUUUUCUUCAUGUUUUAGUUCGUGCAAUAGAUUCAGAAUGUUCCUCUUUCAUACUCUCAUUCGUGAUAUGGUGUUGCCCAUAUGAAAGUAAAGUCAUCCCAAAUUCUUUCCUUACUCAGAUGUUCUCAGACAUGUCCCAUUAUUGGGGUGAUUCAAGUGCAAAAAUUUUAGAAUCUACAUGAUAUAGUCCUUUCCGAUUGAGUCCUAUAAGAUUUUAAAAAAAUUAUGCAAGGACUUGAGAAGAAUCCGUUUGCUUCAAAGUGUAUUGAUGCAAGUGUGAACCUUGAUAGUGAUGAAAUCGUGCUUUACAACUUGCGAUGUUAAGUGUAUUCAGAACUUUUAAAAAAUUUAUGUGGUAGAUGUCAUGCUUAAGAGGGAAUGAUGUGUAGCAGAAUUGUUGGAACAGUAUUUCCACCCGAAUAGUAGUAUGAGUUAAAGUCUCAGUGUCAUGACCUAUUGGUAGUGAGAUCAGACCAAGAAUCCGGUGAUGUGAAGUCACAAAGUUAGAAGUCAGAGUGAGGGUGACUUUUGUGUAAAUAAAUGUUUUAGUUGAAUAACCGAUAUUUGUGGGUGAUUUACCCCUUUAUAGUGACAAACUAAUGUGGUAGCUAGUAGCAUGUGUGGAUGGUAUGGCAGUCCAUGGAGGAAGUAUUUGACUCCGAUUUUAUUUAUACAGAGUAAGAUAUGUAUUCUUAGUUCAUUGGAUAUUGCGUAUUAAAUUUCUAUCUCAUGUAAUCUUGUCAUCAAAUUGUUGUUGAAAAAAAAUAAAGUCUAGUGAAGCCGUGUGGGGCUCUUUCGAUCCACUAGCAUAGUUACCUUGUCAUUCAUCUCAUUUUCUUGUUCAAAACACAAAUAUCAAAGUUUAGUGAAGCCGUGUGAGGCCCACUUUGAUUCACUAGCAACUUGUUGUCCAACUUGUUGUUCUUAUGUUGGUUUAAUAUAUGUAUAGCUGAGUCGGUUUGCAUGAGAUUGAGUUGGUAAAGAGGUGAUUCAUGCUUGUGUGUUAGUUUAAUAGAAGGUAGAGAAGGAGUUGUUAGUCAGGGUGAUUUGUCGGUUGCUUGAAGUAUGAAAAUGAUUGAAUUAGCCAUUAAGUUAUAAUUAUACUCAUGGUUAUUGGAAAUUGAAGGUAGUCUAAGUGUGUGAUUGAGUAAGUAAGUACGAGGUGAGAAAGCUGCAUAAGUAGAUAAGAUUGUAUGGGGUUAUACUAUCAGAUUAAAGUUGAUCAUGUCUAUUAUGUGACCUUACCCCUUGACUUUUUCAUUGGUAGUUGUAACUAGUACUACUUAUGAGAAGGUAUGUAGCAAACUUGGAGGUGUUUGAAUAGAAUGUGUCAAUUUUACGGACUAGCAUAUUAUGUUGCACUCGUCAUUGGUGGUAGAUGAUUGAUGCUAAACUAUAGGCUUGAAUUUAAUGUAGGAUGUGGAUGUAAAAAUAGUGGCAAGAGAUUGAUGAUGUAUGUUUUAUGGGACUAAAUUAGUAGGCUUGAUGUGUUGAAAUAGUACAUGCUAACGGAUUAUAAAUAGUACAUGCUAACGGAUUAUGAUAAGGAAAACCGUAAGGUCACGAUCAAUUUUUUUGUGGCUAUGAAGUUCUAGUGUACUAGUGUUUCUUGAUGGUUAUUUCAUAGUUUUCAAGUGAGAAUUGUGCGUAAGGUUGGGUUGUAAAUCAUGUUUACGUUCAGUACUAGACACUAAGUUUGAACAGUUGAUGCCCAUUAAGAUAGUUGUGAUGAUUGAUUGGGUAAUGAUACCGGUUUUAUGGAAGUGAUCUAAUAGGUUUGAACGGUGUACACAAGAGAUUAGGCUUAUUUGAUUCAUAGUGAUGUAUGAUAUUGUAUGUAUGAUGUAGAAGUAUGCCUAAGGUGACAUGAGGUUGCGGCAUUCUUUCUAAGGCUAUUACUUGUUGUGCGUGGCUAGUGGUACCAUUGAAUUGUUAAGUGGAGAAAGACUAGUUAGAUGGUAUAUGGUGAUCUAAAUAGCCAUGUUAAGGUGUUUUGAUGGAUAGUGUUGGGCCUUUUGCGAUGAUCUUGAUUCUCAUAGUAGAGGGAUAUAAAUUUGGAGNNNNNNNNNNNNNNNNNNNNNNNNNAGAGUGCAGUAAGUGUAGUUCAGUUAGAAUCUGGUAAGGGAUCUCCCAAACUCUAGAUGAUGACUUGAAGCUAAGGGGGAGAUGAUAGAAUGAAUGACCAAGUAAGGCUCUCAGAUUCUAGUAGUGAUGCAGUAUGAUUUAGAACAUCAGAAAGUGAGGGUGAAUCUCAACCCAUUCCUACUUCAAUAUUUUUUUUUUAGUUAUUCGGAUGCUUACUCAUGCCUUACAAUCCAGCCGUGAUCGUAGUUCAUGAUUCCUGUAUAUGAUAGAGAGUCACGUACUCUUCCAGUUCUAAGAUAAUGAGUUAUAGUUCAUUCAAGUAGUCGGAAUCACAUUCCUUAUGUUAUGAACUCUAGUUGAGGUCAUGCAACUCAUGAUGCAUGUACUCACUCUUUAUAGUGUGCUCAGUCCCGUAUAAAAAUCUUUUNNNNNNNNNNNNNNNNNNNNNNNNNNNNNNNNNNNNNNNNNNNNNNNNNNNNNNNNNNNNNNNNNNNNNNNNNNNNNNNNNNNNNNNNNNNNNNNNNNNNNNNNNNNNNNNNNNNNNNNNNNNNNNNNNNNNNNNNNNNNNNNNNNNNNNNNNNNNNNNNNNNNNNNNNNNNNNNNNNNNNNNNNNNNNNNNNNNNNNNNNUAUUUCUGACAUUAGUAGAAAGAUUUGUCAAUGCUCACAUGAGAAUUUUAAGCUGAGUUGAAUGAAUAUGAUAUUUAUAGGGAAUAGUAUAGUUAAGGGAUAUUCGGGAAGUUCUCUAAGCCUGAAAGUAAGAAGUUGUAUUGCCAAAGGUCUGAAAAUUCUAUCCUAAUUUAGGAGUUAUAUGUCUAUAUUCCAGACUGCAGAGUAGUGUCAAUGUUAGGAUCCUAUAGUCAGAUGUCUUGUGUGACUCAUACCCAAGAUCUUUUGCUAUCUAGUGCUACUAGUACUUCGUUAGGAGGAGUGUCGAUAAGAUACUCCAGAUUGAGUAUAAGUUUCCAGUAUAGUUUAGUCUAUGUGGCCAGCAAAUCAGUUUAGCAGUCAGAUUCACAUGACUUGUUUUCUCGUCUUUUCAUUUAAUCAUGCUACCCAAAAAUCUCAGAUAUGUUACUAUUCCAAGAUAGAGUAUACUAGUAGUUGCGAGUAUAACUCAUUUCAUGCAUCAUGUACUAGAUUCAUAUUCCAGAUGCUUAGUUAUGACUCACUUUGUAGGUGCCUAGUGCAUCGCCUCAAUUUUUUCAAGUAUAUUAGUGAUUUGAGCAUUCAUAGAAGGACGUAGUGUCCCAAGGGGGAGAUACCCCCAUUCAGUUGCAUGCAUAGAUUCUUAUUACAAACUUCGCACUAGUUAUCAUUGCGUAUUCAGUCAUACGUUCAUACGCCAGUUCAGUCAGAUAUGCAUGCAUUAGAAAUGCAUGUCCAAUAGAAAAAGUUCAUCUUAUCAGUGUAUUUAGUUCUACGUUCAUGAGAACAAUUCAGUAACAAAUCCAUGCAUCAGAUUUGCAUGUUCAUUAUGAGAACUCAGCUUAUGAGUAGCUUCAGUCAUGUAUUCCAUGCAUCAGAUAUACAUGUCCGAUAUAAGAAUUCAGAAUAUCAGUAGUUCCAGCCAUAUGGUCAUAUUUCAGAUCAGUGUAUUCUUUAUUAGAGGACAUGUCGUGUCCACAUUAUUCCAUACCUUUAAGGCUUCAACAAGUUCCUACCCAUCAUUCGAGGACGAAUGAUCCCAAGGGGGAGAUAAUGUAACACCCCGUAAAAGUUGUGCAUGGAUUAGCCUUUAAUAGAGUGCUCUUAGACUUAAAAACUUGAAAAUUUUUCUAAGUGUAAUGAGGACUUAGAGUCAUUUUAGCUGGCAAUCUUUGGAAUACAACUUUUUAACCUUCCCGACAUCCAUUUUUAGAUUUUCAAGUUGCGUUACGAUUGGGAAAGCUCAUAGUACAUCUCAAUAAGUUUUGAAAUUUUUUGGAACGCAUAAGGCUGUGUUUGGAUUUCAAAACAGUAGCAAAACGCAUAGCCUAUUGCCCAUUUUUCAGCAUUUCAGGGUCAACUUCAAACAAUCAUAACUCUCUGAAUAUAAUAAACUGGGAGAGCUGAUACCUAUCAAAUGAAAGAUCUUUGAAUCUUAUUUCCAAUGCAACUAGUUUCAUCUAAAUCCAAAAUCUGAGUAAGGAGUUAUAACCAUUUUAUUUCAGCCUGUCAUCUUAUCAACUGAGGGACAGUUUCAACUUUAUUUGUUUUCUUAGGGGAAUUUUAGUCAUUUCACCUCACCCAAAUUUUGUCUAUAGCACCAGAUUUAGCCCCCAAUUCAUCAAAAUAUAAUUCUUUUCUCAAAUUUUCUCUCAAGAACACUCUCUAGAAUUUCAAACAAAAAAACCCAAAUAAAUCAAGAUUCAACCGUGGGUUUUCGAAAGUGAUUAAAGAUUUGGACUCCCCACACCAAAGGCUUCAAGAAUCAUCCACUUUUCUCCUUAAUCAAGGUACGUGGGGUUAUCUCAAAAAUCUCAUGGGCUUAAAAAUUCAUGUUUUAAAAAUGGGGGUUUUGAAAUUAUGAAUAUAAACAUGUUUUAAGCAUCUUUAUGAUAUUGAUUUGAUCUUUAGGCCUAUUUCCUAAGUGAUUUGAUAUAUUUUAUAUGCAUAUGCUUAUGAUUCAAACGAUGUUAACUUGAGAUCUUGAAUUAUAUAAAACCCCUCUCUUGAUAUGAAAUUGUUUUGAAUUUUCAUAUGAUGUGAAUUGUUUGAAAUCACCUUGACAAGCAUGACAUGAACUAUUUUGAAAGUGGAUAUGAUUUUUGACUUGCAAGGAGAGGGUUAUUAUGUUGAAAUACGAUGAAUAUAAUGGUUGCAAGGAGAGGGUUAUUAUGUUAAAAUCAAUGCAUUCAACUCCAUUUAAUUCAAUCACAUAUCUUAUUUUGUAGGGUAUAGUCAUACCCGACUUGCAAGCCAUCAAUAUCACAUCAUUACUUCAUGCAACCAUUAUAUUCAUCAUAUUUCAGCAUAAUAAUCCUCUCCUUGCAAGUCAAAAAUCAAAUCCACUUUCAAAAUAGUUUAUGUCAUGCUUGUCAAGAUGAUUUCAAACAAUUCACAUCAUAUGAAAAUUUAAAAUAAUUUCAUUUUAAGAGAGGGGUUUCAUAUAAUUUAUUCUCUCAAGUUAACAUCUUUUGAAUCACAAGCAUAUGCAUAUAAAAUAUAUCAAAUCACUUCGGAAAUAGGUCUAAAGACCAAAUCAAUAUCAUAAAGAUGCUUAAAACAUGUUUAUAUUCAUAAUUUCAAAACCCUCAUUUUUAAAACAUGAAUUUUUAAGCCCAUGAGAUUUUUGAGAUAACCCCACGUACCUUGAUUACGGAGAAAAGUGGAUGUUUCUUGAAGCCUUUGGUGUGGGGAGUCCAAAUCUUUAAUCACUUUCGAAAACCCACAGUUGAAUCUUGAUUUAUUUGGUUUUUUUGUUUGAAACCCUAGAGAGUGUUCUUGAGAGAAAUUUGAGAAAAGGAUUAUAUUUUGAUGAAUUGGGGGCGACUAAAUUGUGGUGAGGUGAAAUGACUAAAAUGCCCCUAAGAAAAUAAACAAAGUCGAAACUGUCCCUCAGUUGACAAGCUGAAAUGCUGAAGUAAAACAGCUAUAACUCCUUACUAAUAUGUUGGAUUUAGAUGAAACUAGUUGCAUUGGAAAUAAGACUCAAAGAUCUUUCAUUUGAUAGGUAGCAGCUCUCCCAGUUCAUUAUAUUCAGAGAGUUAUGAUCGUUUGAAGUUGACCCUGAAAUGCUGAAAACUGGGCAAUAGGCUAUGCAUUUUGCUACUGUUUUGAAAUCUAAACGCAGCCUUAUGCAUUCCGAAAAAUUUUGAAACUUAUCCGAGAUGUACUAUGAGCUUUCCCAAUUGUAACGCAACUUAAAAAUCUAAAAACGGAUGUCGGGAAGGUUGAAAAGUUGUAUCCCGAAGAUUGCCAGCUAAAAUGACUCUAAGUCCUCAUUACACUUAGAAAAAUUUUCAAGUUUUUAAGUCUAAGAGCACUCUAUUAAAGGCUAAUCCAUGCACAACUUUUACGGGGUGUUACAUAUAUAUAAUGUUUAUUCGUUUAAAAAAGAAUUACUUAUUUUGACUUGACACGGAGUUUAACUAAAUAAAAAAGAUUCUUAAAUUUUGUGAUUUUAAAUUAAAGUUAUGUCAAAUGUAUUAAAAUAUUUUUAAAUCUUGUGGUCUUAAACAUACCAUGUAGAAAGCUAGAAUAGUAUUGCCAAUUAAUAAAAUGAUCAUUCCUUUUUUAAACAAACUAAAAAUAAAAGAAUAAUACACAAACGGAAUCUUUAAUUUGACACAAAAUUAUAACUAUGAACUUUACCAACAUGAAUUGUGGUGCAGUGGAUGGGGCUGCUCCACCCUUAACCAGAGGUCGAGGGUUCGAUCCUGGGUACGGAGAAAACUCUAGUUCGGAGGAUACUAUUGAGAUGAUAUUGAUUCCCGACAAAGACGGAGGAUAUUAUGAUGAUAUUGAUACCCGGUUCGAGUAUGGAGGAUACUAUUGAGAUGAUAUUGAUUCCCGGCAAGGCCAGAGAUUGAUUAUGAUGAUGAUGGUCCUAACGAGGACAGCUAUUAUGAGUUAUGAUAUUAAUGGUAUACUUUGCAUUCAUUCCUGCAUGUGCAUUGCCUAUCACCAGUAUGCACCUAUGUCUAUCAGCCGAUAUGGGACGGUUGCAUAGAUAUGGGUGAAGAAUAUGCCUUGUGUUGUUACUUUAUUUUCAUAUGUGCAUAAAUACCUACCUUCAUUCAUAAAAGACUACACAAAUUACAAGUAGAAGAAAAUUCGAACUUGAAUGCAAUAGCAAUCGUUAACGAUCUCUCAAAAAGAAAAUCAAUGUAUGUUAAUAGUUUAUACUGAUGGGUAGAAUCCCACCAAGCUAAUGACUUUAGAAAGAAAACAACUUUAAAACACGAAAAACCAUAGGGUAUGUAUUUAAAAUAUAAAGCUACUAUUAUAUAUUUUUCUACUUUUCAAUAUUCAGUUUCUCUUCGUUAUAGAUUUCGUGAAUGUCUAUCUCGUCUUGAGUCUAGUGUUGUCAAAGAGCGCGCUUAAGCCCUAAAGCAAGGCUCAAAAUGUGUUGCCUCGCUUAAUAUGCACUUCAGUAUCGUCAUCAAGGUUCAAAGGCAUACUCUGGCAUGCCAAUGAGCUAACACUCCUUGAGCCUAAUAUUUGCCACAUUAUCUAAAAAAGAAAAUUUCAAUUCCUUUUUCCUUAUAUUCAUCAUUCAUGCAUAUAAUUCUUGGUCUUUCUAUCUCUCUCUCUCUCUAUAUAUAUAUAUAUAUAUAUUGGCGUUUUGCUAACACUCCUUGAGCCUAAUAUUUGCCACAUUGAUUAUACUUGCAGCCUAACAAGAAGAAGAAAGGGAAUGACUCAAAUAAUGAGUACUUUAAAAAGUUAUCUGUUGAUGUUAUGACCUCUAUUUUCCUAAGAUUUCCUGUGAAGGCAUUGUCCAUGUUGAGGUGUGUAUCAAAAUCUUGGAAUGACUUUAUUAUUAGUCCUUCUUUCGUUCGUUCUCACCAGAAGCAAUCUCUGGAAAGUUCCCCCAAACUUCUUUCAAUGCAGUGCGAGUAUCCCACAUGGUCGAGAGAGCACAAGCUACGAUUCAUCUCAGUUGACAUGGAAGGAGAGAAACAACUCGGUGAAGAGCUUUGUACUUUCAUUGUCCCUGGUCUUCGCCAAUGGCUUGCAUGCUGUGGUUUGAAUUGCAUUUUAGUUGAUCAUCGUUUUUAUUUGUGCAAUCCUGCCAUCAAACAAAUCCGUGAAUUGCCGGGUUGUUCACCUUCUACUUGCUCUAGAGGCGAUCAAUUUGUUUGAUUUGGAUAUCUUCAUUCAAAGAGGGAAUACAAAGUGGUAAACUUUUUCUACAGGGGUCCCUUGUGCUAAAUUUUAUAUUUAUAUUAGCACAUAAACUUGCCGCAUGGCUACACCGCCGCGGAGAAAAAACUCAGAAUAUCCCCAAGAAAAAAUAGGAGGCGACGGGUUCAAGCCUUUUCACAACUCUGCACAUAGCGAAAGUUUUAGUGCAAAGGACUACCCUAUUCUUAUAAAAGUUUUCUAACACUGAAUCUUGAUAAUAAAUGUUCACGUAACAAUUUUUUUCAUAAACGGCUUAAGUUUAUUCAAACUCAAGUUGAAGCCUCGAAGACAUUAUUACUAAUGAAUUAUGCAUAAACUGACACUUUAACUUAGCCUCCAACUCUAGGCGUGCACAAGUAGACACACGCGUCCUACAUGAAAAAUCUCACAUGAAUUACCAUGUGGAAUGCAUGCACCUCACAUGAUUUGUCAUGUAAGAAGCAUGUGUCCACUUGUUCAACUUUAUACCGGUUUAAGUAUUUACUUAAAAUCUGCAAUUCUGAAAAAAAAACUUGAUUCUACAUUGUGGUUUUUCCUAUCAGGUAUCUUGGGCUUCCAUUGUCCCCAAAGAAGUGGAACAAGAUAGACUGUAAUAUGUUGAUAGACAAGAUCACUAGUAGGAUAAGGACUGUAAUACUCAAUUCUGUAUUGUUUUCUGUCUAUAAUUUUUGAGCUGUUGUAUUUGUUUUACCUGGGAGUGUAUUAAAGGAGGUAGAUAACAGGUGCAAACGAUUCUUAUCGGGGAGGUAAUGAGGAGAAGAGAAAGAUCAAUCUAGCAGGCUUUGGAAUUUGGCUGCUGUUGGUAGGCUAUUGUGGCAAAUUGUGGUGGACAAACCUCAAGAUUGCAGUUGGUACUGGAAGAAACUGAAUUCGUUGAAGGGUGAAAUGUCAUCUUGAUAUUCGAUAACGAGUAGCUAGAUGGCUCUUAUGGGAACUCCAAGGAGAUCGAUUGGAUUCCUCUAACUUGAUAUGGAACUCAGUAUCUCAAUCAAAGCAUAGGUUUAUUGCAUGGUUAACAGCUAAAGAGAGAUUAUUCUAACUAAAAGUAGACUAAUCAAACUCAAACAUUCAAGUAGAUGAUGUGACGACAUGCUUUUAUGUACCUCAUCAGUGAUGGAAACUGCCAAGCACUUUUUUGUUGAGUGUAGCUGGUUCAAAACUAUUAGGCACGCAUUGUUGGAUUGGCUUGGAAUUAUUAAGCUGCAGCAAGUAAAUGUGAAGCAAGUAUUUGAAGGCAUUAAGAAGAAACAUUGGAAAUGCAUGCGAAAGCGUCUACUUACAUAUGCACACCCAAAGUUGUGCCUUUAAUUACACAAGCAAGCGCGAAGCACUCAGUCGUCCAAAUGUUAUAAACAAUCGUGGGAUGUUUAUUCUGGAACAUAAUGCUAUACACAUCUUAGUUCGACCAACUUAGAAAACUAUUUGCACUUGAAAUAGUCACUUGAGUAACUGAAUGAACUAACAAUAGAAAAAAAAAAUUACAUUCAAUGUUUCAGGUUGAUGCAGAUUCCCGAAAACUUUCACAGUCAUUGUUAUUUCCACCUAUUCCUAUUUUGUUAACGUUCUGAAUUCCAGAAAUAACCUCUUUAGUGCAACAGCGUGGAGACAAGUAAGAAAACAGUUUGCACAUUUGAAAAACCCACGUGUCUCCCUUUGUCAACAGAUACGCUUGGGCGAUUUGCCAAAUCAAAUUUGUCUAGUUUGAGAUGACUUAAUUGCAUUAGUCCCCAAAAACAAAAUGUCUGUCCUUGGAACCUCAAUCAUAUGUUGAGGGAAAUUAUGCCUUUUCGUUAAAUUAUUCUAUCGAAUAAAUAGAUCAUGGAAAUCAAUUCAAGAACACGAGUUACUCUAUACCAUCAAACAUACCCAAUAUAAAUUGCUACAUGAAGGAGGAAAAGUACAGCAGAAUAAGAAUUAACAAGCUAGAAGACACUACCACAUAAAUUUAUCGAAUCAAACUCCCCAUAUUGGAUAGAAACAGAUUGAAUACUCUUGUUGCUCGUCCUCUCCUUGUGUCCUUUUUUUUUCCAAAAGCUGCUCGAAGAAUCCACAAUACUUAGACGAGAUCAAGCCGGGCGUCUUACUAUAACAAAGCAAUAUAAAUUAGAAAUAUAAAAUCUCCCCUCUACAAUCAAGAGGAAUUGUUUAAGUAUACAUUUUUACAUUAGUGAUAUAUAUGUUAGAGGAAUUGUUACCAAGAAAUCAAUGUUAUGAAGAAAAACAAGAUACAUCAAAUUAUGCAAUAAACUAGGAAAUAAAAAUGCAAAGAGAACACCUUGAAAUGUGAGUUCAUAUUGAAUUUUCUUUUUCACAAUUCUGUAAAAUUUACUCUACUAUAUCAAAAAUAAAUGUCAAUAAUACUUGUCCAUUUUGAAACCAAUGGAUAAUUUACCCAUUUUAUCCUUAGCAUUUAAUACAAAUUUAUUAGAUUCAAAGAGUAAUAUGGUAAAACUAGCCCUACCAUUUACUAUUUCUUAACUUAUGUGUCAAGUUAAUAGUGGAAAACUAUUGAUAGACGGAGGUAGUAACAAUUAGACCAAAUGUGCUCACAUUUAGCAAUCUUAAACUAAAGAACCAAAAUUGCUCAAAAAUAUAUUUAAAGGGGACAUUUUGAACUACAUUCAAAUAUAGGAGAUAUUCUUGUUACAUUUUAAGUAGAGUUUUAACCAAAUUCUGUCAAAGUUAUUUUUUUGAAAGAAUAUGGGGCAAAGCUAAAUGACUUUUGUGUACGACUUGACUUGUGGAAAUGAGAAAGAGACUUGUGGAAAUAAGAAACAGAGUGUGAUCCUGAUAAAUACUAUAUACUUACAUGUAUCGUCGGAGAUACGAACGUCCACGGGGUUGUUUCCGAGGUCUUCUUGUUCUUGUUGAAUUCGUGCAGCAGGUUCCCCAAGUUCGGGAAGACAACUUGUUAGCUCAAUCAGUUGUAACGUGUGAAUUUCUGCAAACUCAAUGGGUAUCUCUUUCAAAUAUGUGCAUUUUUUGAGCACAAGGUGCUCAAGGAAAAUUGUCAUCUGUGGCUUUCUAGUACAUGAGAAAACAAUCUUCAAUUAACAAAACCUUCAAUUGAGUAAAUCCCGUAACAUUUGGAAUCCAUUCUUCUCCACGAUAAGCAUGAAACAUCACCUUCAGCACCUCAAGGUUAGGCAAUUCAGCUAUGAUGUCCAUGUACGACCAUCGUAGAAAAUUUCUUUUCAACUUCAGCUUCUUGAGCGUUGCUGGAAAAGCUUUUGUACUUGCUGGAAAAAAUCGACUAGAACAAUAGAUAAGACUCAAUGUUUCAAGUUGCUGCAGAUGGACAAGACUGUUGAGAAGCCCAUUAGAGCGAAUCUCAUUUCCAAAGAUUCCUAUUUCUUUGACAUUCUGAAUCCCCAUAAUAACCUCAUUCGUGCAACAACGUGGAUACAAGUAAGAAAUAGUUUGUAUAUUUAAAUUCCGAGAGCAUUGCAAUGAUAGGUACCUCAACCAGAUGAGGCUUAGAAUCUGUACAGGGAAAUGAUCCAUAUCUAUGUUUCUCGACUCCAAGACUCUGAGUAAUUUGAAAUGAAUAAGCUCCGACUUGACAAUAAAAUAUGAAUACUUAUGAUGAAAAGAGAAAAUAGAACGGGUUCGUUCCAAAAGAUCAUUGUUGUCAUGAUCUCUCAACUGACAAUGUAUAGGGGUAAGAAGAGCCCUAUAAAGACCAUAGAGACGACAUUCAAUUUUAUCACCAGUCACGCGUUUAAAGGGUUGCAUUUUUUGCAUACUGAGAUUUCCACGUUCUGCUACGCCAAGCACAAUGUCAUUCAUGAUAAAAAUGUUCUCCCUUUGAAUUUCUCUCACGCACAGGUCAUAUAUUAGAUCAUGAACCUUACAUGAUCUAAUUUUUGUUCCAUCUAGACUUUUCUUGGAGACGAGGACUAGACAUCUAUCGACAAGCUCUUGCAAACACUUGUCAGGCUCUCCUUCCAAAUCAUUUUCCAACUUUAGGAACCCCUUAGCCAUCCAUUAUCUCAUCAAAUUCUUCACUGGAAUCUCACUAUCUUCUGGAAAAAUCCCGAAAUGCAGAAGACAUGCUUUUAGAUCGCUAGUCAAGUGAUUGUAACUCAACCCAAGCACACGUGAACAUUGUUUGUCAGGAUCAUUUGUGAAAAAUGACUUGACAUCUUUAGCAACAUUUUCCCAGUAUUCUCUUGCCCUUUUAGAUUUGAGAAGCCCAGCAACCACAACAAUAGUUAGUGGUAACCCUUGACAUUUCUGUGCAAUUUGCUUCCCAAUAGUCUCGAACUCAGAUGGUAAUGCUUCAUUUGCAAAUGCUAUACUUUUAAAAAGGUUCCAACACUCAUCCGAACCCAUUAAAUCCAUCUGCAAAGAAAGAUUCUCUGUACCAGCAUCGUGAGCUACUUCAGUGUUACGGGUCGUCAAUAAUAUUCCACUCCCCUCUUUUUCACUUGGAAAACAUAGUCUCACACAUCUUGCUGGAAUUUUAGCAAAGAGGUACUUCAUAUGUGCCUGUACAGCUUCUUGAUAAUAGUCCAUGGGGGUACAUUCAGUAUUUUUGCUUCUAGGGAACACACAUCUUGCUGGAAUUUUAGCAAAGAGGUUUAGUUGUUUAUUUUUCUUUAUCAAGAAAAACUAAACUGUAUGACUAUGACCGGGGAGGGUAGAGUGUAUGCGAACUUUACCCCUACCCUAGAGGUAGAAAGGUUGUUUCUGAUAGACGAGGAAAAAACAAAUGUGAAAUAAUAACAAAGCAUGCUGAAUAGUAACUAAAAAAAUGGGUGCGCAGAUACGACUUAUAUAAAUGCUUGCAUUUGAAGUUUAUGACAAAAGAAAAUAAACUUGUAUGGAGAAAAAGAGAACAGAACGAAUGCAGUGUCCCGAUCUAUCCAUAAUCUCACAAAUUUCUUCACUGAAAUCUCACUGUCAUAUUUGAAAAAUUCCGAAAAAAAAGAAGGCAUGUAAACGUUGUUCAUCAGGAUCAUCUAUUGCAAAUUACUUUAUAUCUUCAGCAAUGUAGUACCUCUUAUCAUUUAAACCUUUUGGUAUCAUAUCUGCUAGCUUUGCCGCUAACGGAACAUCAACAGUAAAAAGUAACACAUGAGAAUCACCAUAUAAAUGCACAUUUCCGUUCAUCUAAUAAAUAAUGCUACCAACUAAAAUGAGUGUGCGAUCGUGUUAACCAUUGAGGGCUCAUGAACUCAGAACUUCAGUAAUGCCCAACUGAGUAAUGUUACUAAAGAUUGUAUCAACGCAAAUAUAUAUUACAAUGCAUAAGGGAUCACAUCUCCUCGGAAGCCACACGUUGCUUGAAACCGAUAAUUUAGUGGUAAUUUACGACAGAGGAACCGAAAUGAAAUCCCAAGAGUUCAAUCCUUGAACUCCUCAAAAAUAUUCUUCCAAAUCAUAAUCACUCUCCUCGACUGAAAAGAAACAAUAAAGGGUCAGUAGAAGUUCGACAAGUCAAAUUAUUCAGAUGCAGAUUUAGAGCGUGUUCAACGAAACUCACAUCUUUCAACUCAACUUCAUGUGAGAACACACAUACACACACUGACAGACACAAGUAUAUGAUAAUCAUUUAAAAAGUGUGACAAAUUUUUUGCAUCUGCCGACUCUAUAUUAUGGAUCGUCAAUAAAGCAUCUUGAGCAAAUCAUACGGGGAUAUGUGAGAUGUAAUCGACUUGAGUUCUUUCUCUUUGACUAAGAAAAGUUUUAACUGAGGAUUCUGCAUUCAGUUUCAGAAAGUUUAUGCAAUCUGAUAUAUAAUAUUGCACUUAUCAGCUAAAAAGGAUGUCAAAAAUACGUUAAAAUUUAGUUCAGGCGGAUAAUAGGACCCCGUGAAGUUGGAGCAAAUUUAUUAUCAUGUACUAAUUUUGUUUUUUUUGCUAAUAUCACUAGUUAUUUUGGUUAUUGUAAAAGAAAAGAACUUUUUGAGACUAGAACUUGGUAACUGUUUAUUAACUAUUCAGCAGUAUGUAUCAUUUACACAAGCAAUGAAUAUGAAUAAAUAUUUUGUUCGUACAUUAGUUCAUUUAAGUAGAUAAAUAUUAUUUCAUAUUUAUUUUUGCAAUAGUGUCUAUGAAUAUAAUUAUGAACACAUUAAAUAUGCGACCUAAAAUACAAUAUCUUUAGUAAAUAGAGUUACUAGAAGAAAACAACAAAACAAAAUAAAGUUACUUAUAAUGAAAUAAAUAAAUUUAAUUUUUUUUGGAUGGGAGAUACUUUGAAGGAGCCGGGAACAAAGCUGAAAGAUUUAUUGAAAGUUGGAAAUGGUGGCCAGCUAACAAUAUUUAAAAAUUUAUACAUGGUAUUUAGCUUCUUGAUAUUUCAAUUAUUUCAUAAAAAAGUUGAUUCCAAGUAAACCUUAUUUUACUAGAAUUUAUACAAUCGAUACCUUAAAAUUCGUGUGCAAUGGCAACAAAGAGAGCAAACAUCUACUCUUCAUUUUUCAUUUUGUUUUUAUUGUAAUUUAAUGACAAGGUUGGACAUUAGCUGCCCAAACAACCCAUUUGCCACUCCUAUGAGUAACAAUUAGAACAAAUGUGCUCACAUUUAGUACCAAAAUUGCUCAAAAAUAUAUUUAUGGGGCCAUUUUGAACUACCCUCAAAUAUAAAGGAUAUUCUUGUUAAUUUCUCUUAUAUUUUAAGAUUUUAACCAAAUUUUGUCAAAGUUACUUUUGUGAAAGAAUAUGGGGCAAAACUAAAUAACUUUUGUGUACGACUUGACUUGUGGAAAUGAGAAAUAGGGUGUGACCUUGAUAAAUACUAUACACUUACAUGGAUCAUAGAUACGAACAUCCACGGGGUUGUUUCCGAUGUCUUCUUGUUCUUUUUGAAUUUGUGCAGCAGAUUCCCCAAGUCCGGGAAGACACCAAUUUAACUCAAUCAGUUGUAGUGAGUGGAUUUCUGCAAACUCAAUGGGUAUCUUAUCUAAAUAAUAGCAACAUCUAAGCCCAAGGCGCUCAAGGACAGAAAAAUUGUCAUCUGUGGCUUUCCAGUACUUGAGAUCAUUAUGUUCAAUUAACAAAAGCUUCAAUCGAUAAAAUCCCAUGCCCGUUGGACGCCAUUCUUCUCCAUCACAAGCACCAGACAUCAGCUUGAGCACCUCAAGGCAGCUAUGAUGUCCAAGUACGACCAACUUAGAUAAGUACUUUUUAACUUCAGCGCGUUGAUGGAAAAGCUUUUGCACUUGCUGGCCAAAAUCCUCCAAAACGAUAUGUAAGACUCAAUGUUUCAAGUUGCUGCAGAUGGACAAGAUUGUUGAGAAGCCCACCAGAAGAGUCAAUCUGAUAUGCACUGAGCCCUAAUUCUUUGACAUUCUGAAUCCUCAUAAUAAACUCCUUCGUGCAACAACAUGCAGACAUGGAAUAAAUAGUUUGUAUGUUUGAAAAACCCAUGUGACUCCCUUUGUCAGCAGAUACGCUUGGGGAAUUUGGCAGAUAAAAUUCGGGCAGUUUGAGAUGCCUUAAUUGCAUUAGUCCCAAAAUUUCCUCAGGAAAAGUUAUUUUCCAUAGCAUAGGCCCUUGAACAAUGAAUGUAUGCAGAUUCCAUAACCUGCAAACUUCUGGAGGUAUAUUUGCAACAUUUUCCCAGUCUUCUAUUGCCCUUUUAGAUUUGAGAAGCCCAGCAACCACAGCAAUAGUUAGUGGUAACCCGUGACAUUUCUCUGCAAUUUGCUUCCCAAUAGUCUCGAACUCAGAUGGUAAUGCUUCAUUUGCAAAUGCAACACUUUUAAAAAGGUUCCAACUCUCAUCCGGACCCAUUAAAUCCAUCUGCAAAGAAAGAUUCUCUGUACCAGCAUC